rnacentral:lncRNA from 1 species
CCUUACACAAAGUAGCGUGGAAAGCAAUUGCUGAACCAAGCGAGCUAGUUGAGGCCAGAAGGGAUCGGUACUAAUUUAUCGCUAUAGGGAUUUUCAUGGCUUCCACCAGCGUGCAAGGAAUAACCUCAUCUUCAUCUUCAUCUUCUCCUCCUCCACUAUAUAUGCAUGAUGUGUUCCUUACUUUUAGAGGCAAAGACACCCGGAACAAGUUUACCAGUCAUCUAUAUUCUAAUCUGAAACAGAGAGGCAUCGAUGUGUACAUGGAUGAUAGGGAGCUCGAGAGAGGAAAGACCAUCGAACCUGCUCUCUGGAAGGCCAUCGAAGAAUCAAGGUUUUCAGUCAUUAUAUUUUCAAGAGAUUACGCGUCUUCACCAUGGUGCUUGGAUGAACUUGUCAAGAUUGUUCAGUGCAUGCAUAAAAGAGAUGGGGCAAACUGUUCUGCCAGUUUUUUAUGAUGUGGAUCCCUCAGAGACAUAUGAGAAAGCCUUCGUUGAGCAUGAACAAAAGGAAAAUUUGGAGAAGGUUCAGAUCUGGAAAGAUUGUCUCUCUACGGUGACCAAUCUAUCAGGCUGGGACGUACGGAAUAGGUAAAUCAUCUAUUUACUUAUUCUUAUUCUCAAAUCCUCCCUGUAUUGUUUCAAUGAUGAUCAUAGUCUUUUUUUUUUUGCAUAUUUUUUCAAUUUAAACGUGUGAUUAAAUAUCAAAAUAAACAAUACAACAAGAGUUUCAAAACUAAUUCUUCAGUAAAUAAUUAUUAGUAUAUAUUUUUGAUUCCUUAAAUAGGCUUUUAACAACCCAUUUGUCUAUGAUCAACCUAAUUUUUCUUUAAUUUUGACUUUUAAAAUAAAAGAGAGCACGUCUCAAAUCUCAAUUGUCACAAUUUUUAAAAUAAAAAUUGAAAACAAAUUAAAAAAAUUCUUGAACUUUUUGCUAAUUUCUAUUAUUUAAUAGAUCGAAUAAUAAAAUUUCAAUUAUCUAAAUUGAAUUUAUUGAGGCAUCUUUAGAAAAAGUCAAUAUUACAAAGACAUUUUUAGUAUCAUUAGAAUAUUUUUUCCUGAUUGUAUUAUAGAAUAAUAGAGGAUAACUUUAUCGAUUGUAUUAACAAAAAUUUAAAAUCCUUGAGAAAUGUCUUGAUUUACUAAUGGAUUGUAACAAUGAAUUUACUAAUUUUUCAUUCUAAAAAUAAUAAACUACUUAUUGGGGAUAAUAGGGUCUUCUUAUAAGGGCCAAUAGUCAUUAUAGAAUUGAUAGGGGUAGUUAGGUAUUGUUUUUUUACGGUAUAAUUACUUAGUUGCUUUUAAAAGCAAAAAUAAAUAAAUUAGCUAUAUGGGCUUUUUAAACAUUUAUCACUUUUCAGGGUGCAAUAAAUAACUUUAUUUCCUUUAAAAUUAAAAAUACUUACCUUGUCUUCAAUGGCUUAUUCAUGCUUUUUUUUUUUUUUUUUUUUGUGAUAAAAAAAAGAAGAAGAAAAGUGGUUGGCUUGUUUGUAGAACACACAAGCGAGUAAGUUGUUCUGCCUUAUGUAAGCAGUAAGGAUGAGCAAAAAAACUGGAAAACAAAAUAACCGAAAAAACCGAACCGUGAAAAAAAACCGAUUAAAAUUUUGAAAAAACAACUGGUUUGGUUCGAUUUUGGAUUUUUAAGCCUAAAACCAAAAAAACCGAAUCGAAGCGAAACUAAACCGAAAAAAACCAAAAAAAAAAAAAAACUGAGCCAAACCGGAAAAAUUUUAGUUUGGUUACUUUUUUAUAUAAAAACCAAACUGAACCGAAAAUAAUCACCCCUAGCACGAGCAAUGGCUUAUGACACCCAAAAAAAGCCUUCAUUGAUGUUUACUGAUUCACCAUGACAUGACCUACCUCUCUUAGUGGCUUGUAUGGAGUAAUUCUUUCUUGUUUGGCACCAGAUGACUUUCUUUUCUUUUCUUUUGUCUUUAUCCUUGAAUUCCGCAUUCGACCUUCUAAACUUGUAUAGUAACCCUUCAAUUUGGUUUUUUUUUUUUCAAUUGAUAUUUUUUAUUUGAAUUAUUUUUUAGAAUUGAAUUUGUUUUUAAUUUUAUACUUUUUAAUUUUUUAAUCUAUUAGAUUUGAUUCUCAUUCUUUUGAUAACUAUUUAUUUUAUGUGAGAUUAUUUUUUAAUUUUUUUUGACGAUUUCAUCCUUCAUUUUUUAUUGUUAUGUUUUUUUACCUUGGCAAGUUUUUAAAAUUGAUAUAUAUAUUAUUUUUGAUUUCAUACUUUAAUAUUGAAUUAAGUUUUUUGGUUGAGUUUGGAUUUAGGAUUUAACGGAUUAAGAAUUUGGGACAUGUUUAGGAGAUUUGUCUAGGUUUUUUUUUUUUAAGCUCAUAUUUUUUUUCCAGUUUCAUCAUUCAAUAUUUAAUUUAAUUAGAGACUAGGCUCUAUUAAUUUUUUUUAUUUUCUUUCUAUAAGAUUUUUAAAUAAUUUUAAAAAUAAUCAGGGUUAUCUUAAGUCUUUUUAUUUCUUGCUAUUUUUUUUAAAAAAAUUUAAUUGAAUAAUUUUUUUUAUGUUUAGCUUUUAAUAUUUGGUUGAUUGAAAUUGGAAUCUAUUUUAUUUUGAUAUGGGUUCCAUGGAGUUUUCAUGGAUUUGUGCUUCGAAUCGUGAGUUUCACAAGUUAACCAUAGUUAUUCCAGUUCGAUCUAGUGUGUUGUCAUCACAAUUAUAUUUUUAAAUAAAUAUAUCAUCAAAUAUAUUAUUAUCUUAAUAUUUUAAAAGUGUUUUUCUAGCAUGUAUUGAAUUUUUUACUUUCAAAUACUAUUAUAUUUUUUAAAGGUUAGAAAAAAUAAUCAACCCUUGAGGCCAAAAAUCUAGUUAAAGAACUACACAUUAAAGUGAAGUUUUCAACAAGUGGCAACUUAUAAUUAGUAUUUAAGGUAUGACAUAUAAGCUACAUGAUUUUUUUCCCAUGAAAAAAAUCAUUUCUCAAAAUACUAUAGGUGGGAAAAAACUUUUCAAACUAGCACGGUUUCAUCAAUUGCAUAGGUCUCACUUAUGCAACUUCACACAUGCAGGUCUCGCAUGUUAAAAAAAUCUUCUUCUUUUCUUUGUUGGGUUGGUGACACGACCAAAAAAUUAAUGUCUUCUCCCAAAUGCAGGAGUGUCGAAAUAAUAAAUAACCCGGCAAGACCAGGAUCGAACCACACAGAGGUUAAUUAUACAAAUUAUAAAUAACAAUAAUACAACAACAACAAUAACAACAACAACAAUAAGAGUAAUAAUAACAACAAUAACAAUAAUAAUAACAAUAAUAAUAACAACAAUUAACAAUAAUAAUAACAAUAAUAAUAGCAAUAAUAAUAAUAAUAAUAAUAAUAAUAGUAAUAGUAAUACUUAGUAUGUGGCGUUGUUACACUUGAGAAUGAUCUAAAAGAUCGGGUCACAGGUUUUCAGCCUAUAUACUGAGUUUAUGAAAAGAUCAAAGAGAUAUAUUAUAUAAUAUAAACAGAAUGUAAAUAAUAAUAGUAAUAGUAAUAGUAAUAGUAAAAAAAUUAUAGCAGCUUGUUCAUAUUAGUACCCCAAAUAGAUUUUAAACUAAAAUAUCAUAAAGGUGAAAACAAAAAGAUUACUGUUACCUGAAAAAAAUGAAGUCAAAUGAAGGUAUACAGUCACUGUCGUUGACCUCAUUAUCAAUUCAUUGAGAAUCCCAAAACUAUAGAGAUGAACAAUUUAUUUUUUUCUAACCAACUGUAAAUCAAAGUGCGUAUGUGAAUUGAACAAAUAAAUCAAAGGACCAAAACAGCCCUAAAAAACAACCUUACUUUCCAACAAACCAAAGACAAAACCUCCAGUGUUUUACCAGUUACGGUGAUUUCACUAUAUAUUUUAGCUUUUUGUUAAUUAAUAUAUUUUAUGUGAAAAAAAUAAUAUAAAUAUUUAAAACAAAGCUAUUUUCUAACUUUUAGACUAAAUGUAUUGUUUUAAACAAUUAUAAUUUAUACAUUGAAGGGUCUUUUCGAUCCUAUUAGACCAACAAAAUUAUAUAAAUAUUUAAAACAAAGCUAUUAAUAUGAUAUUUAUUAUAGAUUAUAUUUUAUUAUGCCUUUCAUUGUUAAAUUUUGUCAUCCAAAUUAUAAUUUAAAGUCAUUGGAGCAUAGCUAUUUGAAUAGCUAAAAUACUAUUUUUUUCUACUAAAAUACUAUUUUUACAUCUCUAUGUAGAAAAAAAACCAAAUGCAAGGAGAAAGUAUAUAUACAGUUGGCAUUUGUUUUUCUCUUUAAAAACAGAACAAGAAGAAGAAAGAAGCCUGCAAACCUCAAUUGUGAUGUGUGGGGCCAACCCCUGCUCUUGACAGGAAGGUGCCUCUGCUCCCAAUGCGCGUUCGAUAUCCCUUUCGUUUCUCUUUUUGCUUUUUCUCCACCGAAACUCCAUCUUCUUUACAGUGUAAGAAAAAGAUCCGUAAGAAAAUCCAGGGCUUUGGAGGUUGGUUACUAAGAUACCAGACGAAUAAACAAACUAAAGACGAAACCUACAAUUGUUACUAGGUAUAGUGAUUUCACUGCAUGUUUUAGCUUUUUGUUAAUUAAUAUAUUAUAUGUGGAAAAAUAAUAUAAAUAUUUAAGACAAAGCUAUUUUCCGACUUUUACACUAAGUAUAUUGUUUUAAACAACAAUAAUUUAUACAUUAAAGGGUCUUUUCGAUCCUACUAGACCAACAAAAUUAUAUAAAUAUGUAAAACAAAGCUAUUAAUAUGAUAUUUAUUAUGGAUUUUAUUUUAUUAUACCUUUCAUUGUUAAAUUUUGUCACCCAGUUUAUAAUUUGAAGUCAUUGGAGCAUAGUUAUUUGAAUAGCUAAAAUACAUUUUCUUUUACUAAAUUCUAUUUUUACAUAUCCACGUAGAAAAGCCAAAACCAAAAAAAAUUAUAUACUCGUUGGCCAACAUAUUUUUAUCUAUAAUUAGCAUUUAUUUUUCUCUUUAAAAACAGAAUAAGAAAAAAAUAGAAGCCUAGAAAUCUCAAAGCCUAAAAAAUUUAAUAGUAUUAUAUAAAACUGAAAAAUAAAAAUAUUCAUAUAAAUAAAUUUUGAUUUUAAAAGUUUAAAAUUUAAAAUUCAAAUUAUAUCUUUUAACUUUGAUAUUACUUCAUUAAUUUUAUAAAUUACUCAUAUUAAUUAAUUGUAUAAUUAAUAACAUGAUUGUAUUAUAUAAAAAAUAAUUAAACUAGUUAUAUAAUUAUAUUAAAAUAAGUUUUCCAUGAUUGUAGUAAAUUAAGAGAUCUCAGUUAAAUAAUUUUAAUAAUCUACUCUGUCAGUACAAGAAACGUAAAAAAUAGUAGUUUUGCAUGAACAUUAAUUAAUUAAUUUAUAAUAAUAAAAGAAACAUUUAAUUGAUUAAAUUAGUAAAUUCAAACAUUUAUUUUGACAAUAUUUGAAUAUAUUCAUAUCAAAACCCCUAAAUUAUCAUAAACCUAAUAUUUUUAAUAACUAAUUAUAAAAAAAUAAAAGUAAAAUUAAACAAUAAAAUAAUUAGAAAAGACAAAAGAAAUUUACCUAAAAUAUAAUGCAAAAAAAAUUACUUGCUUAUUGGACUUGAAGAGAAAUUUAUAUAAGAGAAAGAGGCAAAUAACAAUGUUCAAAAGAAAAUGUGACUUUUUAUUUAUAAAAAUAAAUUUGGGUCAUAUAUAUAUAUAUAUAUAAGUCAACCAUAACUUUUCACUUACCCUCACCAAAACUAUUAUAUUAAUUUCCUAAUAUAAAAAAAUAUUAAACAAAAAUUAAGGAGGCAUUUGCCCUUUUUAUCCUCACCUGGCUCCGCCAUUAUGUCUAAAACUUUAAUCUCUUAUCUAUGCUUCUUCACAACCUAUUAAAAAAGGUUCAAGAUUAGCCAUUUCGAAUGAGAAAAAAAGAAACAAUCAUAAAUAACGAAUCGAAGAUGGAAGAAUAAAUUACUGUAUUUGGACGCAACGAAACCGAAAAAAAACAAAGGUAAAGUCUAGACAAGAGCGCGCGCAUAAACUAUUUAUUGAUGAGAUUGUUUGUAUCAACAUAAAUAAAUAUCAAAGUAAUCCAAGCAAACUUUUGCAGAUUACGAAGAAUCUAAGUCCGACAAAAAAGCUUUCAAUCAAAGUGUAUAUUUGAUAUAGAUUCAGUUUAGUAAUAAUUGUUUUUUAAUAUUUUAUUUUUAUUUUUUAAAAUUUAUUUUUAACAUCAAAAGCAUAUAAAAACAUUAUAAAAGAUUAAAAAAUUACAGUAAACCAUACAACUUUUUGAAAGAUUUUAUACACGAAACCCUUGCUUAAUGACCGUGUAAAAUUAAUACACUUGGACAGUACUUUUGCUACAGUUUUUUGGAUAGUUCAAACUCAUUUAAAGUAUUUUUAGUUGGAUGUUCAUAUAGGUGAAAACAAAAGGAUUUAUACUUAGAAAAAUGGAGACAUGAAACUUACGUUUAUACUUAGAUCUUUAAAGUUCACCCGUGGAGGGUCCAGUUUUAAAAUGGUGUUCGCGACGAGAGUGGCUUCUAGGUAGGUUUGGCUUAUGACUGUUCUCAUAACUUUUUUUCUACAAGUCAUUCUACUAUGCUCCUUGAGUAAACUGGAGUAGUCUAAAUGCACUCAGUGGUGCGUACAAUGUAAUUAGUUAUUGUGUCACCUGUUAAGACAAAGGUCGAAGCUAUUUUUAUGUGGCUAGAAUAACUUUAAUGAGCAAUUUCAUGUAGUGAUCGAUUUUGUUGAAGGAGAUGGUGCUCCUGUAGUGGGGAGAUCGUUACCUCUCCAUUGUCUUGUCAUUUAUAAGUUAUCAUCAAUGAAAAGAACUAGGAAAGAAAAGGAACUUAACUAGCUUUUGUUCAAGUUCCAACAGAAGGUGUCAUUGACGAAGUUGGAAAAACUUCAAAUUAAACCUAGAUCUUUCCAUGACUGGUGUAAUGAAUUUUGAAAAUUUUUAAGUUGGGUUAGGCUUGUGGUUCAUGAAUUCCUACAAAAACAAGUUUUUCAUGUGACAGAGAACUCAACUCUCUGAUAACUAAGUUAACAACCACACAUGAGAAAACAAAUGUAUAAGAACUUAAAAGAGUGUAUUAUGUGAUUGUUCAUGAGUGUGAUUUUGAAUUGUUGUUUGUGUGUUUAUUACUUGAUAAUCUUAGAUAUUAAUACGUAUCAUGUCUCAAGAAAUUAGCUCGUAAAAAGUGGAAUAAUAAAUAUAUUAUGCUGUUAAGUCAGGUCUAAAAAUAUUCGCUCUCUUUUCUAUGAGGCCUUUGGCCCCAUCAUGUAUGGAGAAAGAUAUAUUUGAAAAUGAAGCCAGGAUACAGUGUAUCUACAUAUAUAUUCUUUGAAUGAAAAAUUGAGCUGUGUUCCAUUAGGAGUUGAAACCACCUAACUUGGCUUAGAUGUAACAAUGAAUGAUUAUAGAAAAAUCUAACCAUAAAUUUCAUUAAUCGUCUUUAAUGUGAUGAAUGUUCUUUGUAGCAGACGUGAAGUGAUUUGAAAAAUAUAAAUAUUGAGUUUUAGAAACAUACAUCUCGUGAAAAUAAUUAUAUAAACACUUAUUGCACUAACCAAUAGCUAGCAGUUCAUACAUUAAAAGAAAACACAUGACCUUUCUAAAGUUUAGAGUGAAAAUGUACUUUUGUCCCUUUUUCUUUAUAUAUUUUUACUUUUGUUCCUAUAGUUUUAGCAUUUUAAGUUUUGAUUCCAAAUUAUAUUUCAAUAUUCCGUAUGUUUGAAAGAGAAGAAAGAAAGUCACUCAAUAUUAGGUGAGGAGAGAGAAAAGGAUAGAUUGGCCACAAUUCAACAAUAAAAAAAAAUAUUUAUUUUAAAGAAAGUUCAAAAAUUAAAAAAUGUUAUAUCUAUUUUAAUUAAUAAUAAAAUAAAAGAAUAUAAUAUAAGUCAUAUGAUUAAGUUGAAUUGAUUAGUGUCCAUGAACAACCAAUCCAUGAUCGUAAAAUUUAGAUCAAAGCCUAUAUGUUUUUUGCUUCGAAACUUUAACUUCAAUUUAAAACCAUUUAAAGUGGAUUAGAAUAGAUUUUGAAGUUGAAAAUGGGUAUAUAAAAACUAUUUGGAUGGGUUUGAGGUUUUUAUACUAAAAAUUAGAAGUGAUUAUUUUCAAUUUGAUUAAUUUUUACCUAUAAAAAUUACCAAGUCAAAAUUUUGGACGGUAGCUCUCGAUUUUCUAGCUAAUGAUUUUGAAGUUGAAAAAUGAUUGAAAAUGGCAUUUUGCAUGCCCAUGAACGGUGGCUCUCUAUUUUCUAUCUAUCAAAGCAUCGCUAAAACAUCGAUUUUUUUUUUAUUAUGUUUUAUAUGAAGUUUAUUAUAUUUUAUUUAUGAUUUAGAUUUUUAUUAGUUUCUAAAAAUGAUCUCUAUGUUUAUUUUAUGUUAAUUUAUUAUAUUAUUUAUUAUAUAUUUUUUUUAAAACACCUCAAAAACAUUAUAGAUGGUUUCCCUGCCACAACCAACAACUUUUUUCAGGAAAAGCUACAAGUGCCUAGAACUUUAACCCCUUCUCUAUGCUUCUUGACAACCUUGUUGUAACCCAUUUUUGGGCCCCCAUAAAAAAUAAAAUAAAUAGCCAAAAGAAUUUAGAAAAAAUAACAGGAGGCAGAAGCGCUCAGGAAACAGUCAGAAAAUUAGUCAAGGAAUUUAAAAAUACAAGGAUUGAAUUUUUGACAGUAUAUUCUUGAAGGAUGAAAGCCCUAUUGAGAAGGAAAAUUUGAAUUUUGAGGAGAAAAGCCCAAAUUUGGAUGUUUAGGGACUUAAUUGGAUUUUUAUUUGAAUUUAUAGAGGAUUUGAUUGCAAGAAAAAUUGAUUUUUAAGUCAAUUUGGGCUUUAAUUAGAAGAAAUUUAAGUUCUGGGGCCAAAAUAUAUUUUUUAGGAAUUUAUUGGGUCAAAUCAGGGGCUUAAUUGCAUAAAUAUUGAAGUUUAAUGGUCAAUUAGGGGUUUAAUUGUGAAAAACCGAAACCAGGGACCAAUUUGGAAAAAUCGGGUAAAUAGAGGGGGCUGUUUUGCUUUGGAUCAGGGGCCUAAUUGAAGAAAUUGGAAGUUUAUUGAUCAAUUAGGGGUUUAAUUGUGAAAAUCAGAGGCCAAGGACCAAAGUGAAAAACGCGGCCAACUAUAGGGGUAGGGACCGAAUUUGGCAGGGACGCAAUUGAAUUUUAUUCUUAAAAUUGGAAGUCGUUGCGCAUGCACCAUUUCCUUGCAUUUCACUGUUCAAAGUGAAAUAUAAUUCACUUGAACAGUGAAAUGCUAAUUCACUGUUCACAUCAAAUAUAAUUCACGUGAACAGUGAAAUGCUAAUUCGCUGUGCAUAUCAAAUAUAUUCACUGUUCACAUGAGGCCCGCCUGGACAACCGCUCCCCGACAGCCGCUCCCCAACCCGCUCCUUGGCUCCACGGUGAAGCCACGCCCACUGGCUCUAUAAAUAGCGCCCAACCCAGCACACCGAAGAGAAAAAGGAAGACCCGAAGAGAGAGGGAGAAGAGAAAUAAGGCACGAAAGAGAGAGAAGAACAGAAACAAACCGAGAGGAGGACCCGAAAACAAAAAAAGAAAACGGACAGAGAGGGGGAUUUUUUUGGACGAGAGAGGGCUUUUGGAAACUGAAUGAUACUGUGAGAGUAUAGAAAAGAGAGAAACCAAAACAAAGGAAGGGAAGUGAAGUUUUUGAGCAGAGACAGAGGAGAGGGCCAAAAACAGAAGAGAAGGAGCCGUUGCAGAGGAACAGUUGCUGUCACCAGGCUCCCCAGCCACCGACCACCAUCCAGGCCACUUCCCAGACCGCCACCACCAGCAUCUCCACCAAGCUGCUGCAGGGAUAGGAGAGCUUGGUUGACAGAAGGAGCAAAGGCAACCAAAGAGAAGAAGACAAAGAAGCUUGAAAGAAAAGCAGAGAAGAACACAGAAGCAGCAGAGAAGAGGAAGAGCCAACCUUCGGUCAGCAACCGCCACCAGCACCACUGUCAGCUCCUCUACCCAAGCUCACCCUCGCAGGUAACUCUUCCCCUUUAUCCCGUAUUCGUCUUCUUGCAGGUCUAAUUAAUUAACUGGUUACUGUGCUCAUGUACAGUACCCGGUUACUAUUUGUGUAUAAUACCCCCGUUAGUAUUUGUGAACAGCAACAUACUGCACUCAUGUACAGUACCGAUUCAUGUUGUUUUGGGCUGGAAUAUCAGCCCAACCCAUGUGGCUGGACUGAGUCCAGCCCUGUAGAAGGUAGGCUCAUUUUAUUUCGGGCCGAUUUUGGCCCAGUCUCCUUUUGGGCCGGAUCCGGUCUAGUAAAAAAUUUAAAUUCCAAAAAAAUUAUUUCAAAAAAAUAUGCAUUUUCCCACAAGUUUGUUGCUACAUUUUGGUCAAUAUCGGUUUGUAGUUUUAUACUGUAAAGAUACAAAUCCGGUAUUAAAAUACCCGGUUUUCUACAAAACAUCAAAGAUUUUCAAAAUAAAAAAAUGUUUUUGCUUUCAAAAAAAAAUUCUAAAAGUCCUUAAAAAUAUUGUUGAUUUUUUCUGCAUAUUUUUAUGGAUUAAUAUUGGGUUGUAUUUUUAUACCGUAAGAAUACAAACUCAGUAUUAAAAUACCCGAUUUUCGUUAAAGCAUAAAAAAGAAUUGUUUUUGUUUUAAAAUACGGCCUAGUCUCUCCAAUAUAUAUAUAUAAAUAUUAUAACAUCAUAUUUUCACACAACAAAGAAAAUUUUCAAAACAAUAUAUGUAUUAGCAUGCAUUUUGGCUUUAAUAACCAGUUUAUUUAAGCCAUGAGAACUAGGCCAAUAUUUCAAAAAUUCUAAAAAAUCUUUUUGUUUUCUUUUAGUAUUUGGGAUUACGAAUUUAUACGUAAAACGUAUUCUUAAAUAUUAUUAAUAAAGUUUUGGGUAUAGACGUUAGAACGGUUAGGAUUUUACCCAAUAAGAUAAAGACCUUCUUACCGAGGAGGAUUUUUCUUGAACCAUAGACAGACCAACAACUAGGAAAACAUGAAAAUACCUUAGAUUUUAUCAGACAAUAAAACAAUGCAGCUUACCUUAGGUAGGGCGUAUUUAGGGUGCUAAUACCUUCCCUUUACGCAACCAGUCCCCGUACCCGAUCUCUAAGACCAGUUAGGGUUCCUAGUGACCAAAAUAUUAGGUGGCGACUCCAAAGAACCAAAUCAAAUAAAAAAAAUUCGUCAGUCGAACCCGCAAAUUGGAAUUUUUUCGGGGUGCGACAAACCUAUUAAAAAAGGUUCAAGAUUAGCCAUUUCGAAUGAGAAAAAAAGAAACAAUCAUAAAUAACAAAUCGAAGAUGGAAGAAUAAAUUACCGUAUUUGGACGCAACGAAACCGAAAAAAAACUAAGGUAAAGUCUAGACAAGAGCGCGCGCAUAAACUAUUUAUUGAUGAGCUUGUUUGUGUCAACAUAAAAAAAUAUCAAAGUAAUCCAGGCAAACUUUUGCAGAUUACGAAGAAUCUAAAUCGGAUAAAAAAGCUUUCAAUCAAAGUGUAUAUUUGAUAUAGAUUCAGUUUAGUAAUAAUUGUUUUUUAAUAUUUUAUUUUUAUUUUUCAAAAUUUAUUUUUAACAUCAAAAGCAUAUAAAAACAUUAUAAAAGAUUGAAAAAUUACAGUAAACCAUAUAACUUUUUGAAAGAUUUUAUACACGAAACCCUUGCUUAAUGACCGUGUAAAAUUAAUACACUUGGAAAGUACUUUUGCUACAGUUUUUUGGAUAGUUCAAACUCAUUUAAAGUAUUUUUAGUUGGAUGUUCAUAGAGGUGAAAACAAAAGGAUUACUGUUACCUAACCUGAAGUGGAAUGAAGGUUGACAAAGUCAAAGACAGCGAUCAAACACUCAUAAAUGCAAUGAAUCAGCUUUUUUUGGACUUUCCACAGAUACACCUGUUUUCCACCACGUUUGUUUUGGGACCCCUUAUAUCUGAAAAUGUCUUCAACACGCAAUAGCUAUUGAAUCCCACAAAGCAUAUUCUCCUUCUCCUUCAUUUUUUAAUAUUUUGAUCUCCAUAUCAAUUCAGCAUUACAUAAGACUUUUUUUGAAUAAGGGGCUAUUCACACAAAAGAAUAAAAAGCCAUAAACAAAUCUACAGCAGACAUCCAUCAAUGCAAGAAAUGCCCAUUUUCAAGAACUCUAAGCAACUCCUGAAUCAUUGUAAGAAGCAUAAUAGUACUGUCCGGUUGUUCGAAUAGUUAAAAUACAGUUUCUUCUACUAAAAUACUAUUUUUACAUAUCUACAUACAAAAGCCAACGUCUCUUUAUCUAUGGUUGGCUUUUGUGGCACCGUUUGGCAUUGCGUUCCAAAUGGUGUUUUGUCCAAAUUUGAAUUUUUUUUUUUUACUAAAAUUGAGUGACGUUUGUACUUUUUGGAUCGUUUUGAUAUGCUGAUGUCAAAAAUGAUUUUUAAAAAAUAAAAAAAACAUCAUUUACAUGUAUUUCGGCACGAAAAGCUAUUUGAAAUGCAACCGCUACCACACCGCCAAACACGCUCCGUUGUUGCAACGAUGACAGAGGAGCUGGUUCAUUGGUUAAGGUUUUUGACAAGGUGAGGGCGAUCAAGAAUUGAGUUUUUUGUAUUGAUAGAAAUGCAGAAAAACUCCAAUCUUUAAAGACAAAAAUGGCAUCAUCAAGGGAAGUGUUAUUGAAAACUAUGGCGGCGGCAAAUUGUAUAUCUUAUUGCUUACCAGUUUUUAAUUAGAAACUUAUAAAUCUAUGGAAAAUUAGAAGGUGCACCGGAAAAGUUGGAAAUAUCUGUAAAAAUCAAAGCUUACGACGACAUAAAUUUUAAAGAAUUUGAUUAUUUCAAUUAGGCCUUUCUAUAAAAGUAGUGUUGGCACCUCAAGAAUAAUCCUACUGAUUUGUGUAGCAAAUGCUUAAAGAGAUUUGUAUCAAUAUUUCAAAAAGUUGGAUUGGAAAAGCGAUUUCAGAACAUUCAGAAAUUUGAAUUUUUUUUUAAAAAAUAAUUUUUUAUAUUUUUAAAUUAUUUUAACAUUCUUCUAUCAAAAUUAUUUUUUCAAAAAUUAAUAAAAAAUAUAUUUUAAUAUAUAUAAAAAAUUAUAAUUUAAACAAAUAACUGCUAUUAUAUAUCCAAGCGCCUUGAUAAAAGGUUUGAGAUGAGAAAUUGAGAAUGGGAGAAGAAUUGGUAUUUGGGAUCGGAGAGGAAUCAAAGUUGGGUUGUAUGUGAUAAAAAUAUUAAAGUUGGAGAUCCUAAACUCAAUUUAAUAUGAAUUUUUUUUUCGUUUUUCGUUAAUUAGUUCCAGUUCGAAGGGUGGUGGCUAAGUUUAUUUAAAAAGAAAAUCAAUGGGAAUUUAUAAUAUUUAAUGUAAGAGUUUUGUAGUUAUUAGUUUUAAAAUUCAUUAAAAAAUACUUUUCAACUGUGAUGUGUGUGGCCCAACCCCUGCUCUUGACAGGAAGGUGCCUCUGCUGCCCAAUGCGCGUUCGAUAACCCUUUCAUUUCUCUUUUUGCUUUUUCUCCACCGAAACUCCAUCUUCUUUACAGUGUAAACUUACCAGUACGAGUUCUUGACCUAAAGUAACCGGAAAAAUUAAAGGGCUUUGGAAGUUGGUUACUAAGAUACCAGAAGAAGAAGAAAUAUUGGGCUUGGCUGGAUCUUGUGCCUCUUUAGCCAACACUUACCACACGGUUUGUUUCGUCUAGAUUCGUGAAAUACUCGUAGAAAUUUGGUGUUUUCUGAUAUGUUCCAGCUUGAAAUUACUAAUUGGUAGAUUUAAUUGCCAAAUUUCUUGAUCUUACCUUCUGUUUCAUGUUUGACCACAGGAGCAGGCCUUACACGCGUGGAAAGCAAUUGCUGAACCAAGCUAGCUAGUUGAGGCCAGAAGGGAUCGGUACUAGUUUAUCGCUUUAGGGAUUUUCAUGGCUUCCAGCAGCGUGCAAGGAAUAAGCUCAUCUUCAUCUUCUCCUCCUCCACUAUAUAUGUAUGAUGUGUUCCUUAGUUUUAGAGGCAAAGACACCCGGAACAACUUUACUAGUCAUCUAUAUUCUAAUCUGAAACAGAGAGGCAUCGAUGUGUACAUGGAUGAUAGGGAGCUCGAGAGAGGAAAGCAUCGAACCUGCUCUCUGGAAGGCCAUGAAGAAUCAAGGUUUUCAGUCAUUAUAUUUUCAAGAGAUUACGCUUCUUCACCAUGGUGCUUGGAUGAACUUGUCAAGAUUGUUCAGUGCAUGAAAGAGAUGGGCAAACUGUUCUGCCAGUUUUUUAUGAUGUGAUCCCUCAGAGUUUUAUGAUGUGGAUCCCUCAGAGGUAACCGAGCGGAAACGGAAAUAUGAGGAAGCCUUCGUGAGCAUGAACAAAAUUUCAAGGAAAACUUGGAGAAGGUCCGGAACUGGAAAGAUUGUCUCUCUACGGUGGCCAAUCUAUCUGGCUGGGACGUACGGAAUAGGUAAAUCAUCUAUCUACUUAUUCUUAUUCUCAAAUCUGCCCGGUAUUGUUUCAUUGAUGAACAAGCAUGAUAGUAAAUGUGUGUUUUUUUCAUAUACAUGUUUUUUUAUUUUAAUUUUUUUAUGAUAUUUUGAACUGAUGUGAUCAAGCAUUUCUAAUCUUUAUAUAAAACUUCUUUCUAUUCUUGGGUUUUUCUUUAUAUUUUGAAAAUAAAAUAAAUAUUUAAAAAAAAAAUUUAAAAUGUAUAAAAAUAUUGAAAAUACUUACCUUGUCUUCAGGGGCUUAUUCAUGCUUCUUUUUUUUUUUUUGUGAUAAAAAAAGAAAAGAAAAGAAAAGUGGUUGGCUUGUUUGUAGAAGCUAGUAAGUUGUUCUGUCUUAUUUAAGCAGCACGAGCAAUGUCUUAUGACACCCAAAAAAGGCAUUCAUUGAUGUUUUCUGAUUCACCAUGACUUGACCUGCCUCUCUAAGUGGCAUGUGUGGAGUAAUUUUUUCUGGUUUGGCACCAAAUGACUUUCUUUUGUUUUGUCUUUAUCCUCAAAUUCUGCACCCGACCUUCUAAACUUUUAUAGGAACCCUUCAAUCUUUCUUUUUUUUUCAUAUUUGUUCUAUUUUCUUUGAAUUGAUAUUUUUUUAUAUGAAUUAUUUUUUAGAAUUGAAAUUUGCUGUUAAUUUUAUACUUUUUAAUUUUUUAAUCUAUUAGAUUUGAUUCUCAUUUUUUUGAUUACUAUUUAUUUUAUAUGAGAUUAUUUUUUUAAUAUAUAUAUAUAUAUAUAUAUAUAUAUAUUAUUUCUGAUUUCAUACUUUAACAUUGAAUUAAGCUUUUUGAUUUAGUCUGGAUUUAGGAUUUAACAGAUUGAGAAUUUGGGAUACUAACCUAGGUUUAGGAGAUUUGUCUAGGUUUUUUUUUUUGAAGCUCAUGUUUUUUUUCCAGUUUCAUUAUUCAAUAUUUAAUUUAAUUAGAGACUGGGCUCUAUUAAUUUUUUUAUUUGUUUUCUAUAAGAUUUUUAAAUAAUUUUAAAAAUAACCGAGGUUAUCUUAAGUCUUUUUAUUUCUCAUUCUUUGUUAAAUCUAGCUCCUAUUUUUUUUAAAAUCCUUUUUUUAAUUGAAUAAUUUUUUUUAUGUUUAGCUUUUAAUAUUUGGUUGAUUGAAAUUGGGCUCUAUUUUAUUUUGAUAUGGGUUCCAUGGAGUUUUCACCGAUAUGUGCCUCGGAUCGUGAGUUUCACAAGUUAAUCAUAGUUACUCCAGGUCGAUCUAGUGUGUUGUCGUCACAAUUAUAUUUUUAAAUAAAUAUAUCGUCCAAUAUAUUGAUUUUUUACUUUCAAAUAUUAUUAUAUUUUUAAAGGUUAGAAAAAAAUAAUCCACACUUGAGGCCAAAAAUCUAGUUAAAGAACUACACAUUAAAGUGAAGUUUUCAACAAGUGGCAACUUAUCAUUAGUAUCAUCUAUGGUUCAGUUUUUAAGGUAUGACAUAAAAGCUACAUGAAUUUUUUCCCAUGAAAAAAAUUAUUUCUCAAAGUACUAUAGGUGGGAAAAGUUUUUUCAAACUAGCUCAGGCAUCACUAACGCAACUUGACACAUGCAGGUCUCGCAUGUCAAAAAAGUCUUCCUUUCUUUCUUUGUUGGGUAGGUCCCUCAAUUUUUAUAUUUAGUUAACUUUAGUUCCAUUAUUACGAUCAUUUCAUCUAUUCUUUUGCACACAAAAAAAUAUGAAUUAAAGUUAAUAUUUAUUUCAAAUGCAAUCGCUAAAAAGAGUUAAUUUUUGCCUAAAAUAUUGUUAUGUUUUUGCCCAACUUAAAUAAAAUAAGUUUAUAUUAAUGAAAUGAUCAUUAUAUUGAAAUUAAUAUUAAGAUUGUAUAAAAAUUGAAAGACCAAAUAAAAGAUUAAAUAGAGAAGAAAGACGAAGAAAUGCGUUGUGAAAAUUUGAGUUGUGAGAAGCAUAUGUUAGUUUGGGAAAUGUUCUUUGGGCUAUGCUAAUAUGGAAAAAACUCAAAAAUUAAUAAAUUAAAGUUGUUUUUUUUAAAAGUUAAUUAUGCUAAAUAAUUGAAUUUUUUGUUAAAAAUAAUUAUAAAAACAACUUAGUGGUCGACAAAAAAUAUGAUAGAACUCCUUUUGCCUUUUGGUCUGUUAAAACCAAACUUAAUGGAUAUUUUAUUUCCUAGCUUUUGUUCUUGUAUGCAUGCUUUUAGUAACUGUGUGAUUCUAUAGGCAAUAGAUAGCUAUUGUACGAAUCAUUCUUAGCAUUAAUACAAUCCUAGUUCCUUUUUUAGUUUAUUCUUUCCUUUUCCUCUUUGUUCUUGAAGCUAUCUAUUAUCAGGGCCCUAUCUUUCUCAAAGGUUGGUGUAUUAAUUUUCGGCUAACAGCCAUACAUUUUCGAGCUAAAUAUGCUAAUGUUUAUUUCCCAUUAUCACUAUCUGAUUUGAUUUCUGCACACUGCAUGAUUAAUGUUUUGCACCCUCCUAUGCAGGAAUGAAUCGGAAUCAAUUAAAUAAUUGUUGAAUACAUAUCGUACAAACUAAGCAUCACUCUGCCAACAAUUAGCAAAAAAUUAGUUGGAAUAGAUUCUCGUAGAGGUAUUAAAUGGUAUAUAGGUGAAGAAGUAGGCAAGCAAUCUUCAUAGGGAUUUGUGGAAUGGGUGGCAUAGGUAAGACGACUGUUGCAAGGGUAGUAUAUGAUAGGAUUCGUUGGCAAUUUGAAGGCAGCUGCUUCUUAGCAAAUGUCAGAGAAGUUUUUGCUGAGAAAGAUGGACCACGUCGUUUGCAGGAACAACUUCUUUCUGAAAUCUUAAUGGAACGUGCUUAUAUGUGAUUCUUCUAGAGGGAUUGAAUGAUAAAGCGGAGGUUACACUUAAAAAGAUUCUUCUUAUCUUGAUGAUGUAGAUGACAUAAAACAACUAGAAUCUGGCUGAGAGCCUGGAUGGUUUGGUCCAGGGAGCAGAAUUAUCAUAACAAGCAGAGAUACAAAUGUGUUAACUGAAAUGAUGUACUAAAUUUAUGAGGCUGAAAAUUGAAUGAUGAUGAUGCUCUUAUGUUGUUUAGCCAGAAAGCUUUCAAAAAGACCAACCUGCUGAAGAUUUCUGGAACUAUCCAAGCAAGUUGUGGGUUAUGCUAAUGGCCUUCCACUGGCUCUUGAAGUUAUAGGUUCGUUUUGAUGGAAGAAGUAUCGAAUGGAAGUGCGAUUAAUAGACUGAAUGAGAUUCCUCUGAAAUUAUUGAUGUGCUUCGCAUUAGUUUUGAUGGUCUCCAUGAAUUAGAGAAGAAAAUAUUUUUAGACAUUGCUGUUUCCUUAAGGGUUUAAAAAGAUCGAAUAAUAAGGAUACUUGACAGCUGUGGAUUCCAUGCAUUGGAAUACCAGUUCUUAUUGAGAAAUCUCAUAAGUGUCUCUCGGGAUCAAGUCUGGAUGCAUAAUUUAUUACAGAUAAUGGGUAAGGAAAUUGUUCGUUGUGAAUCCCCUGAAGAGCCUGGAAGGCGCAGUAGAUUGUGGACAUACGAGGAUGUCUGCCUUGCACUGAUGGACAACACAGUGAGUAGCUGAUAAGAACAUUAUCCAUAAGAUUUCAUGAAGUUUAUUUUAAUUUACGCUCCAUCUCUACUUUGUAUUUGUUUUUUACUUGUAUUCCCUUUUGGUUGACAGGGAAAAGAAAAAAUAGAAGCCAUUUUCCUGGACAUGCCUGGAAUAAAAGAGGCACAAUGGAACAUGAAAGCCUUCUCUAAAAUGAGCAACUAAGAUUGCUCAAAAUCAACAACGUGCAGCUUUCUGAAGGACCUGAAGAUCUUUCCAAUAAGCUACGAUUUCUUGAAUGGCAUUCUUACCCUUCAAAAUCAUUGCCAGCUGGUUUACAGGUGGAUGAGCUAGUUGAACUUCACAUGGCUAACAGUAGUUUGAGCAAUUAUGGUAUGGGUGUAAGGUGAGAUCAACUAAUUUAAGCCUUUGUAUUUUUUUUAUCGUUUUCCUAUAUAUGUAUGAUAGUAUCCAUAUUUCUUCUCCCCUGCUGAUUGCAGAGUGCAGUUAAUUUGAAAAUCAUCAAUCUCAGCAACUCACUAAACCUGAUCAAGACUCCAGAUUUUACUGGAAUUCCGAAUCUCGAGAACUAUUCUUGAAGGUUGUACAAGUUUGUCUGAGGUCCAUCCAUCACUUGCACAUCACAAGAAGCUUCAAUAUGUGAAUCUUGUGCAUUGCAAAGUAUUAGGAUUCUCCCAAACAACUUGAAAUGGAAUCACUUAAAGUUUUCAUCUUGAUGGCUGCUCAAAACUUGAGAAGUUUCCAGAUAUAGUAGGAAACAUGAACUGUUUGAUGGUGCUUCGUUUGGAUGGGACUGGUAUUGCUGAACUAUCUUCAUCAAUUCAUUUGAUUGGCUUAGGUAUUGAGCAUGAACAACUGCAAGAACCUUGAAAGCAUUCCAAGUAGCAUAGGUUGUUUGAAAUCCCUUAAAAAACUUGAUAUGUCUGGCUGCUCUAAACUUAAAAUAUACCAGAGAAUUUGGGGAAAGUUGAAAGUUUGGAGGAGUUUGAUGUAAGUGGAACUUCAAUAAGACAACCGCCAGCAUCCAUUUUUCUUUUAAAGAAUCUUAAAGUAUUAUCUUUUGAUGGAUGCAAAAGAAUAGCUGUGAAUCCCACGGAUCAAAGGUUGCCUUCUUUGUGGUCUGUGUUCUUUAGAAGUACUGGAUUUAUGCGCUUGCAAUCUAAGAGAAGGGGCACUUCCUGAAGAUAUUGGCUGCUUAUCUUCAUUGAAGUCUUUAGAUCUGAGCCAAAUAACUUUGUUAGCCUGCCUAAAGCAUAAAUCAGCUUUCUGACUUGAAAUGCUUGUCUUGGAGGAUUGCAGAUGCUUGAAUCAUUGCCUGAGGUUCCAUCAAAAGUUCAAACAUUAAAUUUGAAUGGUUGUAUAAGCCUAAAAAAUUCCAGAUCCGAUAAAGCUAAGCAGUUCCAAAAGAUCAGAGUUCAUAUGUCUUAACUGCUGGGAAUUGUACAAUCAUAAUGGCCAAGACAACAUGGGGUUGACCAUGCUUGAAAGAUACCUCAGGUCUUCUCUUAAUCAUACCCCAACCUCUUUGUAUCUCUCUCCCUCUCCCUCUCUAUCUAACAUUUUGGUUCUUCAUGGUACAGGGUUUGUCUAAUCCAAGACCUGGAUUUGGUAUCGUGUUCCAGGAAAUGAAAUUCCAGGCUGGUUUAACCAUCAAAGUAAGGGAUCUUCAAUUAGUGUGCAAGUGCCUAGUUGGAGCAUGGGGUUUGUUGCGUGUGUUGCAUUCAGUGCAAAUGGUGAAAGUCCUUCUCUUUUUGUCAUUUCAAAGCCAAUGGAAGAGAGAAUUAUCCUUCGCCGAUGUGUAUUAGUUGUAACUCUAUCCAAGUUCUGUCAGAUCAUUUGGCUAUUCUAUCUAUCUUUUGAUUACCUUAAAGAGCUUAAAGAAUGGAAGCAUGAAUCCUUUAGCAACAUUGAGUUGUCUUUCAUUCUUACGAGCAAGGAGUAAGGUGAAGAAAUUGUGGUGUCUGUUUGUUAUCUUCUCUAUUUAUUAAACCACAAACAUCUGCCCAUUUUAUUGUCACAAGCAAAGAAGCAGCUUCUUUAUAUAAAGAUUCUUUAGCUUUUUCUUCGUCGUACCAUGAAUGGAUGGCCAAUGUCUUCCCUGUCACCAGGUCGUAGAUCUAGCCCCGAGAUUCAUUAUACCAGUCAGAAGGAACCAGAGAAAGUAAUCGCAAUUAGAUCAAGACUCUUUGAGGCCAUUGAAGAAUCAGGGAUGUCAAUUAUUAUAUUUUCUAGAGAUUGUGCUUCUUUACCUUGGGACUUUGACGAACUUGUCAAGAUUGUCGGAUUCAUGGAUGAGAAGAGAUCGAACACUAUGUUUCCAGUUUCUUAUGAUGUCGAACAAUCAAAGAUGGAUGAUCAAACAGAGAGUUACACAAUUGUCUUUGAUAAGAAUGAAGAAAAUCUCAGGGAAAACGAGGAGAAGGUACGAAGAUGGACGAACAUUCUCAAUGAAGUUGAGAUUUCAUCUGGAUCAAAAAGGUAAUAAUUACUUAUUCAUCUGAAUCGAAGAGGUAAUAAUUACUUCGAAAAGUUGCUUUCAUAAGAACUGAAUGUCAACAAAUCUAUGAUCUUUCUAAAUGGCGUGCGAAAACACCGUGCAAGUUCACAGCAUGGUUAGAGUUUUUUUCUUUUAAGGUAGAUUUUGAAUUUAAAAAACAAUAUUUUUAAAGUAGUUUUUUUUUAUUCAGUAACUUUUUUUUUUCAAUUUGAAUGUGUUAAUAAAGUUAAAGAAACAAAAUAAUUGCAUAGAUUCAACCUUCUAAAAAACAAUAUGCACAACACCAUCAAAUAACAAUUUAUAUCCAAAAACUGUAACCAAAAUAGAAUGCAUGCACUGAAGUCUUGGACAAGUCAUUAUUAAAUUUGAUUGAGUUCAUAUUUCAGGUCUUAUGUUUAAUUUUUUUGGUUAAAAGUUGAUAUAAAUUUCUGGGAAAAAACAUAUUGAACUCGGUUGAGUUCAUGCUCCAGCCAUGGGUUUAACGAAUUAAACAACAACAACCACACAAUGUUUUUUCUCAUAUUGCUUUUUUACUGAUAUUUUUUUAUGUAUCUUUUUUUUUAAUAUUUUUUAAAUUUAUGUUUCAAAUAAUAUCCUUCAUUAUGAUUUUUUUUUAUAGAUAUUGUUUUAUAGUAUUGUUCGUAUUUAAUUUUUGAAAAACUUAUUAUGAUUCAUUAAUAUUUUUUUAUUUUUUUUGUAUAAAAGAACUUAAUUUUAAAAAAUAAAAAAUAUGAAUUUUCAAAUAACAUUAACAUGUACAACAACCUUGCAUAAUAAUUUUUUUCUAUUUUUAUUUUAUUUAAUCAAUUUAAUAUGUGUAUUUAUUUUUAAUAUCAUUUGAUUGAAUAAAAAUAUUAAUUUUAAUAAACAAAUUUAAAAAAUAUAAAUGGGUAAAUGUUCUAUUUAUUAAUACAUUCAAAUUUUUUAAUUUUAUUUUUAAUUAUUGUUAAUAUAUUUUUUUAUUAUUAUUUAUUCACAUAGUUAUCAAUUUAUUUGAUUACAUGUAUGUAUGGAUUUUUUUUAUACUUUUAAUUUUUUUUUGUACAAAAUGCACAACUAUUUUGUAAGAGAAAAAAAAUUUGUCCAUAGAAAAGCACAUCUUAUUUUUUUCACAAACAAUUUGCAAAAAAAAAAAAUUGUUAGUAGACAUAGGCCAAACAAAAUGGACCACUCGGGCUAGUCUGACUUACUAGACUUAACAACGCUUAACUUUUAUUUUUUCUUCUUUUAAUUUUAUUAAAUUAAUACUUCUUUUAUAUUUUCUUAAAUAUUUUUUUUAUUUAUAUUUAGAUUAACAUCUCUUCUCAUUUUUUUAUGUUGUUUAGAGAUCCUUUUUAAAAUUACGGUUAUUUUUUAGUUAUGCAUUUAAUGUUUUAGGAGGUUUUUCUACUUUAUCUAAAUAUUUUUUUUAAUCUUUUGUAUAGAUGAACUUUAUUUUUUAAAAUAAAAAGAUUUUAAUUUCAAAUAAUAUUUAUAAUAUGUGCAGCCUUGAAUAUUAUUUUUUUUCUUUUUAUUUUAUUCAAUCAAUUUAAUAUGUGUCUAUUUUUAUUAUCGUUUGAUUAAAUAAAAAACUUGUUUUAAUUAAUAAAUUUAGUAAAUAUAAUUGCAUAAAUUUCUCAUCUUGCGAAAUUAAAUAUCUUAAUCUACAACUAUUUCUUGGUUUUUCAUAUUUUAUUUUUAGUUAUCUUUUAUAAAUGUUUUUUUUCAUUUAUUAAGACACGUAGUUCUUGAUUUAUUUAAUUGUAUUUAUGCAUAAUAUUUUUUUUAUUUCCACUUAAAAAAAUUAAAUACAAAAACAUAUUGAAAAAUUAUAUUUAUAAAUUUUUUUGUUAAGAUUUUUUUUAACCUGCGACGAAUUUACGUAACAAGUAUCUAGUAACAUCGAUUCCAUGUAUAGUUUGACUAUGCGGUGGGGAUGGGAGAACGAAUGUUUAGUUUUCAAGUCCUUUUUUAUCUAAUCUAUUUUUUUAUAUGACAAUUUUACCUAACCGAAUGAUAGAAAUUUUUUUUUUCAGUAACAAUUUAAUGUCGUUCGACCCUACAAUAUGCAUUAAUAAUUAAAGUUUGAGAAAAUUCCCAUUGUGCCAAGCUAUAUAUAUACACACACACAACACUUCUGACCUCUCCUUCUCAUGACUCUCAGCGGCAAAGGAGCUCCAGCAACGCAGCAGCAGCAGAUCCAGCUCCACCUCCACCAGCAGCGGAUCCAGCAUCUCCAACUGGUCAAGCAGUGGCAGGGAUGGCUCCAGUGGUUCCAGAAGCGCGAGCACUUGUCUGAGCAGCAGCGUGAGGAGCAUCUCGAGCUGCAGGAGCUGCUGGAGCGGCAGCGGCAGCGGCAGGAGCUGCUGGAGCGGCAGCGGCAGCAGCUGGAGCAGCUGCCGCUCCAGCUGCUGGAGCAGUGGGAGCUGCUGGAGCGGCGGCAGCGGGUGGAGCGGCAGCUGGGGGAGCGGCAGCAGCAGCAGCAGCGCGAGCAGCAGCAGCUGCUAGGGCUGCCGCAGCUGCUCGAGCGACAGCGGCAGCUGCGCGAGCGGCAGCGGCAGCAGCUGCUCGAGCAGCGGUGGCAGCAGCACGAGCAGCGGUGGCAGCUGUUGCUCGAGCAGCAGCAGCAGCUGUUGCUCGAGCAGCUGUUGCUCGAGCAGCAGCAGCAGCAGCAGCCGCCUUGGGUUUGGUUUGGAAUCUAACUUGCUUUAGCUUGAAGAUCUUCGUCAGUUUUUGCUCAUGGUUUUGGUUUUGGUUUGGGGUAAUUUGAUUCACAUUUUGCAAUAUUGGUUAUCGGUAUAUUUUUAUUUUGGCGUCUCGGUGUUUCUGCGACCGUAGAUUCCAAGACGUUUUUCCAGCUACUAAUUCUAUAAAUAUAAUGAAAACAGAAAUGAGAAACUCGUCAUUUUUUCUAUUGAUGUAGAACGAGGAAGAAGACGAGGGGGAGAAUAGAUGAAGGAGGAGAAUAGUGUUAGAAGAAUAGAAAGGUGACGAGUAAAUACAAGGGGAGAGCAGUAGGAGUUGAUAUCCAGAACUCUUAAUUAAUACUAAAAAUUUUAUUAAUGUAAAUGAAGGAAAAAAAAUGGAUUUUUGGGUAAUAUUAUUUAUAUUAGUACUAAAAAUCUUGAAGGAUUAUUAUUAAAUGUAUUAUUUUAAAUAGUGAAUAAAAAUGAUGAUUAUUAUUAUUUAAUGUGAUUAUGCUUAAUUAACUAGUGAAAGAUUAUUAUUAAAUCAGUAUUUUAAGGUUAUAUUAUUUUUCGCUUCUACUAUUUUUUGUUAUUUUUUCUAAUGUUAGUAUUUCUAAUCUAAAUAAAAUAUUUAAUUUGUUUAUAACAUGUUUUCAAUGAUUAAAUGUUGUCUGUUUUUUUUAUUUUGCAAACAGAUUUAAUUUUGUUGUGGGAUCAGUACUUGACCUUAUAUAUUGUGAGUAUUAAUAAAAUGUUUAAUUUGUAUAUAACAUAUUCUUCUUAAAUUUAGGAUAAUCCCAUGUUUGCGGAUGAAAGCCUGUGCUCUGCAAAAUUUUAACCUGUAUUUUGAAAUAGCUAGUCUGUCCACUUUUUUAACUCUGUUUUUUGGUGUAUGAUAUAUUUAAAUUAAAAACUAUAUAUAUUAAUAAAAACUAUAUUUUGCUUUCUUUUAAAUCAAUUUCAUUUAGAAUUCUUUGAAAUUAAUUUUAAGUAUUUUAAUAUUUCAUGUUAUAAUAUUCAUACUAAAAAAUAUUUUUCAACAAAAUCUUAAUUUAUUAAUUUAAUAUUUGAUUAAAAUCCAAUUACACUUAUUAACGACCACGUUUUAAAACCAUUUUCUCCCAACAGCAGGCAUUUUACAUUCAAAAUACAUGAAAAUUGAUCUUAAAUGUGACCAAGCUGUAUGCAUGCAUUCUAACCAUUCUAAACAAUUCUCUCAAUUCUCUAUUUUAAGAGGUGUUUAUUAUUGUGGUAAUAUAUAGUUAUUUUUUAAAAUAUUUUUAUUUAAAAUAAAAUUUUUUAUCUUUUAAAAUUUAUUUUUAAUACAGUAUAUCAAAACGAUAUAAAAAAACUUAAUUUGAAGAAAAAUAAAUAAAUAAAAAAUUCAAUUUUUAAAAAUUUAAAAGACAAACAAGCGCUCUAAAUCCCGACAAUCUAUUAGAUAAAAUCAUUAGGAAAGGUGACAUCUUUAAUGUGUUACUUUUAUGUUAAGACCUCGUUUGUUUCAUAAAAAGUGGUUUUCUGGAAAUCACUUUCAAAUUUUUAUGUGUUUAUUUUUCAUUAGAAAAAUUGGUUAACGAAAAACACUUUUCAGUUAAAGGAAAACACUUUUCAGAAAUUGUAAAAAAUUUAGAAAUAUUAUAUUAUUUGCUAAUUAUAUCAAAUUUGAUACUCAAACUUUUGAUUACUAUAUAUUUUGUUUUGAAUCUUUUUUUUUUUAAUUUCAUCCCUUAGAGUUUGAUCUAAUUUGAUUUUUAUAUCAACUUUGGUUUUGAUUUUUAUGAUUAUUAUUUGUUUUUCUUUUAUCCUUUUCUUAAUUGAAAUUUUUUAUCUAUCAUAUUUGUUUCUCAUUCUUUUGAUUAUUAUUUAUUUUAUUUGUAAUAGUUUAUGAAAUUAUAAUUAUUUUUUUAAUUUCAUUAUCUUUCAAUUUUUUUAUCUAUUAUAUUUGAUCUCCAUUAUUUUGAUUUUUAUUUAUUAUAUUUGAGAUAAUAAAAGAAAUUAGAUUUUUUUUCUCAAUUUCAUUCUCAUUCAACUUUUUAAUUUGUAAGAUAUGUUCCUUAUUAUUUUAUUAAACUUUUAAAAAAUAUUAAUAAGUUAUUUUUCAUAUUAUUUUUCAUGACAUAGCUAAAUAUUGAAAAAUAUUUUCUAACUUAUUUUUCAUGAUACUAUCAAACAUAAAAAAUUUAUUCACUUUUUAAAAAUUUAUUUUUCAAGAAAAAAUUAUAUAUAAAAAAAUUAAUUUCAAAUAAACAACGGGCAAAGUAUUUGUUUUUUCUUCUCAAAAACAGAAAACCACCUUCGUUGUGCAGUGCAACAUUUCAUGCCCCAAGUUAGUUAGCUUAUUAGGAAUUAAAGUUUGCUGGUAGUAAUUUUAUGUUAUAUAUUUGGUGAACAAAGCCAAUUCACUACUGAUCAUGAUUUGUAAAUAAGCUGAAUGUAUUUUUCAAAACCCUGAAAUAUUGGGAAUUAAAGUUUGCUGGUAGUAAUUGUCGUACUUGUGCGGUGUAAUGGCGAAAACAUCCACCCUUAAAAUCUGGUAUUAUCUAAAAACGUGGCAAAUAGGGGAGACAAGGAAUUCUUGUCUUUUAUUAGUGGAAAAAUUGGAAUGGGAGUCGCCACCUAGUAUUUUGAUCACAGAGAUCAGGUACGGGGACUGAUUGCAUAAAGGAAAGGUUUUAGCACCCCAAAUACACCCUACCUAAGGUAGGCUGCAUUGUUUAAUUGUCUGAUAAAAUCUAAAGUCUUGUUGUGUUUUCUAGUUGUUGGUUCGUCUAAGGUUUAAGAAAAGUUCUCAUUGGUAAGGAGAUCCUUAUCUUAUCGGAUAAAACCUAAAUGUUCUGACGUCAACAAAAGAAUUUAAUAUCCAGAAUACAUCUUACGUAUAAGGUUGUAAACCCAGAUAUUAAAAGAAAAAAAUAAAUUUUUUGGAAUUUUUGAAAUAUUGGCCUAGUUCUCGUGACUUUAAUAAACUGGUUAUUAAAACUAAAAUGCAUGCUAAUACAUAUUUUUAAAAUUUUCUUUGUUAUAUGAAAAUACAAUAUGAUUUUUAUUUUUUUAUUUUUGAGAGACCUGGCCAUAUGCAUGAAAACAAAUUUUUUUUUAUUUUUUUUUUAAAAAUUUAACAUCUUGACAAAAACCGGGUAUUUUAAUACCAGAUUUGUAUCUUUAUAGUAUAAAAAUACAAACCUGUAUUAAUUAAAAUACAGUAAUUUAUUUUUGCAGAAAAUCACAUAUAUUAUUUUUUACUGUUUUUUUUUUUCUCAUGUUCUGCUCAUCUCGGUCUUUUCCCCUUCACGUUCCCCUUUUUCUGUCCUUUUCUCCCCUCCGUUUUCCCUCUCGGGUUCUUCUGCUUUUCCUGCUCUCCCCUUUUCUUUUCUUUCCCCGUCUGCUGCCCCUCUUCCUCACGUCUCCCUCUACUUUUAUUCUCCCUGUUUUCCUCUCUUCCCCCUUGUUUUCUUUUUCUGCUGUCUCCUUCCUUUUUUUCCCCUCUUUUCUCCUCCCUUUUCAGUCUUCUUCUCCUGCUUUUAUAGGCCAGAGACGGCCUUGUGCUGGUAAGUGGUAACGGUCACCUUGUAAUCUGGAAACAACGGGAUAGCAGCCAUAAAACGUGCCCCAAGAUUGAAGCAAUUUGGCGCUUUUGCUGCAAAACGUAUCUCUGUUUCUUUACUGCUGAAAACGGCUUCUCGAGGGAGACAACGAAUUGUGCUUUUAAUGAAACGGCGCCGUUUCAAAAUUCAAAUGAAUAUUUGCGAUUCGGUCCUUGUAUGUUUUUAUAAUUUUGUAAUCAAGCCCCCGGAUGGAUUGUAAUUGAAUCCCUUGAUCUUAACGCUUUUCUGGUUUGGUCCUUAGUUUUGAAUUGUUUCAAUUAAGUCCCUAAAUGACCAUCAAACUUCAAUAAUUAUACAAUUAAGCCCCUAAUUUGACCAAAUCACUAUUCAAAAUUAUAAUUGGACCCCAUAACUUUAAUUUCUUCCAAUAAAAACCUAAAUUGACUUAAAAAAUUAAUUUUCUUGCAAUCAAACCUUCCAUAAAUUCAAUUAAACCUUGGAUAAAAUUUAAUUGAGUCCAUAAACAUCUGAUUUUGGACUUUUCUUUCUCAAAUUGAAUUUUUCUUGUCCCCAGGGCUCUCAUCAGUAAAAAAUAUACUGUCAAAAUUUUAAUUCUUGUAUUUUUGAAUCUCCUCAAUCAAUUUCUAUCCUUUUUUCAGCAUUCCAACAUCAUUUUCUCACUCCUAUUAUUUUUGAAUUUCUUUCAAAUAUUUUUUUUGAUAUAUUUUUUUGUAUUUUCUCAUUUUUAUUUUUUUUUGGUUUUGUGGGAACCCAAAAAUGGAUAACAACAUUAAUUUUAGGUUAUAUCUUUGGUGAACAUCUUGGAUUCAAUUUGCCAAAUUCUCAGUUAUUCUUGAAUUAACAUAAAUCUUGCUACUCAAGACAAUUUUUUUUUUUUACUAAACAAACACAACAUACAUGUAAAUAUAAAUUCAAAAUAUCUUUACUCUAAUAAAAAAAUAAUAAUUUAGUAACAAUUUUUUUUAUAAACCUGAAAAAUUGUCGCUUUGGUAGGCAUGCUUUUAAAUAGAAUAUGAAUUUCCACUAUCAUACCCCAAAAGAAGGUUUAUGCAGGGUUUAAGGCGGCCGAUAUGCUAAUACCACUAUCAUACCCUCUCUAUGAACUCAUUUCCUUUCUCAAAUUGCAUUGCCCGCGCAUUUUAAUUCAUCUCUCAAUCACUUCAAUUCCAUUUUAUUUUAUUUUUCAUUUCCUUUAAUUAGAGUGCCAACUCCCGUAUAUUUUCUACCAAAAAUUUUGAUCCUUUGAUUACUUUUGAUAAGAAACCCACAAUUCUAUCUCUAAACCAUCCACAGUUAUGUGGAGAAACGUCGCAAAACAAGCCACUUUGAAAUCCCAAUCAAAGUCCCUCAAUUUUCCUUCAUUUCCAAGAACUUACAGCUUUUUAGGAGUAUCAGAAUUGUUGAUUGUAAUAUUCUCUUAUUCAUUCUUUGUAUAACAGCAGACGUGAAUAUAUAUACAUAGACUGGGAAACUAUUGAGGAAUAUUUUAUGAGCCUAUAAUCUUGCAGCCUAUAAUCUUGCAGAAUCACAUAAUUGAUUCUCACUAAUUAGGAAUAUAUAUAGCUCAUACUAAUUAGGAAUAUACAGCUCAUUGACACUCCCCCUCAAGUUGGAGUAUAUAUGUCGCUCAUGCCCAACUUGCUAAGUGAGUUGUGAAAUACUUUGCCUAUGACUGCUUUGGUGAGGACAUCUGCAAGUUGAUCUUCAGAUUUAACUAAAGAUAUCUCAAUGAUUUUUGCCUCGAGAGUCUCCUUGAUGAAAUGUCUAUCAACUUCAACAUGUUUGGCUCUAUCAUGUUGUACUGGAUUAUGUGCAAUGUCUAUUGCAGCUUUGUUGUCACAAUUCAGUUGCAUGAAUGAUCGGGUUUGAAUCCGAGUUCUCUUAACAAAUUCCUUAUCCAUAGUAGCUCACAUACUCCGUAUGCCAUAUCUCGAUAUUCUGCUUCAGCACUUGAUCUUGACACCACGUUCUAUUUUUUGCUUGGGUCCACUUGGGAUCUUUCAAAGCUUCCUGCACAUUACUUGGAAUAGAUACAGUGGAUAACAAAUGAUGCACAUGAUGAAGAUAGCCUAUGUAGGGACAUAUGAUUAGCAAUAGGGUAUUUAACGUUUGUUUUAGGGUCAGGGUCAUAUUGUUGUCUAGGAAUCCCUUUAGUUGUACGGGGAGGCAGUUGAUAACUUGUGUUUCCAAUAUUACUUGACUCGGGUAAAUUGAUUGAGUUGGAGUUUGAAUGUUCAAUUACCUGUGGGAAAUCUUCAGGACCUGAUUGGAUGAGUGGUGAUGGUACUGUAGUAGGAGUUGUUGAGGGAAGAUUAUCUAAACCAGUACCAGUAUCUAGAGUUCUGAGUGACUCUUGAUCUUGUUGCACCUCUUAAUCUUGUUGUACCAUUGUAACUGGUUGUUCAGACACUGAUUGCUCUAAAAUAUUUUGUUGAAUUUGGAUCUGAGUAUCUUCUGCAAAGAUAGAGCUCUCCCCCUGCAGAGGAUGCUCAGAGACGCCCCCUGAGUAAUAGAAUUCACUCUCGUGAAAAGUCACAUUGGCAGUAAUGUGCAUGGUCUGAGUGGGAGGAUGAAAACAUUUAUAGCCCUUUUGAGUAUCAGCAUAACCCAUGAAGACACAACGCAGAGCACAUGGAUCAAGCUAGCCACGUUGGUGUGGAUAUACCUGAACAUAAGCAACACAUCCAAAGAUACGUGGUUCAAGAUUUGGUGUAGACGGCAUGGUGAGGUGAGUGGUCAAUUCUUGAAAUGGAGUUUUAUACUGAAGAGUGCUGGAUGGAGUUCUAUUAAUGAGGUAAGCAGCAGAACAAAGAGCCUCCCCCAAAAAAUAAUGAGGUAAAUGAGCUUCAAAUAAAGAGGCACGAACAACUUCCACGAGAUGUCGAUUCUUACGCUCGGCGACCCCAUUCUUUUGUGGUGUAUAUGCACAUGUGGUGUGAUGAACAAUACCAUGUUGACUUAAAAAUUAUGCAGAUCAUGGUUGACGUACUCUCCUCCAUUGUCAUAUCGAAGCGUCAUGAUUUUCUGUGAAUUUGAGUAAAACAUAUUGAUAAAAUAGUUUAAAUUUGACAGUUACUUCACUUUUCUGUCUUAAAGGAAAAACCCAGGUAAUCCGUGGUGCAAUCAUAAAUGAAUGUCAUAAACCACUUAUAACCCUUAAUUAUGAAAACAUGUGAUGGUCCCCAAACAUCAGAAUGGACAAUCAUGAAAGGCAUAGAACUUUUAUUCAACCUUAAUGGAUAAGAAACACGAUGAAUUUUUUUCCAAAAUGCAAGUUUCACAAUGGAAGUCUGAUUUAGUAAACUAAGAAAACAACUUUGGAAAUAGAAGUUUCAGAUAACCAAAGGAGGCAUGACCUAAUCGUCUAUGCCAGAGCCAAAUUUUCUUCAUCCUGAUAGACUCACCUCCUCUCACAUGAUGUGUAUGACUUAAUUUUUUAACUGUGUCAUCUGUCAAGUCCAGAUAAUAUGUUUCCUCCCUAGUACCACAUCCAAUCACGGCCCUGGUGAAGAUCUGAAAUAGACAAUACAAUGGCCAAAAACACAAGUACAAUUAAGGGAAUCAAUGAUUUGAGGAACAGAUAACAAGUCAUAGUCAAGUGAAGGGACAACUAAGACAUGAUCAAGACUUAAUGAGGAUGUAAGAGAUAAAGACCCUUCUCCUAUAACUCGGGAAGUGGUGCCAUUGGCCUGACAAUAUGUGUUUGGCUGGAAGGUGUGACAGAGUGUACCCAAUAAGACUAGAUGUCAUGUGAUCCGUUGCACCAGUGUCAAUAAUCCAAGAUCUAUUACCAGUAAGUGAGGAUGUGUAAGAAUUACCUACAGUAGCAAAGGCCUUGGAGUCAGUUGUACCUGAUGGAUUUCUGAUGAAGUCUCCUGUAAUGACUGGGCAGAUGCAAAUAAAGCUCGGUUUGAGUCCCUCUUGCGCCCUUUGUGAACCCAUCCAUCUGGAUAACCAAUGACCUCAUAACAGCCUUUAAUUGUGUGAUUAUCUAAACCACAUUUGGUACAUUUCAUUGGAGGUUUGUUACGAGCAAGUAGUUGUGCAGUCAGAUUGUCUGGACCUGGCAACAACAAGAGCUGUGGCUUCGGAGGUUACACCUGCUUCAGACAUGGUUCCUUGUUGGUUACUUUCUCGUUUAAUAUGUGCAUAUGCAGCCUCAAGUUCUAGCUUUGGCUCCAUCCUCAAAAUCUCUCCUCGGACUUGAUCAAAAUUAUUGUCCAAACCUGCAAGAAAUAUAUAAACUCUAAGACAAUCAACUUCUUUUCGUCUAGUUUCAAUGUCUGACGGAUGCUCCAUGGUGCUUGGACUUAAUUGAUCAAGCUCCUGAAAAAUCUCAGUGAGCUCACUGUAAUAUUUGGCAACUAAACACCCAUCUGUCUCAUUAUGAAUGAUCUUCUGUGAAGGUCGUAAAUCUUAGCUUCAUCAGCCCCAUCUGAAUAUGUCUGUUUGAUUGCAUCCAACUUCUUUUGCUGUGUCAUAAUGAAUAAACCUUUUAAUCUGAUUCGGUUGCAUGGCGUCAAACAACCAACUCUUGACUUGGCAAUCUGCUGCAUGCCAUUUAUUAAAUGUGGGAUUUGUAACUGCAGGUUGGGUGAUAUCACCAGUCAAUGACCAUGUUUUUCUCGCCCAGCUAUCUUCAUCUUUAUGAUUUGAUGCCAUAGAGAAUAGUUAUUCUCAUCCAGUUUGAUUCCUGCAGAGAAAUUAGAUGAUCCUGCAGUGUGUCACUCUGCAACGUGACUAUUUGUGUGGUAGUGUUGGAGUCUCCUGACAUGAAGAUUUAUUGGUGUUUACUGAACCAUCAUCAUCUGCCAUGAUUUUGGCUUAGAAGUGAUGAGAGGAAGAAGUAGAGAGAACAAACAGAGAAAUUUGUUUAGUGUAAUUUGGUUGAGGGAACAAUGAACAGUGGUUGUGAAGGGUGACUAAUGGUUGCUGCUAUGAAAUCACUGCUACUGUGAAGGGUGCUGACGACUGCUGUGGCGGAAGCGAUUUUUGGAACUAGGGCAAGAGACAGUCAAGAUCGACUACUCUGAUACCAUAUCAGAAUUGGUGAUUGUAAUAUUCUCUUAUUCAUUCUUUGUAUAACAGCAGACGUGAAUAUAUAUAUAUACAUAGACUGGGAAACUAUUUAGGAAUAUUUUAUAAGCCUAUAAUCUUGCAGAAUCACAUAAUAGAUUCUCACUAAUUAGGAAUAUAUAUAGCUCAUACUAAUUAGGAAUAUACAGCUCAUUGACAAGGAGCCUCUAAAGAACCCAUCUUUUUUUAGAAACUUAAGUUCCAUUCGCUUAAUAACACAAGUCCACGACUGAGUUUUCGAGCAAUUGGCGAAAUAUCAACCAAUGAAGAUUUUAUGGGAAAACCCAGUUUUAUUUUUUUGAGAAAUAGUGAUAGUACUAAUGGGAAUCGGUGUGGUGGAUUUUGUCCAAGAGGGUAUGUGAGUGUAGCUGAGGCAUUGUCAUCAACGGAUGUUGAAGAUAAUGUGUCUGGUGCCGAUUAAGUGCAAGAGUUGCAGCCAGAAAUGAGGAAAGAAGAGGAGCACUUUAGGAGGAGGAGGCUACAUGCUAACCCUGGAAUAGGGUCAAGGAAGCAUAGGGUCUUAAGGAGAAGGCAAGUGAAGAUUGAGGCGGAAGCAUGGGAACUGGCAACGAAAGAAUAUAAGGAGCUUUGUCGAAUGUUGAAUGGGGUUUUUCUGGAUUUCUUUUUUAUAUAUUAUUAGUUUUUUACUUUCAGUCCAAGUUCUUCUGCUGUUCAUAGUUCCAGGGAGGACACUAAAUGCAGGUAGGAAAAACAAUGUAGUGUAAGAUCCUUUAGAUACUAAGUUUUUACAAUUUUGUCAUUAUGUAUCAAACUUUUCAUAUCACGGGCCUUAUUAAGGUGAAUAUUCUAUUACGCCUUUCUCUUUUGAGCUACAAUUUCUUCAAAGCAUGGACAUGGUGGUGGACUCAUAAGAGUGACAUUUCAACUUUCCUUUGUCAGAGCUCAUCUCAUGUUUGGACAUUGUUUCACUAUGGAUUUAUACUUUUGCAUUUCCCUGUUGGGGAUAGCAAUUAUCUUUAUCAUUUCAAUUAUGUGUGUUCUUGUUUGUGCCUUUGUUUAAGUUUUUUACUUAGUUUAGACUUUAAAGGCACGCGUGACACUUUCCUCUACUGUCUCUUCUGACUAUGGGAGUUGCUUCCUCUUUUCUUUUAAAAAAAAGAACUAUACAAUGUAGAGAUAUUUAGGUGUACCAUUCUUAAUCCAUUUUUUGGACCUCCUAACUCUUCAGUCUUGUUCUCUUUCUUUGAACUGAGGACUGAAUCUGUAACAGUUUCUGUGAUGAAACAGAUUAGAAUACACAAUAUCUUGGAGAAAACAAGGAAGAAAAAGGAAAAGGCUAAUGAUAGCAAGAAUGGUGUAGAAGGUGAAUCCCCUGCUGUCAUGAAGGAACAAGAAGACCUAAGAAAAAAGGUUAUUGAUUUGAUUAAAAAACAAAAGCUACCAGCUGUGAGGAAGAUUGUGAAGGGGAAGGAUGCUUCAAAACCAUGGAAUGCAGAUGCUAGGGCUAAGGUCUGUGUGCUUGUAAUCAUUGAUAAAGGCUAAUUUUCUUGAACAAAUGUAUCGUGUCCGAAUUUGAUUUCUGUCCUUGCACUUUGCAGGUUGGAAGCCGUCUAAUUGAAUUGCUGUUACAAACAGCUUAUAUACAGCCUCUGAACCUCGACCUGCAUUUGUACAUACAUUCCGAAUUGUGUCAUAUGAAAAUAAGUAUGGAGUCAUUCUUUAAUUGACUCGAUGAGCUCAAUUUAUCUUUUCUUCCUUGUAAUUGCUUCUAACUGAUGCACAAUGGCCUUUUCUUAAACAGGAAGGGCGCAAAAAAAUAUGGUGUUAUUCAUUGUGACCCAUUAGUCCUCGUAGGCCUAGAGAAAACUGUGAGUAACCCUGUCAUAUUUUAUUCUUCUAGUGAUAUCUAGUUUUCAUAUUUUAUCAUCCUUUAUGACAUGAACAUGUGUCGGGUGCCAUAUACUUUCAAAGCAGAUAGGUUAGUUUCUAGAUUUUAGAGCUGAAACAGAUAAGAUUUGCAGGCAAUUUCCAUGGUGCCUCUUAAGCUGCAGAUGUUUGUCUUUCAUUCUUUUUUCUUGCACAAGAAGUCAUAAAAAUGUUGUUUCUCCAAACAGGCCAGGCACAUAGUGAUUCCUUAUAUGCCAAUGUUGGUGCCACCACUUAGAUGGAGAGGGUAUGUUAAAACUUGUUUUAUAUUUACAGUUUUGCCACGAUUGUCUUGUUUUAAUUUUUAUAUUUUUUAGUUGGAUAUAUUCCAAGUUCAGAAAUAUUAACAUAGUGUUUUGGUUACUUCUGCUUGAUGCCUGGAGCUGUUUUCAAUUUUCAUGUCAAGUUAAAUGCUUAAAAUGGUAUAAUAGAUGAAGGGAUGAAUCUCUGAUUAUAAAGAUGGAAUUCCAAUCCCAAUUUCAGUUAACAUUUCAGCAUGUUUCAAGGCUCUGCCUCUCCAUUUCUGUAAUCUCAAUUGGAAGGGAAACUAAAUGUCUUGCAAGUGUUUAUUGAAAACAUGUUGAAUGUGAGAUAUGAGAUGGAAGGGUUUGUCUAGGAUUCUCAAAGAACACUGUCUUUAAACAUUAAAGAGCAUUUGCUAAUCACAACCAUGUCUAAUACAGUAAAAUUAACAUUAUUGCCACAGGCAGGAGAAUUUAGAGAUUGCUAUGGAAUUCUUUAUUACAAUGUUUUUGAUGUUAAAGGGAGAGGUAUACUUCAUGGAAAAGAAUGAUUGGCAGUUAGAGAUAAAAUAUGGAGAAAGAAAAAGUGUUAGGUUUUCUACAAGGAUGCUGUGGUGGAUUAUUUUAGCGCAAGAAAAGAUAAGAGUAUCGAAUUGUUGUUUUCAUGUGAAGUCAGACAUCUGGUUAAUUUAGGAUUAGGAUAGUACAUAGAGAACUUGAUUGAAGUAGUUUAGUUUCUAUAGUGAUGAUUCAUAUAUAAGUAUUUAUUUCAAAUUUCAAAUGUGCCAGAAGUGCAAGGAGACAAUAGAUGAUUACAUGGGAGAAAUGGCACAGACGGAUCUCUGCAGUCAAACUGAGAUUUUUUAACCUUAUUGUUUGGCAAGUUAGUUAGGACAUGUUUUUCAUGGACUUUGGUUAAGUUUUUCAUGAAUAGGUGAUCACAAUCCUCAUUGUAAAAACUACACGUGCUUUGGAUUAUGUCUGCCAGUUACUCUUGUUGUGCUCCUGACUUGAGGAUUCAGGGGCAGAGUAGUACAUUCUAUUUUCAUGGAAUACAAUAUCAAGCGUGACGUAGAGUUUCUGAGUUGGUGGAUGAUAGCAACGAUAACCUUUCUGAUGCUGGGCAUAACCAACAAAUAUGCAUUUGAGUGCUCGUGGUUCCAACUUAUUCCUUAAUGGUUUGUGAAGAUGAACAAAAGUUGUACAUCCAAAAACUUAGUUGCAAGUGUGACACAGCAGGAGAAUUUAUUGUUUUAUGAUGAACACUCAAUGGGGUCUAAAAUCCUAAUGUGCUUGAGGGUAUCUGGUUGAUAAGAUAUGUUGCUGAUGUGAUAGCUUCAUCUCAAUAUUUAGUUGACAUAUGAGCUUCAAAUAAAGAAGCUCGGGCAAUUUCGAGAAGCUGGCGGUUCUUACGUUCUGCAAUCCCAUUUUGUUGAGGGGUGUAAGGGCAAGUGGUUUGGUGAACAAUUCCAUGAUUAAUCAGAUAUUGUUUCAACUUCUGAUUAACGAAUUCUCCACCACUGUCACUACAGAGAACCUGUAUUGCAGAACUAUAUUGUGUGGCUACCAUGUUAUGAAAUUGUUUGAAUAAUGAGCUUACUUCACUUUUGCAUUUCAUUAGGCAAAUCCAUGUCAUACAUGUGUGAUCAUCAAUAAAGGUGUCGCACCCGACAUCGCGGCGGCCUUAAAAAUUAAUUACUGUAUUUGGAAAAGAACGGAUUUCUGGCAUCCUGUUCUUUGAUGGGGAAUGGUCUUGUUUAAGGAGUCGCCACCUAGUAUUAUGGUCACUAGGAACCCUAACUGGUCAACGGAGAUUCUAUGGUUCGGGACUGAUUACGUAAAUGAAAAGAUAUUAUCACCCUUAAACGUCCUGCUUGAGGCAGGCUGCAUUGCUAGUUUCGUCUAAAAUUGCUAAAUAUUUAUUAGUUUAUGCUAUGAUAAUUUGCUUAUAAUAUUCCUGACUCUGGCAGCAGUGAAUAUUCAACUACGAAUAUUUCCAACUCUGGCGUUAGUAAAUAUUACGUAGCUAGAAAAUAAAUUAAAUCAAUAUAUUGUUUUUUUUAUUCCUGACUCUAGCGCCAGUGAAUAAAUAAAUAACAAUGAAUUUAUUUUUACGCAUGCACAUAUAUUUUUUAUUUUUCUAGCUAAAUAAAAUAAAAUACAACGAAUAAAAAUAAUAUAAAUUUAAACUGGUAUUUUUAUUCCUAACUCUAGCGUCAGUGAAUAAACCUAUAAAUUUAUAUUAUUUUUAUUCGUGCAUACAUAUUUUUUAUUUAUUUUUAUUUUUUCUAUUUUUCUAUUUUUUCUGUUUUUUUAUUUCUUUAUAUUUUUUUUUGGACUGGGCUGGGCCGGUUUUUGGGCUGGGCCCAGCCUAGCCAGCCCAGCCCGGCCACUGGCCCAAGCCAAUGGCCCGGCUGGGCUAGGCAACACGCAUGUUGCUACACUGUUCAAGUGAAUUAAAUGCCAAAUAAUUGAAAUGAAGAAGUGGCUUACUUGGUCUGCGAGGCGAUGGAGACGAUGGCGAAGCUCUGGCAGACCGACACUACCUCUUCUCCUCUGCUCCUUCUGCUUUCCUUUGCUUUUGUGUUCACCGAUUGCUUUCGUGUUCCAGUAGUUGUUGAGAUGAUGAAGGAACUAAGAAGAUGAUGAAAUUGUCGGUGAUUUAUUUUGACUGAUUUCUGGGUUGUUCCCUUUUUUGCAGGAAUGAAGACAAUGGUUGUUCCUCUGCUUUUCGCUCCUCUUUUCUGUGAAUUUGUGCCCUUUUUGUUUCUCUGGAUUUCUGCUCGUUUUUUUUUUAUGUUCCUCCUCUGUGAUUUGCUCUGUUUUUAGGUUCCCUUUUCGUUCUUGACUCUAUAUUUUUGGGUUGUCUUUCUGCUCUGUUUUCGUCCCCUGUGUUCUGGGUUUUACUUCUGGUUUUUCAUCCCAUUUCCGUUCCCUCUUUCCUAUGAUUUUCAGCCCCUUUUAUAGAGACCCAGCUGCUUGCCUCUAACCAGUCCUGCCUUUGCAGGACUGUUAUCUUCCUCGACGAGAUCGUGGGCGAGAAACGUGGUCCACGAUCGGAUUUGUUGUAGAUUAUCAGCUCCCCUGCUGAAUCGGGAGCUCCCCUGUUGACGCGGGAUGGAGAAGACGCAUGGUUGUUAGCAACGGUGCCGUUUCGGUAAAAAAAAAAUGGGAAUUUUCAAUUUGACCCCUACCUCUGGAAUUUAACAAUUUGAUCCCAAAAUUCUUUUAAUUUUACCCUUGGAUUAAUUUCAAUUAAGUCCUGAAUUUAUUUAAUUAAUUAAAUCAAAGUUUAAUUAAGUCCUUAAACUCAUUAAUUCUUCAAUUAAACUCUUAAUUUCAUUAAUUAAAAUAAUCUAAAUUUUAAUUAAAUCAAUUCUCCAAUUAAGCCAUUGAUUUAAUUAAUUAAACUAGUCAAGAGUUUAAUUAAAUCUUAAAACUUUCAAUCAUGUUGCUCUUAACCCAAAUUUUAAUUCAUUCUUCAAUUAUUUUAUUUUUACUUGUUUUUCAUCAUUUUUUUAGAAAAUAAAAAUAAAAAGAUCAAAAAUUGAGUUAUGACAAAAGGAAAUAAACCAUCAUUUACCAUUAAAAGAGCAGGUAUUUGUUGGACCCCAUACAUCUGAAUGUACAACCAUAAACGGUGCUGGGCUUUUAUUCAUGCUAUUUUGAAAUGGAACCCGAUGGCUUUUAGCCAAUUCACACACAUCACAUUUAAACUCAGUGUCAGGUAGCUGAACAAAGAGUUUUGGCAUUAAUUUCUUCAAAUAUCCAAAGGAUGAGUGACCUAAACGUUUAUGCCAUAACCAAAUUUCAGAGUUUGCAGCAUAUUUAUUCAUGGAGAAUGCUCGAGCUAACUGGUGACAACUUGCUAGUGUUAAAUCCAGAUAAUAGAGCUUUCCCCUUCUAGUACCAUAACCAAUUGUCUUCCGAGUUUGAAUAUCCUUGAAAACACAAAGGUUAGGCCAAAAAAUAACAAUGCAUUGCAAAGCAAGAGUUAUUUGAGCAACUGAAAGUAAAUUAUAAUUAAGAGUUGGAACAACUAAUACGGAGUCAAGACUUAUAUUUUCAGUAAGGAUGACAGAACCUUCCCCAUUAACAGACGAUGAGGUACCAUUUGCUGAGGAUAUAAUAUAUUGUUCUGAUGGUUUAAAAGAUUGAAGCCACAACUUAUCAAAGGUCAUAUGGUCAGUAGCUUCGGAAUCAAUUAUCCAUUCAUUUCUACUGCUAAGAGUGGAGGUAUGAAAGACUUUACCAGAUUCUUUCUUUGUGAAUGUUGAAGGAUGUUCUGUCACUGUAACUAAACCAUGAGUAUUUAGUUUUGAAUUUCGUUUACGAGGUGCUUUAGCAGGAUCCCACCAUUCUGGAUACCCAAUUAGUUCAUAGCAUUUCAGCUUUGUAUGUCCAGUCUCACCACAGUGUGUGCAGACAUAUUCUGAUUUUGCCUUUCCAAUUUCAUAGCUACUGUUCUGAGUUUCUGAUGUCUGGAUUUUUUCAAUGCUAGGGCCAUUUGAUCGGUAUAUUCUAGGCUUACCUCGUCAUGCCAUCAUUAUAGAUGAUUCAGCAUGACCAACUCCAGCUUCAUUGUUUAAAGUAGCUCUGCGAACAACAUCACGACGUACAUAAGCAUGAGAUUCUUCAAGAUCCAAUAUCAAAUCUUUUCUAAGAAUUUCCCCUUGGAUUUGUUCAAAUUCUGCAUCCAAUCCAUUCAAGAAAAUAUGUACCUGUAAUCUUUCAACAGAUCUUCUGUUAUCCAGGUCUUUCAUUUUAGUUCUGUCGCGAUGAUCAAGUUCUUGGAAAACUUCCAUAAGAUCACCAUAAUAUGUUGAUAGUGGUGGACCCAUCUGUUUCGUGGAGAAGACUUUCUGGUUAAGUGAAAAGAGUUGUGAUUCGUCUGAUCCAUCAUAGAAGGCUUUAGACAAGGCAUUCCAAAUUUCUCGUGCAGUGCGUAGUCGGAUGUAUCUUUUCAUGAUGUCUCGUGACAUGGACAUUAGCAGCCAUCCUUUAACCUUUUGAUUUUAUGCAUACCAUCUUGAAUAAGAAGCAUCAGUAUCUUGUGGUGGUUGUGUUUUGCCCAUAAUAUAUUCAAGCUUUUCUCUUCUUGCAAUCUGCAUUUCCAUGAUCUGAGACCAUACAUCGUAAUUAGUUUCAGUGAGAAUAACACUGGUUGUGAAUCUAGAGUUUUCAGUUUGUACAUGGAUAAUGGGUGUCGAUUCUAUUGUUUUAUCAUUCAUCAUGGAAAUACAAGAAUGAUAGAAAAGAAAGUGAUCUCAGGAUGCAAAGAAAGUGAUCUGAAUGCAAGAAAAGGUAAUAUUCAAGAACAUAUUUCAAGAUCAGAAUGCAGAAAAUAUUCAAUAGCAUAUUGCAAGAUUUAGAGUGCAGAAGAACAGGUGAAUGAUCGUAUAGGCAGACGUUUAUUUCGUUUUUUUUUUUUUAAAGAGAGAAAGGUGAUAAGGAUGCAAGAUUGACAGAGAGAAUGCAGGAUUGGAUGAUGAAAAGAAUGGUGAAGGAAACUGAGAAAGAUACACAAACUGAGAAAGAGACGAUACAGGUACAGGAAAGCUUUAUCAAGAAGGAGAUUUCAGGGGAAAGAUGUAUCAGUAGUGCAUUUCCAGGCUCUGAUACCAUGAUAAAAUGAGUUUCACUCUUCGAAUUUUAUUCAUAAUAUUUGUAUACAGAUCAAGUUAUCUUAAUUCAUCAAUACAUCUGCCUUUAUAUAGCAGUAGGCAGUAGAAACUAUUCCUUGACUUCUACGGAAAGACACCUACAAUUGCGGUUUGUUACAAACAAAUUCCUAACUGAUAUAACCAUAUUCUGCAUGAGUAACAGCAAGGUGAAACUAACAUAUUGUUAACAUGAGCAUUAGACGAAAACCAUUUCAUGAAUUGGUUUUGGGGAAAGAGCACUUUGUUUACUAGCAAGUUUAUAGUGGGUCUUGGCUCUUUCACUCAAUCAUCAUGCAAGUUUCAGGAGGCACAUUAGCAUAGUAUCCCACUAAAAUUAAUUUUAGAUCCUUGUAUUCAAAUUUGGAAGAUACAAAUUCUUCGUACAUGUUCCUUACAUAUGCUACUUUAAUCUGGAAUUUAAUGAGUUUGUGGUUGGAUUCUGGUUCCCAUGUAGUUGUAGCAACUCUUAACACCACUAUUGCUUCUAGUAACAAAUCAGGACCUAGCAUUUAAGUAUCUUUUUGGUGUGUUCUAAGCUCUUCUUAGAUAAUUGUGUCAUAGCUCUCUUACUCGUGUCGAGCAUAACCUCAAUGCCCUUUGCAGUUAUGAUAAAGGAGCACCUAUGUCAUGCGGAUACAUAUUCUUACCAUCCUAUGUCAUGCGGAUACAUGGUGCUAAACAGCAACGUGAAGCAGUUAAGAGGGCACCUAGGAAGCAGCUACAAGAAGUUUUUGAGGUCUGUACUUAUUAGAUGCAUUGCAUGGUUACUGAUGCAUAUUUUAUUGUUUGAACUAAAUCAUCUUUUGGUACUAACAUGUGAUGUUCUUUGAACAAAAUCUCAUACUGAUAAUUUUGUAUACCUUAGGAGGGUAAAUAAGAGGGUACUUAGUGUUGUUGAUAGAAUAUGGAGUAAUGUAGGCUGUCUUGCUGAUUUGGUAGACCACAGUGAUGUGAGUAUCUUUCAUUUUUCUUUUUUAGAAACUCCUUUACCUUUAUCUUUGUGUUCCAAGAUUUGAUCAUGAUGUCUAUAGCAAUUAAAAAACCUUCCUCGUUUAAGUUCUUCAUUCAGGUUCCUUUACCUGAGAGGCCAGAAACAGAGUUUUUCAAUUUUCCUUCUUUUGAAAAUGAUUUGUAAAUAAGCUGAAUGUUUUUUGCUUCCCCUAUAUUUAGUUGCUUCUCCCACUACGUACAUACCCUCCCCCUAUGUCAUUUUCUUUUUGUGGUUGGAUUGCUCCAAGUUCACUCAUUAUUUUUAAAUUCAAUAAAAAAAGACAGAAAAUAUAUCGCAAUAUAAUUUAUGUUUUGAAUUCUAUAAUUUUCUUUUUAUCUUUUUAGUUAAAUAUAUUUUUAUCUUUUUUAGAUUCAAAAUACUAAACAAACACAACAUACGUGUAAAUAUGAAUACACAAUGUCCAUACCCUAACAAAAAUAUUAAUUUAGUAAUAGUUUUUUUUAUAAGCCUAACAAAUUGUCACUUUGGUAGGCAUGCUUUUAAAUAGAAUAUGAAUUUCGGAAGGUAUUUUUUUUAUUAAUUAAUAAACUUCUAUAAUUAAUUUUUUAUUAUUAAUUAAUAAACAAAAAUAUCCCACAUGCGACCCAAUAUAUGGUGGAUUAUCAGCUGCAGCCACAAUUAUUUGAUGCAUAGCAAAAUAAUUAUUCAUAAUUACACCUUGGCAGUCCUGUCCAGCCAACUUGAUGUGCUGUGUGCUAAUCCGAUGAAAAUCAAGAUCCCAAAGACGGUGAUGCCGCUGAUGGUUGGUUCUCUUCCUCCGUGUGAGUUCUUACAUAAUAAAAUAGCGGCCUUAAUUACGAGAGUUCAAUUUUUACAUAAAAAAUGGCUGGGACUUCCUUUCGUUAUUUAGUAAUACGGGGGUUAAUGAGUUUUCAUCCGUUUGUUUGCUGGAAAUUAGUUUAUUUUUUUGAAAAGUAAAUUUUAGAAAAAUAAAUUUUAAAAAAAUAAAUUAUUUUUUGAUAUUGACAAUGUAAUGGAAAAUAAAUUAAAAAACACUUUUCAGUGUUUGGUUAUAUCAUGGAAAAUUAGCUGGAAAAUAACUUAUUAAUGUUUUAUUUUUAUUAAGUUUAUAAAAAAAAUGAGAAACAAAUCUUACAAAUUAAAAAGUUGAAUAAGAAUGAAAUUAAAAAAUAUAAAUAAUUUCAUAAAUUAUCUCAAAUAAAAAAAAUAAUAAUCCAAAAUAAUAGAGAUCAAAUCUACAAAAUAAAAAAAAAUUAAAGAUGAAGAAAUUAAAAUAAUAAUAAUUCACAUUUCAUAAAUUAUUUUAAAUAAAAUAAGUAACAAUCAAAAGAAUAAUGAUCAAAUUUGAUAGAGAAAAAAAUUCAAUAAAAAAUGAUAAGAGAAAAACAAAUAACAAUUAUAAAAAUGAGGGUCAAAGUUAAUAUAAAAAUUAAAUUUUAAGAGAUGAAAUUGAUAUAUAUAUAUAUAUAUAUAUAUAUAUAUAUAUAUAUAUAUCAAUCAAAAGUUUGAGGACCAAAUUUGAUAUAAUUAGCAAAUAAUAUGAUUUUUUUAAAAUUUUCACAACUUGCGGAAAGUAUUUUCCGCCCAAAUUUUCCAGGAAAAUACUUUCCUGUGUUUUCCUGGAAAUCAAGCUAAAUUUUUCUUUGUCUGAAAAGUAUUUUCCGUUGACCAACUUUUUUAAUAGCAAACAAACAAAAAAAAAUUUGAAAAGUGAUUUUUCAGAAACCAUUUCCCGGACAAACAUAGCCUUAGAGUUCUUAUGUUAUUGAUUUUGUUUUAAUAAGGCCUCUCAUCUUUGAGAUUUAUUAAUCCAACCAUUCUUCUAUUAGUCCAUCUAUAUCGUUAGCCCUUUCCUCACUAAUGCUAUAAUUUUGGUUAUUAAUUUUGAGAUAUUCUCUUCUAUGUUAAAAAAAAAUUCAUAAAAAUAAGAAAUGGAUUAAUAAUUUAAAAGGACUAAAAAUUAAAAGAAUAAAUAAGAUUAAGGCCUACCAGUGAUUAAUUCUUUUCCCUCAAAUGUAAUUGAUCAUUUUAGAAAUUAAAUAGAAGAUUAAACUCAUAAAAGCAUAAAAUUAACACUGUGAUCAAUUCACAUUAAAAAGAAAUAACUAAACUAAACUAAAACAGAAAAAACACAUGCAUAUUUUCCCUUACUGAGCAAUUCUUAUGUGGCUAAAAUAACUUUACUGAGUAAUUUCAUGCAAUGAGGGAUUUGUUGAAGGAGAUAGUGCUCCUGUAGUGGGGAGAUCGUUACCUCUCCCUUGUCCUGUCAUUUCUAAGUUAUCAUCAAUGGAAAGAACUAGAAAGAAAAGGAACUAAACUAGCUUUUCUUCUAGUUCCAACAGAAGGCGUUAUUGACGAAGUUAAAAAUUGAUCAAAUUAAACAAACUAUUUUUUUAAAAUAAUUUUAAUAUAAUACUAUACGAAUAAACAAACUAAAGACGAAACCUACAAUUGUUACUAGGUAUAGUGAUUUCACUGCAUGUUUUAGCUUUUUGUUAAUUAAUAUAUUAUAUGUGGAAAAAUAAUAUAAAUAUUUAAGACAAAGCUAUUUUCCGACUUUUACACUAAGUAUAUUGUUUUAAACAACAAUAAUUUAUACAUUAAAGGGUCUUUUCGAUCCUACUAGACCAACAAAAUUAUAUAAAUAUGUAAAACAAAGCUAUUAAUAUGAUAUUUAUUAUGGAUUUUAUUUUAUUAUGCCUUUCAUUGUUAAAUUUUGUCACCCAGUUUAUAAUUUGAAGUCAUUGGAGCAUAGUUAUUUGAAUAGCUAAAAUACAUUUUCUUUUACUAAAUUCUAUUUUUACAUAUCCACGUAGAAAAGCCAAAACCAAAAAAAAUUAUAUACUCGUUGGCCAACAUAUUUUUAUCUAUAAUUAGCAUUUAUUUUUCUCUUUAAAAACAGAAUAAGAAAAAAAUAGAAGCCUAGAAAUCUCAAAGCCUAAAAAAUUUAAUAGUAUUAUAUAAAACUGAAAAAUAAAAAUAUUCAUAUAAAUAAAUUUUGAUUUUAAAAGUUUAAAAUUUAAAAUUCAAAUUAUAUCUUUUAACUUUGAUAUUACUUCAUUAAUUUUAUAAAUUACUCAUAUUAAUUAAUUGUAUAAUUAAUAACAUGAUUGUAUUAUAUAAAAAAUAAUUAAACUAGUUAUAUAAUUAUAUUAAAAUAAGUUUUCCAUGAUUGUAGUAAAUUAAGAGAUCUCAGUUAAAUAAUUUUAAUAAUCUACUCUGUCAGUACAAGAAACGUAAAAAAUAGUAGUUUUGCAUGAACAUUAAUUAAUUAAUUUAUAAUAAUAAAAGAAACAUUUAAUUGAUUAAAUUAGUAAAUUCAAAACAUUUAUUUUGACAAUAUUUGAAUAUAUUCAUAUCAAAACCCCUAAAUUAUCAUAAAACCUAAUAUUUUUAAUAACUAAUUAUAAAAAAUAAAAGUAAAUUAAACAAUAAAUAAUUAGAAAAGACAAAAGAAAUUUACCUAAAAUAUAAUGCAAAAAAAAUUACUUGCUUAUUGGACUUGAAGAGAAAUUUAUAUAAGAGAAAGAGGCAAAUAACAAUGUUCAAAAGAAAAUGUGACUUUUUAUUUAUAAAAAUAAUUUGGGUCAUAUAUAUAUAUAUAUAUAAGUCAACCAUAACUUUUCACUUACCCUCACCAAAACUAUUAUAUUAAUUUCCUAAUAUAAAAAAAUAUUAAACAAAAAUUAAGGAGGCAUUUGCCCUUUUUAUCCUCACGUGGCUCCGCCAUUAUGUCUAAAACUUUAAUCUCUUAUCUAUGCUUCUUCACAACCUAUUAAAAAAGGUUUAAGAUUAGCCAUUUCGAAUGAGAAAAAAAGAAACAAUCAUAAAUAACGAAUCGAAGAUGGAAGAAUAAAUUACCGUAUUUGGACGCAACGAAACCGAAAAAAAACAAAGGUAAAGUCUAGACAAGAGCGCGCGCAUAAACUAUUUAUUGAUGACAUUGUUUGUAUCAACAUAAAUAAAUAUCAAAGUAAUCCAAGCAAACUUUUGCAGAUUACGAAGAAUCUAAGUCCGACAAAAAAGCUUUCAAUCAAAGUGUAUAUUUGAUAUAGAUUCAGUUUAGUAAUAAUUGUUUUUUAAUAUUUUAUUUUUAUUUUUUAAAAUUUAUUUUUAACAUCAAAAGCAUAUAAAAACAUUAUAAAAGAUUAAAAAAUUAAAGUAAACCAUACAACUUUUUGAAAGAUUUUAUACACGAAACCCUUGCUUAAUGACCGUGUAAAAUUAAUACACUUGGACAGUACUUUUGCUACAGUUUUUUGGAUAGUUCAAACUCAUUUAAAGUAUUUUUAGUUGGAUGUUCAUAGAGGUGAAAACAAAAGGAUUACUGUUACCUAACAUGAAGUGGAAUGAAGGUUGACAAAGUCAAAGACAGCGAUCAAACACUCAUAAAUGCAAUGAAUCAGCUUUUUUUGGACUUUCCACGGAUACACCUGUUUUCCACCACGUUUGUUUUGGGACCCCUUAUAUCUGAAAAUGUCUUCAACACGCAAUAGCUAUUGAAUCCCACAAAGCAUAUUCUCCUUCUCCUUCAUUUUUUAAUAUUUUGAUCUCCAUAUCAAUUCAACAUUACAUAAGACUUUUUUUGAAUAAGGGGCUAUUCACACAAAAGAAUAAAAAGCCAUAAACAAAUCUACAGCAGACAUCCAUCAAUGCAAGAAAUGCCCAUUUUCAAGAACUCUAAGCAACUCCUGAAUCAUUGUAAGAAGCAUAAUAGUACUGUCCGGUUGUUUGAAUAGUUAAAAUACAGUUUCUUCUACUAAAAUACUAUUUUUACAUAUCUACAUACAAAAGCCAACGUCUCUUUAUCUAUGGUUGGCUUUUGUGGCACCGUUUGUCAUUGCGUUCCAAAUAGUGUUUUGUCCAAAUUUAAUUUUUUUUUUUUACUAAAAUUGAGUGAUGUUUGUACUUUUUGGAUCGUUUUGAUAUGCUGAUGUCAAAAAUGAUUUUUAAAAAAUAAAAAAACAUCAUUUACAUGUAUUUCAGCACGAAAAGCUAUUUGAAAUGCAACCGCUACCACAUCGCCAAACACACUCCGUGUCUCUCUUUAAAGACACAACAACAAGAAGAAAAGAAGCUUGCAAACCUAAAAAUUUUAACAUUAUUAUAUAAAACUGAAAACUGAAAAUAUUAAUAUAAAUAAAUUUUGAUUUUAAAAAUGUAAAAUUUAAACCUUAAAUUAUAUCUUCAAACUUUCAUGUUACUUCAUUAAUUUUAUAAAUUACUCAUAUUAAUUAUACAAUAAAUAACAUGAUUAUAUUAUAUAAAAAAUAAUUAAACUGGUUAUAUAAUUAUAUUAAAAUUAGUUUAAUAUAAAAUAAUUACUACUACAUUUUUAAGCAUCAUGGUAUGAGAUGAGAUAUUGGUAAUGGGAGACGAAUUGGUGUUUGAGAUUGGGAAUAAAUCAAAGUUGAACUGUUUGUCAUAAAAAUAUUAAAGUUUGAGAUUCUAAACUCAAUUUAAUAUGAUUUUUUUUUUGUUUUUCGUUAAUUAGUUCCAGUUAAUAGGUUGGUGGUUAAGUUUAUUUAAAAAAAAAAUCAAUGGGAAUUUAUAAUAUUUAAUAUAAGAGUUUAAUAGUUAACAGUUUGAAAAUUCAUUAAAAAAAUACUUUUCAAUUGUGAUGUAUGGGGCCAAUCCCUGCUCUUGACAGGAAGGUGCCUCUGCUGCCCAAUGCGCGUGCGAUAUCCCUUUCAUUUGUCUUUUCACUUUUUUCUCCACUGAAACUCCAUCUUCUUUACAGUGUAAGAAAAAGAUCCGUAAGAAAAUCCAGGAAACUUACCAGUACGAGUUCUUGACCUAAAGAAACCGGAAAUAAAUUCGAAGUCAUUGGAAUAAAAAAUAUUGGGCUUCGCUGGAUAUUGUGCCUCUUUAGCCAACACUUACCACACGGUUGGUUUCUUCUAGAUUCGUGAAAUACUCGUAGAAAUUUGGUGUUUUCUGAUUUCUAAGUAGAAUUAUACAUGUUCCAGCUUGAAAUUGCUAAGUGGUAGAUUUAAUUGCCAAAUUUCUUGAUCUUACCUUCUGUUUCAUGUUUGAGCACAGGAGCAGGGCGCCGUAAGAAAAUCCAGGAAACUUACCAGUACGAGUUCUUGACCUAAAGUAACCGGAAAAAAUUCGAAGUCAUUGGAAUAAAAAGAAAGAAAAGGGCUUUCGAAGUUGGUUAAUAAGAUACUAGAAGAAUAAACAAAUAUUGGGUUUGCACUUGGUGUUCAAGCUAUGGUGGCUAGCUACAUUAUCCAAGAGGUUGGAUUCAGUUUUGCUAUACAAGCACUAGUAUAUUAAAAAUUAAUAAUAAAAACAUUAUUAUUAUUAUUAGAAUUAAUAAAGAAAUAAAAGACCAUGAUGUUUUACUAUACAUAGAUCGAAGCCUAGAUCAUAUUUUUUUUUUCCAGAACAUUGAUUUCAAUUUAAGACCGAUUAAAUUGGAUUGUAAUAGAUUUUGAACUUAGAAGUAGGUCUCCAGAAGAUAUUAGGAGGAGUUUGAGGAUUUGUUUUUACUGAAGAAAAAAGGUGUUAGGAUGCACAUGGGUGGGGGCCCUUGAUUUUCUGACUAUCGAAGCAUUGUCGAGAAAACAUAGCACCACAUGUUCUUCCAAUAAAUAACGUGUCCUUUUCUACUUCUUGUUGUGGAUAUCGGAUUAAAAGUUACUUUUCAAUGGAAAAAAAAAAAAGGUGUGAGCACUGUCAACUUUUUUUAAGUUGACGCAUGUUUUUAAUCAAAGCAAUCAGAAUUAUAUACAAUAAAAAAAUGUGAAAAUGCAAAUCAAAGAAUAAAUCUAGAAACUAAGUGAUAAAUAUGGUUCAAAAUAUAUGAUUUCAUGUAGCCAAAAAAAAAUUAACAAUUUAAGUUCUAUCAACAUAAAAUAAUUUCCUAGUGUCCUUUUUUUUUAAUUAAUUGUCAACCAAAAAUAUGUUUUUGUUUGAUAUUGUGUUUCACCUUAUGUUUGAAUACAUUUUAAAAAUAUGUUUGUUUUAUAAAAAUAUCAAAUUAAUAUUUUUUUGAGUGUUUUUUAAUAUGCUUAUAUAAAAAAUCUAAAAAGAUAUUUUUAUGCAUUUUAAAAAAACCACUUUCAAAAAGAACUUUGUACCACAAUAUUAAAAGCAUACUAAAUAUCCAAUAAACCCCAAAGAUUUGAAAUAACCAUAAAAAAAACAUAUUCUCAAUUAAAUCUUCUUUAUCCUAUUAUUGUGAUUUUUUUAAAUUUAUUUAUUUAUCAGAAUGUUUAUUUUUUGAAGAAAAAAAAGUUAUGAGAGUCAUAAAAAAAAUUAAUUAAAAAAAUAAUUAAUGGUUUUAUAAUUAUGCCAUGAAUGUAUAUUUUUUAUGUAAUCAUGCAGUAAUAAAAAGGUUGUGCAGAAAGACAAAAAUCAAAAUUUAUUCUAGAGCCAACGGAAAUAAAGGUCGCGAAGAGGGUGACGCCGCUGAUGGUUGGUUCUCUUCCUCCUUGUGAGUUUUUGUGGACACGUUCGGCCUCGGAAAUUAAAGUUGAGGCAGGUAAUUGAUGGUACUGCAAUUGUGAGGAACAUUCGGUAGAAGAAAUAUUGGAUUAUCUCUUGGAGUCUUCGUCUAUGCUAUCUUAAUUAUGGGUAGAAAGUGUCGGGAGAUGAGUGGCUGGGAUUCAUUAAUGGAUAGCGGCGUUAAGAAUUUUCAUUAUUGGAUGUUCAAGCUAUGGUGGCUACAUUAUCCUAGAGGUUGGAUUCAGUUUUGUUAUACAACCACUAAUAUAUUUAAAAUUAAAAAAAAUAGUAAUAAAAAAAUAAGAAUAAAAAUAAAAAAUAAGGACUAAAUUGAAAAGAAAUAACACUUAUACAAAAGGGCAAAAGGAAACAAAAAUAUAAAUUGAGGAACAAAUUAAAAAUAAUAAAAUAAAAUAAACUUGGAUUGAAGGAUGAAAUUGAAAAAAAAUUAUUAUAAAAGAGUCAACUAAAAAAACUAGAAAUAAAAAAAGGAUCAAAUUAAAAAGUAUAAUAUAUUAUAAAUUGAAAUUGAAGGACUAAAUUAAAAAAAAUACAACUUUUAUUAAAGGUUCAAUGAUGAAAAUAAAAAAUCAAAAGAAGAAAGACCAAAACAAAAAUACAAAAAACAAAAAAACCAAUAUGCAAUUUUUUGGGGGAGCAAUAAAAAGAAAAGACCUACUAACAACAAAGCUAUAAUUAUUGAAUCGUUGACGUGAGGGAAAGGGGUGAUUGUAGAGUGGUUGUUGGGGCUGCUGGUAUAGGAGGUGGAUGUUGCUUCUGAUAUGGCUAUUUGGGUUGGUGUGAAGGAGUGGAGUUGUUGCAACGAUGACAGAGGAGCUGGUUCAUUGGUUAAGGUUUUUGACAAGGUGAGGGCGAUCAAGAAUUGAGGUUUUUGUAUUGAUAGAAAUGCAGAAAAACUCCAAUCUUGAAAGAAAAAAAUGGCAUCAUCAAGGGAAGUGUUAUUGAAAACUAUGGCGGCGGCAAAUUGUAUAUCUUAUUGCUUACCAGUUUUUAAUUAGAAAUUUAUAAAUCUAUGGAAAAUUGGAAGGUGCACCGGAAAAGUUGGAAAUAUCUGUAAAACUCAAAGCUUACGACGACAUAAAUUUUAAAGAAUUUGAUUAUUUCAAUUAGGCCUUUCUAUAAAAGUAGUGUUGGCACCUCAAGAAUAAUCCUACUGAUUUGUGUAGCAGAAUGCUUAAAGAGAUUCGUAUCAAUAUUUCAAAAAGUUGGAUUGGGAAAGCGAUUUCAGAACAUUCAGAAAUUUGAAUUUUUUUUUAAAAAAUAAUUUUUUAUAUUUUUAAAUUAUUUUAACAUUCUUCUAUCAAAAUUAUUUUUUCAAAAAUUAAUAAAAAAUAUAUUUUAAUAUAUAUAAAAAAUUAUAAUUUAAACAAAUAACUGCUAUUAUAUAUCCAAGCGCCUUGAUAAAAGGUUUGAGAUGAGAAAUUGAGAAUGGGAGAAGAAUUGGUAUUUGGGAUCGGAGAGGAAUCAAAGUUGGGUUGUAUGUGAUAAAAAAUAUUAAAGUUGGAGAUCCUAAACUCAAUUUAAUAUGAAUUGUUUUUUCGUUUUUCGUUAAUUAGUUCCAGUUCAAAGGGUGGUGGCUAAGUUUAUUUAAAAAGAAAAUCAAUGGGAAUUUAUAAUAUUUAAUGUAAGAGUUUUGUAGUUAUUAGUUUUAAAAUUCAUUAAAAAAUACUUUUCAACUGUGAUGUGUGUGGCCCAACCCCUGCUCUUGACAGGAAGGUGCCUCUGCUGCCCAAUGCGCGUUCGAUAACCCUUUCAUUUCUCUUUUUGCUUUUUCUCCACCGAAACUCCAUCUUCUUUACAGUGUAAACUUACCAGUACGAGUUCUUGACCUAAAGUAACCGGAAAAAUUUCGAAGUCACUGGAAUAAAAACAAAGUAAAGGGCUUUGGAAGUUGGUUACUAAGAUACCAGAAGAAGAAGAAAUAUUGGGCUUGGCUGGAUCUUGUGCCUCUUUAGCCAACACUUACCACACGGUUUGUUUCGUCUAGAUUCGUGAAAUACUCGUAGAAAUUUGGUGUUUUCUGAUAUGUUCCAGCUUGAAAUUACUAAUUGGUAGAUUUAAUUGCCAAAUUUCUUGAUCUUACCUUCUGUUUCAUGUUUGACCACAGGAGCAGGCCUUACACGCGUGGAAAGCAAUUGCUGAACCAAGCUAGCUAGUUGAGGCCAGAAGGGAUCGGUACUAGUUUAUCGCUUUAGGGAUUUUCAUGGCUUCCACCAGCGUGCAAGGAAUAACCUCAUCUUCAUCUUCUCCUCCUCAACUAUAUAUGUAUGAUGUGUUCCUUAGUUUUAGAGGCAAAGACACCCGGAACAACUUUACUAGUCAUCUAUAUUCUAAUCUGAAACAGAGAGGCAUCGAUGUGUACAUGGAUGAUAGGGAGCUCGAGAGAGGAAAGUUCAUCGAACCUGCUCUCUGGAAGGCCAUUGAAGAAUCAAGGUUUUCAGUCAUUAUAUUUUCAGGAGAUUACGCUUCUUCACCAUGGUGCUUGGAUGAACUUGUCAAGAUUGUUCAGUGCAUGAAAGAGAUGGGCCAAACUGUUCUGCCAGUUUUUUAUGAUGUGGAUCCCUCAGAGUUUUAUGAUGUGGAUCCCUCAGAGGUAACCGAGCGGAAACGGAAAUAUGAGGAAGCCUUCGUUGAGCAUGAACAAAAUUUCAAGGAAAACUUGGAGAAGGUACGGAACUGGAAAGAUUGUCUCUCUACGGUGGCCAAGCUAUCUGGCUGGGACGUACGGAAUAGGUAAAUCAUCUAUCUACUUAUUCUUAUUCUCAAAUCUGCCCGGUAUUGUUUCAUUGAUGAACAAGCAUGAUAGUAAAUGUGUGUUUUUUUCAUAUACAUGUUUUUUUAUUUUAAUUUUUUUAUGAUAUUUUGAACUGAUGUGAUCAAGCAUUUCUAAUCUUUAUAUAAAACUUCUUUCUAUUCUUGGGUUUUUCUUUAUAUUUUGAAAAUAAAAUAAAUAUAUUUUUUAAAAAUUUUAAAUGUAUAAAAAUAUUGAAAAUACUUACCUUUUUUUUGUGAUAAAAAAUAAAAGAAAAGAAAAGUGGUUGGCUUGCUUGUAGAAACUAGCAAGUUGUUCUGUCUUAUUUAAGCAGGACGAGCAAUGUCUUAUGACACCCAAAAAAGGCAUUCAUUGAUGUUUUCUGAUUCACCAUGACUUGACCUGCCUCUCUAAGUGGCAUGUGUGGAGUAAUUUUUUCUGGUUUGGCACCAAAUGACUUUUUUUUGUUUUGUCUUUAUCCUCAAAUUCUGCACCCGACCUUCUAAACUUUUAUAGGAACCCUUCAAUCUUUUUUUUUUUUCAUAUUUGUUCUAUUUUCUUUGAAUUGAUAUUUUUUUAUAUGAAUUAUUUUUUAGAAUUGAAAUUUGCUGUUAAUUUUAUACUUUUUAAUUUUUUAAUCUAUUAGAUUUGAUUCUCAUUUUUUUUAUUACUAUUUAUUUUAUAUGAGAUUAUUUUUUUAAUAUAUAUAUAUAUUAUUUCUGAUUUCAUACUUUAACAUUGAAUUAAGCUUUUUGAUUUAGUCUGGAUUUAGGAUUUAACAGAUUCAGAAUUUGGGACACUAACCUAGGUUUAGGAGAUUUGUCUAGGUUUUUUUUUUUGAAGCUCAUGUUUUUUUUCCAGUUUUAUUAUUCAAUAUUUAAUUUAAUUAGAGACUGGGCUCUAUUAAUUUUUUUAUUUGUUUUCUAUAAGAUUUUUAAAUAAUUUUAAAAAUAACCGAGGUUAUCUUAAGUCUUUUUAUUUCUCAUUCUUUGUUAAAUCUAGCUCCUAUUUUUUUAAAAAUCCUUUUUUUAAUUGAAUAAUUUUUUUUAUGUUUAACUUUUAAUAUUUGGUUGAUUGAAAUUGGGCUCUAUUUUAUUUUGAUAUGGGUUCCAUGGAGUUUUCACCGAUAUGUGCCUCGGAUCGUGAGUUUCACAAGUUAAUCAUAGUUACUCCAGGUCAAUCUAGUGUGUUGUCGUCACAAUUAUAUUUUUAAAUAAAUAUAUCGUCCAAUAUAUUGAUUUUUUUACUUUCAAAUAUUAUUAUAUUUUUUAAAGGUUAGAAAAAAAUAAUCCAACACUUUAGGCCAAAAAUCUAGUUAAAGAACUACACAUUAAAGUGAAGUUUUCAACAAGUGGCAACUUAUCAUUAGUAUCAUCUAUGGUUCAGUUUUUAAGGUAUGACAUAAAAGCUACAUGAAUUUUUUCCCAUGAAAAAAAUUAUUUCUCAAAGUACUAUAGGUGGGAAAUGUUUUCAAACUAGCUCAGGCAUCACUAACGCAACUUGACACAUGCAGGUCUCGCAUGUCAAAAAAGUCUUCCUUUCUUUCUUUGUUGGGUAGGUACCUCAAUUUUUAUAUUUAGUUAACUUUAGUUCCAUUAUUACGAUCAUUUCAUCUAUUCUUUUGCACACAAAAAAAUAUGAAUUAAAGUUAAUAUUUAUUUCAAAUGCAAUCGCUAAAAAUGAGUUAAUUUUGGCCUAAAAUAUUGUUAUGUUUUUGCCCAACUUAAAUACAAAUAAGUUUAUAUUAAUGAAAUGAUCAUUAUAUUGAAAUUAAUAUUAAGAUUGUAUAAAAAUUGAAAGACCAAAUAAAAGAUUAAAUAGAGAAGAAAGACGAAGAAAUGCGUUGUGAAAAUUUGAGUUGUGAGAAGCAUAUGUUAGUUUGGGAAAUGUUCUUUGGGCUAUGCUAAUAUGGGAAAAAACUCAAAAAUUAAUAAAAUUAAAGUUGUUUUUUUUAAAAAAAGUUAAUUAUGCUAAAUAAUUGAAUUUUUUGUUAAAAAUAAUUAUAAAAACAACUUAGUGGUCGACAAAAAAUAUGAUAGAACUCCUUUUGCCUUUUGGUCUGUUAAAACCAAACUUAAUGGAUAUUUUAUUUCCUAGCUUUUGUUCUUGUAUGCAUGCUUCUUAGUAACUGUGUGAUUCUAUAGGCAAUAAGAUAGCUAUUGUACGAAUCAUUCUUAGCAUUAAAUCCUAGUUCCUUUUUAGUUUAUUCUUUCCUUUUCCUCUUUGUUCUUGAAGCUAUCUAUUAUCAGGGCCCUAUCUUUCUCAAAGGUUGGUGUAUUAAUUUCGGCUAACAGCCAUACAUUUUCGAGCUAAAUAUGCUAAUGUUUAUUUCCCAUCACUAUCUGAUUUGAUUUCUGCACACUGCAUGAUUAAUGUUUUGCACCCUCCUAUGCAGGAAUGAAUCGGAAUCAAUUAAUAAUUGUUGAAUACAUAUCGUACAAACUAAGCAUCACUCUGCCAACAAUUAGCAAAAAAUUAGUUGGAAUAGAUUCUCGUCUAGAGGUAUUAAAUGGUAUAUAGGUGAAGAAGUAGGCAAGCAAUCUUCAUAGGGAUUUGUGGAAUGGGUGGCAUAGGUAAGACGACUGUUGCAAGGAGUAUAUGAUAGGAUUCGUUGGCAAUUUGAAGGCAGCUGCUUCUUAGCAAAUGUCAGAGAAGUUUUUGCUGAGAAAGAUGGACCACGUCGUUUGCAGGAACAACUUCUUUCUGAAAUCUUAAUGGAACGUGCUUUAUGUGAUUCUUCUAGAGGGAUUGAGAUGAUAAAGCGGAGGUUACACUUAAAAAGAUUCUUCUUAUCCUUGAUGAUGUAGAUGACAAAACAACUAGAAUUCUUGGCUGAGAGCCUGGAUGGUUUGGUCCAGGGAGCAGAAUUAUCAUAACAAGCAGAGAUACAAAUGUGUUAACUGGAAAUGAUGAUACUAAAAUUUAUGAGGCUGAAAAUUGAAUGAUGAUGAUGCUCUUAUGUUGUUUAGCCAGAAAGCUUUCAAAAAAGACCAACCUGCUGAAGAUUUCUGGAACUAUCCAAGCAAGUUGUGGGUUAUGCUAAUGGCCUUCCACUGGCUCUUGAAGUUAUAGGUUCGUUUUUGAUGGAAGAAGUAUCGAAUGGAAGUGCAUUAAUAGAAUGAAUGAGAUUCCUCAUGGCAAAUUAUUGAUGUGCUUCGCAUUAGUUUUGAUGGUCUCCAUGAAUUAGAUAAGAAAAUAUUUUUAGACAUUGCAUGUUUCCUAAGGGUUUAAAAGAUCGAAUAACAAGGAUACUUGACAGCGUGGAUUCCAUGCAGGAUUGGAAUACCAGUUCUUAUUGAGAAAUCUCUUAUAAGUGUCUCUCGGGAUCAAGUCUGGAUGCAUAAUUUAUUACAGAUAAUGGGUAAGGAAAUUGUUCGUUGUGAAUCCCCUGAAGAGCCUGGAAGGCGUAGUAGAUUGUGGACAUACGAGGAUGUCUGCCUUGCACUGAUGGACAACACAGUGAGUAGCUGAUAGAGAACAUUAUCCAUAAGAUUUCAUGAAGUUUAUUUUAAUUUACGCUCCAUCUCUACUUUGUAUUUGUUUUUUACUUGUAUUUCCCUUUUGGUUGACAGGGAAAAGAAAAAAUAGAAGCCAUUUUCCUGGACAUGCCUGGAAUAAAAGAGGCACAAUGGAACAUGAAAGCCUUCUCUAAAAUGAGCAAACUAAGAUUGCUCAAAAUCAACAACGUGCAGCUUUCUGAAGGACCUGAAGAUCUUUCCAAUAAGCUACGAUUUCUUGAAUGGCAUUCUUACCCUUCAAAAUCAUUGCCAGCUGGUUUACAGGUGGAUGAGCUAGUUGAACUUCACAUGGCUAACAGUAGUAUUGAGCAAUUAUGGUAUGGGUGUAAGGUGAGAUCACCUAAUUUAAGGCCUUUGUAUUUCUUUUUAUCGUUUUCCUAUAUAUGUAUGAUAGUAGAUCCAUAUUUCUUCUCCCUGCCUGAUUGCAGAGUGCAGUUAAUUUGAAAAUCAUCAAUCUCAGCAACUCACUAAACCUGAUCAAGACUCCAGAUUUUACUGGAAUUCCGAAUCUCGAGAACUAUUCUUGAAGGUUGUACAAGUUUGUCUGAGGUCCAUCCAUCACUUGCACGCACAAGAAGCUUCAAUAUGUGAAUCUUGUGCAUUGCAAAGUAUUAGGAUUCUCCCAAGCAACCUUGAAAUGGAAUCACUUAAAGUUUUCACUCUUGAUGGCUGCUCAAAACUUGAGAAGUUUCCAGAUAUAGUGGAAACAUGAACUGUUUGAUGGUGCUUCGUUUGGACGGGACUGGUAUUGCUGAACUAUCUUCAUCAAUUUCAUUUGAUUGGCUUAGAAGUAUUGAGCAUGAACAACUGCAAGAACCUUGAAAGCAUUCCAAGUAGCAUAGGUUGCUUGAAAUCCCUUAAAAAACUUGAUUGUCUGGCUGCUCUAAACUUAAAUAUACCAGAGAAUUUGGGGAAAGUUGAAAGUUUGGAGGAGUUUGAUGUAAGUGGAACUUCAAUAAGACAACCGCCAGCAUCCAUUUUUCUUUUAAAGAAUCUUAAAGUAUUAUCUUUUGAUGGAUGCAAAAGAAUAGCUGUGAAUCCCACGGAUCAAAGGUUGCCUUCUUUGACUGGUCUGUGUUUUAGAAGUACUGGAUUUAUGCUUGCAAUCUAAGAGAAGGGGCACUUCCUGAAGAUAUUGGCUGCUUAUCUUCAUUGAAGUCUUUAGAUCUGAGCCAAAUAACUUUGUUAGCCUGCCUAAAGCAUAAAUCAGCUUUCUGACUUGAAAUGCUUGUCUUGGAGGAUUGCAGAUGCUUGAAUCAUUGCCUGAGGUUCCAUCAAAAGUUCAAACAGUAAAUUUGAAUGGUUGUAUAAGCCUAAAAAAAUUCCAGAUCCGAUAAAGCUAAGCAGUUCCAAAAGAUCAGAGUUCAUAUGUCUUAACUGCUGGGAAUUGUACAAUCAUAAUGGCCAAGACAACAUGGGGUUGACCAUGCUUGAAAGAUACCUCAGGUCUUCUCUUAAUCAUACCCCAACCUCUUGUAUCUCUCUCCCUCUCCCUUAUCUAUCUAACAUUUUGGUUUUUCAUGGUACAGGGUUUGUCUAAUCCAAGACCUGGAUUUGGUAUCGCUUGUUCCAGGAAAUGAAAUUCCAGGCUGGUUUAACCAUCAAAGUAAGGGAUCUUCAAUUAGUGUGCAAGUGCCUAGUUGGAGCAUGGGGUUUGUUGCGUGUGUUGCAUUCAGUGCAAAUGGUGAAAGUCCUUCUCUUUUUGUCAUUUCAAAGCCAAUGGAAGAGAGAAUUAUCCUUCGCCGAUGUGUAUUAGUUGUAACUCUAUCCAAGUUCUGUCAGAUCACCUUUGGCUAUUCUAUCUAUCUUUUGAUUACCUUAAAGAGCUUCAAGAAUGGCAGCAUGAAUCCUUUAGCAACAUUGAGUUGUCGUUUCAUUCUUACGAGCAAGGAGUGAAGGUGAACAAUUGUGGUGUCUGUUUGUUAUCUUCUCUAUUUAUUAAACCACAAACAUCUGCCCAUUUUAUUGUCACAAGCAAAGAAGCAGCUUCUUUAUAUAAAGAUUCUUUAGCUUUUUCUUCGUCGUACCAUGAAUGGAUGGCCAAUGUCUUCCCUGUCACCAGAGUCGUAGAUCUAGCCCCGAGAUUCAUUAUACCAGUCAAGAAGGAACCAGAGAAAGUAAUGGCAAUUAGAUCAAGACUAUUUGAGGCCAUUGAAGAAUCAGGGAUGUCAAUUAUUAUAUUUUCUAGAGAUUGUGCUUCUUUACCUUGGGACUUUGACGAACUUGUCAAGAUUGUCGGAUUCAUGGAUGAGAAGAGAUCGAACACUAUGUUUCCAGUUUCUUAUGAUGUCGAACAAUCAAAGAUGGAUGAUCAAACAGAGAGUUACACAAUUGUCUUUGAUAAGAAUGAAGAAAAUCUCAGGGAAAACGAGGAGAAGGUACGAAGAUGGACGAACAUUCUCAAUGAAGUUGAGAUUUCAUCUGGAUCAAAAAGGUAAUAAUUACUUAUUCAUCUGAAUCGAAGAGGUAAUAAUUACUUCGAAAAGUUGCUUUCAUAAGAACUGAAUGUCAACAAAUCUAUGAUCUUUCUAAAUGGCGUGCGAAAACACCGUGCAAGUUCACAGCAUGGUUAGAGUUUUUUUCUUUUAAGGUAGAUUUUGAAUUUAAAAAACAAUAUUUUUAAAGUAGUUUUUUUUUAUUCAGUAACUUUUUUUUUUCAAUUUGAAUGUGUUAAUAAAGUUAAAGAAACAAAAUAAUUGCAUAGAUUCAACCUUCUAAAAAACAAUAUGCACAACACCAUCAAAUAACAAUUUAUAUCCAAAAACUUGUAACCAAAAUAGAAUGCAUGCACUGAAGUCUUGACAAGUCAUUAUUAAAUUUGAUUGAGUUCAUAUUUCAGGUCUUAUGUUUAAUUUUUUAUGGUUAAAAGUUGAUAUAAAUUUCUGGGAAAAAACAUAUUGAACUCGGUUGAGUUCAUGCUCCAGCCAUGGGUUUAACGAAUUAAGCAACAACAACCACACAAUGUUUUUUCUCAUAUUGCUUUUUUACUGAUAUUUUUUUAUGUAUCUUUUUUUUUAAUAUUUUUUAAAUUUAUGUUUCAAAUAAUAUCCUUCAUUAUGAUUUUUUUUAUAGAUAUUAUUUUUAUAGUAUUGUUCGUAUUUAAUUUUUGAAAAACUUAUUAUGAUUCAUUAAUAUUUUUUUAUUUUUUUUGUAUAAAAGAACUUAAUUUUAAAAAAUAAAAAAUAUGAAUUUUCAAAUAACAUUAACAUGUACAACAACCUUGCAUAAUAAUUUUUUUCUAUUUUUAUUUUAUUUAAUCAAUUUAAUAUGUGUAUUUAUUUUUAAUAUCAUUUGAUUGAAUAAAAAUAUUAAUUUUAAUAAACAAAUUUAAAAAAUAUAAAUGGGUAAAUGUUCUAUUUAUUAAUACAUUCAAAUUUUUUAAUUUUAUUUUUAAUUAUUGUUAAUAUAUUUUUUUAUUAUUAUUUAUUCACAUAGUUAUCAAUUUAUUUGAUUACAUGUAUGUAUGAGAUUUUUAAUUUAUACUUUUAAUUUUUUUUUUAUGUACAAAAUGCACAACUAUUUUGUAAGAGAAAAAAAUAUUUGAUCCAUAGAAAAGCAACAUCUUAUUUUUUUUCACAAACAAUUUGCAAAAAAAAAAAAUUGUUAGUAGACAUAGGCCAAACAAAAUGGACCACUCGGGCUAGUCUGACUUACUAGACUUAACAACGCUUAACUUUUAUUUUUUCUUCUUUUAAUUUUAUUAAAUUAAUACUUCUUUUAUAUUUUCUUAAAUAUUUUUUUUAUUUAUAUUUAGAUUAACAUCUCUUCUCAUUUUUUUAUGUUGUUUAGAGAUCCUUUUUAAAAUUACGGUUAUUUUUUAGUUAUGCAUUUAAUGUUUUAGGAGGUUUUUCUACUUUAUCUAAAUAUUUUUUUUAAUCUUUUGUAUAGAUGAACUUUAUUUUUUAAAAUAAAAAGAUUUUAAUUUCAAAUAAUAUUUAUAAUAUGUGCAGCCUUGAAUAUUAUUUUUUUUCUUUUUAUUUUAUUCAAUCAAUUUAAUAUGUGUCUAUUUUUAUUAUCGUUUGAUUAAAUAAAAAACUUGUUUUAAUUAAUAAAUUUAGUAAAUAUAAUUGCAUAAAUUUCUCAUCUUGCGAAAUUAAAUAUCUUAAUCUACAACUAUUUCUUGGUUUUUCAUAUUUUAUUUUUAGUUAUCUUUUAUAAAUGUUUUUUUCAUUUAUUAAGACGUAGUUCUUGAUUUAUUUAAUUAUAUUUAUGCAUAAUAUUUUUUUUUUCACUUAAAAAAUUAAAUACAAAAACAUAUUGAAAAUUAUAUUUAUAAAUUUUUUUGUUAAGAUUUUUUUUAACCUGCGACGAAUUUACGUAACAAGUAUCUAGUAACAUCGAUUCCAUGUAUAGUUUGACUAUGCGGUGGGGAUGGGAGAACGAAUGUUUAGUUUUCAAGUCCUUUUUUAUCUAAUCUAUUUUUUUAUAUGACAAUUUUACCUAACCGAAUGAUAGAAAUUUUUUUUUUCAGUAACAAUUUAAUGUGGUUCGACCCUACAAUAUGCAUUAAUAAUUAAAGUUUGAGAAAAUUCCCAUUGUGCCAAGCUAUAUAUACACACACACACAACACUUCUGACCUCUCCUUCUCAUGACUCUCAGCGGCAAAGGAGCUCCAGCAACGCAGCAGCAGCAGAUCCAGCUCCACCUCCACCAGCAGCGGAUCCAGCAUCUCCAACUGGUCAAGCAGUGGCAGGGAUGGCUCCAGUGGUUCCAGAAGCGCGAGCACUUGUCUGAGCAGCAGCGUGAGGAGCAUCUCGAGCUGCUGGAGCGGCAGCGGCAGCGGCAGGAGCUGCUGGAGCGGCAGCGGCAGCAGCUGGAGCAGCUGCCGCUCCAGCUGCUGGAGCGGCGGCAGCGGGUGGAGCGGGUGGAGCGGCAGCUGCUGGAGCAUCAGCAGCUGGGGGAGCGGCAGCAGCGGCAGCUGGAGCUGCUGGAGUGGCGGCGGCGGCAGCAGCUGGAGCGGCGGCGGCAGCAGAAGCUGGAGCGGCGGCAGCUGCAGCUGCUGAAGCGGCAGCAGCAGCAGCUCGAGCAGCAGCAGCUGCUAGGGCUGCCGCAGCUGCUCGAGCGGCAGCGGCAGCUGCUCGAGCGGCAGCGGCAGCUGCGCGAGCGGCAGCGGCAGCAGCAGCGCGAGCAGCAGCAGCUGCUAGGGCUGCCGCAGCUGCUCGAGCGGCAGCGGCAGCGGCUCGAGCAGCGGUGGCAGCAGCACGAGCAGCGGUGGCAGCUGUUGCUCGAGCAGCAGCAGCAGCUGUUGCUCGAGCAGCUGUUGCUCGAGCAGCAGCAGCACCAGCAGCUGCCUUGGGUUUGGUUUGGAAUCUAACUUGCUUUAGCUUGAAGAUCUUCGUCAGUUUUUGCUCAUGGUUUUGGUUUUGGUUUGGGGUAAUUUGAUUCACAUUUUGCAAUAUUGGUUAUCGGUAUUAUUUUUAUUUUGGCGUCUCGGUGUUUCUGCGACCGUAGAUUCAAGACGUUUUUCCAGCUACUAAUUCUAUAAAUAUAAUGAAAAACAGAAAUGAGAAACUCGUCAGUUUUUCUAUUGAUGUAGAACGAGGAAGAAGACGAGGGGGAGAAUAGUGAAGGAGGGAGAAUAGUGUUAGAAGAAUAGAAAGGUGACGAGUAAAUACAAGGGAGAGAGCAGUAGGAGUUGAUUCCAGAACUCUUAUUUAAUACUAAAAAUUUUAUUAAUGUAAAUGAAAGGAAAAAAAAUGGAUUUUUGGGUAAUAUAUUUAUAUUAGUACUAAAAUCUUGAAGGAUUAUUAUUAAAUGUAUAUAUUUUAAAUAGUGAAUAAAAUGAUGAUUAUUAUUAUUUAAUGUGAUUAUGCUUAAUUAACUAGUGAAAGAUUAUUAUUAAAUCAGUAUUUUAAGGUUAUAUUAUUUUUCGCUUCUACUAUUUUUGUUUAUUUUUUCUAAUGUUAGUAUUUCUAAUCUAAAUAAAAUAUUUAUUUUGUUUAUAACAUGUUUUUCAAUGAUUAAAUGUUGUCUUUUUUUUAUUUUGCAAACAGAUUUAAUUUUGUUUGGGAUCAGUACUUGACCUUUAUAUAUUGUGAGUAUUAAUAAAAUGUUUAAUUUGUAUAUAACAUAUUCUUCUUAAAUUUAGGAUAAUCCCAUGUUUGCGGAUGAAAGCCUGUGCUCUGCAAAAUUUUAACCUGUAUUUUGAAAUAGCUAGUCUGUCCACUUUUUUAACUCUGUUUUUUGGUGUAUGAUAUAUUUAAAUUAAAAACUAUAUAUUAAUAAAAAUAUAUUUUGCUUUCUUUUAAAUCAAUUUCAUUUAGAAUUCUUUGAAAUUAAUUUUAAGUAUUUUAAUAUUUCAUGUUAUAAUAUUCAUACUAAAAAAUAUUUUUCAACAAAUCUUAAUUUAUUAAUUAAUUUUGAUUAAAAUCCAAUUACACUUAUUAACGACCACGUUUUAAAACCAUUUUCUCCAACAGCAGGCAUUUUACAUUCAAAUACAUGAAAAUUGAUCUUAAAUGUGACCAAGCUGUAUGCAUGCAUUCUAACCAUUCUAAACAAUUCUCUCAAUUCUCUAUUUUAAGAGGUGUUUUAUUAUUGUGGUAAUAUAUAGUUAUUUUUUAAAUAUUUUUAUUUAAAAUAAAAUUUUUAUCUUUUAAAAUUUAUUUUUAAUACAGUAUAUCAAAACGAUAUAAAAAAACUUAAUUUGAAGAAAAAUAAAUAAAUAAAUAAUUCAAUUUUUAAAAUUUAAAAGACAAACAAGCGCUCUAAAUCCCGACAAUCUUUAGAUAAAAAUCAUUAGAAAGGCGACAUCUUUAAUGUGUUACUUUUAUGUUAAGACCUCGUUUGUUUCAUAAAAAGUGGUUUUCUGGAAAUCACUUUUAAAUUUUUCUGUGUUUAUUUCCCAUUAGAAAAAUUGGUUAACGAAAAACACUUUUCAGUUAAAGGAAAACGCUUUUCAGAAAUUGUAAAAAAUUUAGAAAUAUUAUAUUAUUUGCUAAUUAUAUCAAAUUUGAUACUCAAACUUUUGAUUACUAUAUAUUUUGUUUUGAAUCUUUUUUUUUUUUUUUUAAUUUCAUCCUUUAGAGUUUGAUCUAAUUUGAUUUUUAUAUCAACUUUGGUUUUGAUUUUUAUGAUUAUUAUUUGUUUUUCUUUUAUCCUUUUCUUAAUUGAAAUUUUUUAUCUAUCAUAUUUGUUUCUCAUUCUUUUGAUUAUUAUUUAUUUUAUUUGUAAUAAUUUAUGAAAUUAUAAUUAUUUUUUAAAUUUCAUUAUUUUUCAAUUUUUUUAUCUAUUAUAUUUGAUCUCUAUUAUUUUGAUUGUUAUUUAUUAUAUUUGAGAUAAUAAAUGAAAUUAGAUUUUUUCUCAAUUUCAUUUUUAUUCAACUUUUUAAUUUGUAAGAUAUGUUUCUUAUUAUUUUAUUAAACUUUAAAAAAUAUUAAUAAGUUAUUUUUCAUAUUAUUUUUCAUGACAUAGCUAAAUAUUGAAAAAUAUUUUCUAACUUAUUUUUCAUGAUACUAUCAAACAUCAAAAAUUUAUUCACUUUUUAAAAAUUUAUUUUUCAAGAAAAAAUUAUAUAUAAAAAAAUUAAUUUCAAAUAAACAACGGGCAAAGUAUUUGUUUUUCUUCUCAAAAACAGAAAACCACUUCGUUGUGCAGUGCAACAUUUCAUGCCCAAGUUAGUUAGCUUAUUAGGAAUUAAAGUUUGCUGGUAGUAAUUUUAUGUUAUAUAUUUGGUGAACAAAGCCAAUUCACUACUGAUCAUGAUUUGUAAAUAAGCUGAAUGUAUUUUUCAAAACCCUGAAAUAUUGGGAAUUAAAGUUUGCUGGUAGUGAUUGUCGUACUUGUACGGUGUAAUGGCGAAAACAUCCACCCUUAAAAUCUGGUAUUAUCUAAAAACGUGGCAAAUAGGGGAGACAAGGAAUUCUUGUCUUUUAUUAAUGGAAAAAUUGAAAUGGGAGUCGCCACCUAGUAUUUUAGUCACAGAGAUCAGGUACGGGGACUGAUUGCAUAAAGAAAAGGUUUUAGCACCCCAAAUACACCCUACCUAAGGUAGGUUGCAUUGUUUAAUUGUCUGAUAAAAUCUAAAGUCUUGUUGUGUUUUCUAGUUGUUGGUUCGUUUAAGGUUUAAGAAAAGUUCUCAUCGGUCACAGAGAUCAGGUACGGGGACUGAUUGCAUAAAGAAAACCUUUUUCUGUCCUUUUCUCCCCUCCGUUUUCCCUCUCGGGUUCUUCUGCUUUUCCUGCUCUCCCCUUUUCUUUUCUUUCCCCGUCUGCUUUUCUCCGUUUUACUCUUCCUCACGUCUCCCUCUACUUUUAUUCUCCCUGUUUUCCUCUCUUCCCCCCUGUUUUCUUUUUCUGCUGUCUCCUUCCUUUUUUUCCCCUCUUUUCUCCUCCCUUUUCAGUCUUCUUCUCCUGCUUUUAUAGGCCAGAGACGGCCUUGUGCUGGUAAGUGGUAACGGUCACCUUGUAAUCUGGAAACAACGGGAUAGCAGCCAUAAAACGUGCCCCAAGAUUGAAGCAAUUUGGCGCUUUUGCUGCAAAACGUAUCUCUGUUUCUUUACUGCUGAAAACGGCUUCUCGAGGGAGACAACGAAUUGUGCUUUUAAUGAAACGGCGCCGUUUCAAAAUUCAAAUGAAUAUUUGCGAUUCGGUCCUUGUAUGUUUUUAUAAUUUUGUAAUCAAGCCCCCGGAUGGAUUGUAAUUGAAUCCCUUGAUCUUAACGCUUUUCUGGUUUGGUCCUUAGUUUUGAAUUGUUUCAAUUAAGUCCCUAAAUGACCAUCAAACUUCAAUAAUUAUGCAAUUAAGCCCCUAAUUUGACCAAAUCACUAUUCAAAAUUAUAAUUGGACCCCAUAACUUUAAUUUCUUCCAAUAAAAGCCUAAAUUGACUUAAAAAAUUAAUUUUCUUGCAAUCAAACCUUCCAUAAAUUCAAUUAAACCUUGGAUAAAAUUUAAUUGAGUCCAUAAACAUCUGAUUUUGGACUUUUCUUUCUCAAAUUGAAUUUUUCUUGUCCCCAGGGCUCUCAUCAGUAAAAAAUAUACUGUCAAAAUUUUAAUUCUUGUAUUUUUGAAUCUCCUCAAUCAAUUUCUAUCCUUUUUUCAGCAUUCCAACAUCAUUUUCUCACUCCUAUUAUUUUUGAAUUUCUUUCAAAUAUUUGUUUUGAUAUAUUUUUUUGUAUUUUCUCAUUUUUAUUUUUUUUUGGUUUUGUGGGAACCCAAAAAUGGAUAACAACAUUAAUUUUAGGUUAUAUCUUUGGUGAACAUCUUGGAUUCAAUUUGCCAAAUUCUCAGUUAUUCUUGAAUUAACAUAAAUCUUGCUACUCAAGACAAUUUUUUUUUUUACUAAACAAACACAACAUACAUGUAAAUAUAAAUUCAAAAUAUCUUUACUCUAAUAAAAAAAUAAUAAUUUAGUAACAAUUUUUUUUAUAAGCCUGAAAAAUUGUCGCUUUGGUAGGCAUGCUUUUAAAUAGAAUAUGAAUUUCCACUAUCAUACCCCAAAAGAAGGUUUAUGCAGGGUUUAAGGCGGCCGAUAUGCUAAUACCACUAUCAUACCCUCUCUAUGAACUCAUUUCCUUUCUCAAAUUGCAUUGCCCGCGCAUUUUAAUUCAUCUCUCAAUCACUUCAAUUCCAUUUUAUUUUAUUUUUCAUUUCCUUUAAUUAGAGUGCCAACUCCCGUAUAUUUUCUACCAAAAAUUUUGAUCCUUUGAUUACUUUUGAUAAGAAACCCACAAUUCUAUCUCUAAACCAUCCACAGUUAUGUGGAGAAACGUCGCAAAACAAGCCACUUUGAAAUCCCAAUCAAAGUCCCUCAAUUUUCCUUCAUUUCCAAGAACUUACAGCUUUUUAGGAGUAUCAGAAUUGUUGAUUGUAAUAUUCUCUUAUUCAUUCUUUGUAUAACAGCAGACGUGAAUAUAUAUACAUAGACUGGGAAACUAUUGAGGAAUAUUUUAUGAGCCUAUAAUCUUGCAGCCUAUAAUCUUGCAGAAUCACAUAAUUGAUUCUCACUAAUUAGGAAUAUAUAUAGCUCAUACUAAUUAGGAAUAUACAGCUCAUUGACACUCCCCCUCAAGUUGGAGUAUAUAUGUCGCUCAUGCCCAACUUGCUAAGUGAGUUGUGAAAUACUUUGCCUAUGACUGCUUUGGUGAGGACAUCUGCAAGUUGAUCUUCAGAUUUAACUAAAGAUAUCUCAAUGAUUUUUGCCUCGAGAGUCUCCUUGAUGAAAUGUCUAUCAACUUCAACAUGUUUGGCUCUAUCAUGUUGUACUGGAUUAUGUGCAAUGUCUAUUGCAGCUUUGUUGUCACAAUUCAGUUGCAUGAAUGAUCGGGUUUGAAUCCGAGUUCUCUUAACAAAUUCCUUAUCCAUAGUAGCUCACAUACUCCGUAUGCCAUAUCUCGAUAUUCUGCUUCAGCACUUGAUCUUGACACCACGUUCUAUUUUUUGCUUGGGUCCACUUGGGAUCUUUCAAAGCUUCCUGCACAUUACUUGGAAUAGAUACAGUGGAUAACAAAUGAUGCACAUGAUGAAGAUAGCCUAUGUAGGGACAUAUGAUUAGCAAUAGGGUUUAACGUUUGUUUUAGGGUCAGGGUCAUAUUGUUGUCUAGGAAUCCCUUUAGUUGUACGGGGAGGCAGUUGAUAACUUGUGUUUCCAAUAUUACUUGACUCGGGUAAAUUGAUUGAGUUGGAGUUUGAAUGUUCAAUUACCUGUGGGAAAUCUUCAGGACCUGAUUGGAUGAGUGGUGAUGGUACUGUAGUAGGAGUUGUUGAGGGAAGAUUAUCUAAACCAGUACCAGUAUCUAGAGUUCUGAGUGACUCUUGAUCUUGUUGCACCUCUUAAUCUUGUUGUACCAUUGUAACUGGUUGUUCAGACACUGAUUGCUCUAAAAUAUUUUGUUGAAUUUGGAUCUGAGUAUCUUCUGCAAAGAUAGAGCUCUCCCCCUGCAGAGGAUGCUCAGAGACGCCCCCUGAGUAAUAGAAUUCACUCUCGUGAAAAGUCACAUUGGCAGUAAUGUGCAUGGUCUGAGUGGGAGGAUGAAAACAUUUAUAGCCCUUUUGAGUAUCAGCAUAACCCAUGAAGACACAACGCAGAGCACAUGGAUCAAGCUAGCCACGUUGGUGUGGAUAUACCUGAAUAUAAGCAACACAUCCAAAGAUACGUGGUUCAAGAUUUGGUGUAGACGGCAUGGUGAGGUGAGUGGUCAAUUCUUGAAAUGGAGUUUUAUACUGAAGAGUGCUGGAUGGAGUUCUAUUAAUGAGGUAAGCAGCAGAACAAAGAGCCUCCCCCAAAAAAUAAUGAGGUAAAUGAGCUUCAAAUAAAGAGGCACGAACAACUUCCACGAGAUGUCGAUUCUUACGCUCGGCGACCCCAUUCUUUUGUGGUGUAUAUGCACAUGUGGUGUGAUGAACAAUACCAUGUUGACUUAAAAAAUUAUGCAGAUCAUGGUUGACGUACUCUCCUCCAUUGUCAUAUCGAAGCGUCAUGAUUUUCUUGUUGAAUUGAGUAACAACAUAUUGAUAAAAUAGUUUAAAUUUGACAGUUACUUCACUUUUCUGUCUUAAAGGAAAAACCCAGGUAAUCCGUGGUGCAAUCAUAAAUGAAUGUCAUAAACCACUUAUAACCCUUAAUUAUGAAAACAUGUGAUGGUCCCCAAACAUCAGAAUGGACAAUCAUGAAAGCAUAGAACUUUUAUUCAACCUUAAUGGAUAAGAAACACGAUGAAUUUUUUUCCAAAAUGCAAGUUUCACAAUGGAAGUCUGAUUUAGUAAACUAAGAAAACAACUUUGGAAAUAGAAGUUUCAGAUAACCAAAGGAGGCAUGACCUAAUCGUCUAUGCCAGAGCCAAAUUUUCUUCAUCCUGAUAGACUCACCUCCUCUCACAUGAUGUGUAUGACUUAAUUUUUUAACUGUGUCAUCUGUCAAGUCCAGAUAAUAUAGUUUUCCUCCCCUAGUACCACAUCCAAUCACGGCCCUCGUGUGAAGAUCUUGGAAUAGAAAAUACAAUGGCCAAAAACACAAAGUACAAUUAAAGGAAUCAAUGAUUUGAGGAACAGAUAACAAGUCAUAGUCAAGUGAAGGGACAACUAAGACAUGAUCAAGACUUAAUGAGGAUGUAAGAGAUAAAGACCCUUCUCCUAUAACUCGGGAAGUGGUGCCAUUGGCCCUGACAAUAUGUGUUUGGCUGGAAGGUGUGACAGAGUAUACCCCAAUAAGACUAGAUGUCAUGUGAUCCGUUGCACCAGUGUCAAUAAUCCAAGAUCUAUUACCAGUAAGUGAGGAUGUGUAAGAAUUACCUACAGUAGCAAAGGCCUUGGAGUCAGUUGUACCUGAUGGAAUUUCCGAUGAAGUCUCCUAUAAUGACUGGGCAGAUGCAAAUAAAGCUCGGUUUGAGUCCCUCUUGCGCCCUUUGUGAACCCAUCCAUCUGGAUAACCAAUGACCUCAUAACAGCCUUUAAUUGUGUGAUUAUCUAAACCACAUUUGGUACAUUUCAUUGGAGGUUUGUUACGAGCAAGUAGUUGUGCAGUCAAGAUUGUCUGGACCUGGCAACAACAAGAGCUGUGGCUUCGGAGGUUACACCUGCUUCAGACAUGGUUCCUUGUUGGUUACUUUCUCGUUUAAUAUGUGCAUAUGCAGCCUCAAGUUCUAGCUUUGGCUCCAUCCUCAAAAUCUCUCCUCGGACUUGAUCAAAAUUAUUGUCCAAACCUGCAAGAAAUAUAUAAACUCUAAGACAAUCAACUUCUUUUCGUCUAGUUUCAAUGUCUGACGGAUGCUCCAUGGUGCUUGGACUUAAUUGAUCAAGCUCCUGAAAAAUCUUAGUGAGCUCACUGUAAUAUUUGGCAACUAAAACACCCAUCUGUCUCAUUAUGAAUGAUCUUCUGUGAAGGUCGUAAAUCUUAGCUUCAUCAGCCCCAUCUGAAUAUGUCUGUUUGAUUGCAUCCAAACUUCUUUUGCUGUGUCAUAAUGAAUAAACCUUUUAAUCUGAUUCUGUUGCAUGGCGUCAAACAACCAACUCUUGACUUGGCAAUCUGCUGCAUGCCAUUUAUUAAAUGUGGGAUUUGUAACUGCAGGUUGGGUGAUAUCACCAGUCAAAUGACCAUGUUUUUCUCGCCCAGCUAUCUUCAUCUUUAUGAUUUGAUGCCCAGUCAAAAUGACCAUGUUUUUCUCGCCCAGUCAAAAUUUUAAUUCUUGUAUUUUUGAAUCUCCUCAAUCAAUUUCUAUCCUUUUUUCAGCAUUCCAACAUCAUUUUCUCACUCCUAUUAUUUUUUAAUUUCUUUCAAAUAUUUUUUUUGAUAUAUUUUUUUGUAUUUUCUCAUUUUCAUUUUUUUUUGGUUUUGUGGGAACCCAAAAAUGGAUAACAACAUUAAUUUUAGGUUAUAUCUUUGGUGAACAUCUUGGAUUCAAUUUGCCAAAUUCUCAGUUAUUCUUGAAUUAACAUAAAUCUUGCUACUCAAGACAAAUUUUUUUUUUUACUUGUCGCACGUCAAAAAAAUCCUGCGCGGCGUUCGAUGGCGAUUUUCAUUUGUUUUGCUUGUUUUGGUUCUUUGGAGUCGCCACCUAGUAUUUUGGUCACUAGGAACCCUAACUGGUCUUUCAGAGAUUCUAAGGCAAGGGACUGGUUGCGUAAAGGGAAGGUAUUAGCACCCCUAGUACGCCCUACCUAAGGUAAGCUGCUUGGUGUUUGGUUUGCUCUAUAAUCUAUGGUGUUGGUGUUUUCUAAUCUCGUCAAUUUAUUCUUGAUAGAAAUCUAAGGAGAUUCCAUGUGCUUUGAAAGCUCAUUUUUCCCUUUAGUAUUUCAAGAGUUUGCGACUCGUAAAUCGCAAGGAAAAGGAAAGAGAAAAAAGAAAUCUAUGAAAAUUCACAACUCUUAAAAAACAAUUUUAUACUUUCACGACUCGUAAACCGUGGAGUAACAAAAAUUAAAAUUUUGAAAUGUCCUUGAUUAUAAUCCAGGCUUCUUUCAAACAUGUGUGCAGAUUUAUUAUUCCCAAUAAUAUUUUGGAUGUUCAUCUUUUUAAUGAUUUCUUCAUCCAAACAUUAGCGGUGAAUAAUAAAUGAAAUUUCUCCUCCCAAAAUAAGAUUUUUAUAGUUUUUUGGAAUAUUGGCGAAUACCCUUUGGAGUUUUACAAACAUGUUGUAAAAUCCAGAAAUGCAAGAAAAUAAUGUGUUUAAGAAAUCUAUGCGAAAACACAUUUUCAAAACUUCCAAUAUUUUUUGUAUAUAAAAGGAACAUUCAAAACAUGUUAGAGUAUUGGCCGUAUGCAUGAAAACAAAACAUUUUUUUUAUAAACAUUUUUUUUGUUGACGAAAACCGGGUAUUUUAAUACCGGAUUUGUAUCUUUACAAUAUAAAAAUACAACCCAAUAUCCUGCAAAAUUGGUAGAAAAAGAAGCGAGAAAAUCACAUUUUUUUUUAAAAUGAUUUUGGAAAUUUUUAUUUUUAUUUUUAUUUUAUAAUAUUAUAAAACACACACACACACACACACACACACACACACACACACACACACACACAAUAUAUAUAUAAUUCACGUCCUGCGUGAACAGUAGGACGUGAAUUAUAUUUCACGCCUACUGUUCAUGCAAUGAACAGUAGGUAAGGAGGAAGAAGAAGAAGAAAAGGAGGAAAGGAAGAGGAAGGAGGAGGAAAGGAAGAGGGGCUCACUUGGCCGAAGGGGGUUGUGGCUGCUGUGAUGAGGUGGUUCAGCCGGUGGUUGCAGCUGUGGAGUUGGAGGAAGACGGCGUCGGUUUCCUGUUGCAGAGGAAGAAAGAAGAAGAAGAAAAAUCUGCAGAAAUUGGGCGAAAAUGCUGGUUUUUGGCUGACUUUGGACCCGAAUUUCUCCCCCCUCAGAUCAUCAAAUCCGACUCUAUUUAUAGACUGUGGAAGAGGGAAAUUUUGUCUACUUUGGGGAAAAAUUUCAGCCCUUGAUUCAGUUGGGAAGCAUCUCAACCGUUGGCUUGAAGUGUGCACCUCGAGUUGUCAAAUUUGGCAGCUCAAGGCCGUGAACUGCCUGAGGUGGCCACUUUGAGCCACUCACCGGAGCCGUUUCUAACUUUUUCGACCCGACCGGACCAUUCUCCGGGAUAAAGGGGUUGCAUGUGAACAUGUUGAUGCACGUGUUGUCGGAUUUGGAGGCCACACGAGCCGGAAAACUCGCCUGGAAAGCAGCCACUCAGGCAGCGUUUUGAGGAAGAAAGUGAACAGUAAAUUAAGGCACAUUUUCCAUCUGUCGAUCUCAAAUAACUUACUUUGAAUCCCAUCUGGCGAUUCCUAAAUGAAACAUGAGGUCCCUUCUGGCGACUUUCUUUUGAUGAAUAUCGAAAUACGAGAUCCCUUCUGGCGAUCUCAAACAACUUACUUGGAAUCCCAUCUGGCGAUUCCUAAAUGAAACAUGAGGUCCCUUCUGGCGACCUUCUUUUGAUGAAUAUCGAAAUACGAGAUCCCUUCUAGCGAUCUCCAACAACUUACUUGGAAUCCCAUCUGGCGAUUCCUAAAUGAAACAUGAGGUCCCUUCUGGCGACCUUCUUUUGAUGAAUAUCGAAAUACGAGAUCCCUUCUGGCGAUCUCAAACAACUUACUUGGAAUCCCAUCUGGCGAUUCCUAAAUGAAACAUGAGAUAUGAGGUCCCAUCUGGCGACCUCCAAAUACCAAAAUACGAGAUCCCUUCUGGCGAUCUCCAUCAACUUGGAAUCCCAUCUUGCAAUUCCUUUUAUUAAAACAUGAAAUAUGAGGUCCCUUCUGGCGACCUUCAUCGAAAUACGAGAUCCCUUCUGGCAAUCUCAAACAACUUGGAAUCCCAUCUGGCGAUUCCCUUUUAUUCAAAGCUGAAAUAUGAGGUCCCUUCUGGCGACCUUCAUCGAAAUACGAGAUCCCUUCUGGCGAUCUCAAACAACUUACUUGGAAUCCCAUCUGGCGAUUCCUUUUUACCGAAUGCUAUCGAUGUCGUUCUUCCUGCUGGCAGGGUUUGAGAAUCCUUAUCUUCUCUUCUUGUUGUUCUAGAAUCAACUCAAUGAUUCUUUCUUCGUCCAUAAUCUUGUUGGAAUGCGCUAAGAUCUCCUCCUGUAACGAUCCAAAAAAAACAUACAUGCAAUGAUUUAUGAUUAGAUGCAAUGCAUGCAUUCGUACCUGGUUUUGAAACAUAGGCCCCAUCCUCUUCUUCUUGUUCAUGAGACUCCCUCUCAACAUGAGCUUGCUUUUGAAGUCGUAUGCUGGAUUCAUCUCUCGUGUUGCCUCCUAUCAUAUCUUGGGGAAGAAGUCUUCGACUUUUUUACAAGUAGCCCCUUUUUUUCUCCAAAUUUACGACUUGUCCUUGCCUCUUUGUCAUGCUUUUGUUAAAUGCUUUAUCUUUUUCAAAUCUACGGGCCCUCAUCCCGUUUUGAAAACAUGUAAAACCUUUCAGGAAAUAAUCUUUUAUUGCCCCCCAGUGUGGAGUGCAACUAUAUGUCAAGAAGAUUUGAUUUGGUGCUCUCCAAUUGAUGGAGUCAUCUCCUUAGUCAUGCGUAAAAAAGUUCUUUUAAGUAAAAGAUUUCAAAUGCUAUGAGAUCAUAUGUUUUAUAUAUAUAUAAAAGGCUCUUUACAAAGAGAAUUCAUGGUCGGACUUUAAUUUUGUUGAUUGGGAAAUUACGAAAUACAUCAAGCGUAAUAUUUCCUUACAGAGUCAGAAUUCACGGGCCUAAAUAGAUCUUCUCCAUCCAUUCUAGAUAACAAUUAAAGCUUCUCCCAAAAACGCUUUCUUUACCACUAAAGGGCCCUCAUUGUUUGGCGUCCAUUUACUCUGACCUUCUCCUGGUAAAAGACAACAUUUUCUUCAAUAUAAGAUCUCCUUCGUGGAACCCUCAAGGUCGAAUCCUCUUGUUGUAUGAUUUGGCCAUCCUUCUUUGAUAAAGUUGAUGAUGACAGAUUGCGGCUAUCCUCUUUUCACUUAUCAGAUUCAACUGUUCACAUUUAACCUUCUCCCAUUCUAACUCUUCUAGCUCAAAGUCUAUCAAUACUCUCAAUGAUGGGAUUUCCACUUCUAAAGGCAUCAACACCUCCAUUCCAUAUACCAACAUGUACGGGGUGGCUCCUAUUAAGGUUCUAACUGCAGUGUGAUAUACAUGAAGGGUAAAUGACAACAUCUCAUGCCAAUCCUUAUAGGUGACUACCAUCCUUUUGACAUUCUUGUUAGCAGCUUCUACCGCACCAUUCAUCUUUGGUCUAUAUGGCGAAGAAUUGGAAUGCUUGAUUUUCCAUUUAGUGCAAAGCUCCAUUAUCAUCUUGCCGUUGAAAUUAUGGGCAUUAUUUUUCUAGUGGACCAUAUCGAUAGAUCAAAUAUCUUUCCAUAAAUUUCUUCACCACUUUUUUCACGUCAUCAAAACAUCUCAAAAAAGUUUCGUCAGAUGAUUUAUACAAAGUUUCCCCAUCAAGAUAGAAAUCCAUUGCUAACCUCCUCAACGUCUUCUUGUUGAUUUUUGGAUGCCCCCAUGGGAUAUGUCUAGUUUUGGAUGAAAUUCUUGAUAUCAUAGUGCCAAGGGUUUCCAUCAAUUUCUCUUUCAAACUGAGCAAUAAUGAGCUAAGUUAUUUCUUAUAUCAAUGUGUAUUGGUUGUACCUUGUGCCCAAAGUCUAUUCUAGCCAUAGAAGCUGGCGUGACCAAAACAUCAAAAUGGUUUCCUUCCCUUCCUAGAUGGGUGAACUUUAUUUCCUCAAAUUCUCUAGCCCAUUUAGACAAGUAUUCUUGGCAAGGUCUCAACUUCUCGUCCUUGGUUUGCCCUUUUCCUUUCACUUGACAAAUAAUCAAAAUCGAGUCUCCAAUACACAUCUAUCUUUCUGAUGUUUAGCUCUAAUGCAACCUUUAAAAUCGAGAAUGCAAGCUUCAAACUCAGUUGUGUUGUUAGUGUACCCAAAUUGUGACUUAACUAAAACCGGAUACUGUUUCUUAUUAGGAAAGAUUAGCACUGCCCCCACUCUAUUACCACAACACCCUCAAAGUACAUAAUCCAACAAUCUGAUUUCCCUUCCUCGACUGAAAGCAUAUCUUUAUCCGAAAAAUUAAAUUUUAACAGCCCAUAAACUUUCACAACAUGGUCAGCUAGGUGAUCGGCGAUGACAUUCAUGGCUUUCCUUGUCAUAUAUACUAUGUUGUACUCAGCUAGUAGAACUUGCCAUUUUUCAAUUCAACUCGAUAGAUAGGGGUGGAUUCAGUAGGUAUUGCUUGAUUUUCGUGAAAGCUUCUUCACAUUCUUAUUCCAAAUUCCAAGAUUCUUCUUCCUUAACAAUUGAAGAUGAGGUCAUAAGUCGUGGUUAAUUGGGAUAUAAAUUGAGCAAUGUAAUUCAACCUUCCCAAGAACCUCCUUACAUCCUUCUUAGUCUUGGGAGUUGGCAUAGGUUGAAUAACCUUUACUUAAUCAGGGUCCACUUCUAUCCCUUUGUCACUCAUCAUAAAUUCCAACAACUUCCUAGAUUUCACCCCGAAUGAACACCUUGCAUGGUUAAACCUCAACUUGUACUUUCUUAGUCUUUCAACUAAUUCCUUCAAUAUUUGGACAUGAUUCUCUCCCUCUCUAGGUCAUGUCAUCCACGUAUACUUUAAUCUCUUUAUGCAUCAUGUCGUGAAAUAGAGUCAACAUAGCCCUUUGGUAGGUGCCCCCAACGUUCUUUAACCCAAACGGCAUGACCUUGUAGCGGGUUUCCAAGCUUGUUCAUGUUGUUCGUUUUUGAAUCCCCUAAUGUUAUUUUCCUACCAUUCUUCCUCUUCUACAACUAAUAUGGAUUCUUUAAAGUCCGGCCAUUCAUUCUCAGUGUAAAGUGCAGGUGUAGUUAUGGAAGAUUCGUUUUGAAAAGAAAAAUGAUGUGUAAAAACACCAAGAUGAACUUUUGAAAAGGCAUUUGGAACCUCGAUUUAAAAAGUUGAAAAAGGAAAACAACACAAUAUCAUGAUCAAACAAGCAUUGUUGAUUAAAUUUUGAACACCAAUGGAGCUUCUUGGGUCUCCCAAUUCUAGAACAUCUCUCCCUUGGCUAGCUUUUGAAUAAAGGUCUUGAGAUUCAAGAUGCUUUGAGCUUAGGCUUGUUUGGAUGCAAAAAGAUAUUAUGGAGCAUACAUCCUAAGGAUAGGCUCUAGUUCCUUUAUGUGAGACAUUGGGUAGGUUUACUACUGGGUCUCUAAAAGAGGGUCUCUUGCUGUUCCAGUGAUCACCCUCGUAAAGGCGAUAUGGAGGUCUAGCAGAUAGUGGGAUGGUACGUGUACCAAUCACAAUCAGUCUAAACACUCAGCAAAGAGUUGGGGUUUACACAAACUUAAACCUUGACUCAAGUCAUAAGGCAAGCUGCUAGUCCCCCACUUAAUCUUAAAGUUACAUGUGUGUGCCCUCAAAAAACAUAAUAAUAAUAAUAAAGUGAUGCAUGACUACAUCAUGUAUGAUAGAAAUGUAAAGAUGUAUGCUAAAGCUUUUAAACAAAGUAAACCAUUCAUUGUAAAAAAAGAAAAACAACAACGCAUAGCAUAAUAAAAAAAAAAAUUACCAAGCUUAGUCCAAGGGUUCCCAGUGAAGUCGCCAUUCUGUCGCACGUCAAAAAAAUCCUGCGCGGCGUUCGAUGGCGAUUUUCAUUUGUUUUGCUUGAUUUGGUUCUUUGGAGUCGCCACCUAGUAUUUUGGUCACUAGGAACCCUAACUGGUCUUUCAGAGAUUCUAAGGCAAGGGACUGGUUGCGUAAAGGGAAGGUAUUAGCACCCCUAGUACGCCCUACCUAAGGUAAGCUGCUUGGUGUUUGGUUUGCUCUAUAAUUGCUAUGGUGUUGGUGUUUUCUAAUCUCGUCAAUUUAUUUUGGAUAGAAAUCCAAGGAGAUUCCAUGUGCUUUGAAAGCUCAUUUUUCCCUUAGUAUUUCAAGAGUUUGCGACUCGUAAAUCGCAAGGAAGGAAAAAAAAAGAAAUCUAAGGAAAUUCAAACGCUUAAAAGCCUUUUAUACUUUCACGGCUCGUAAACCGUGGAGUAAAAAAAAUUUAAAUUUUGAAAUGUCCUCGAUUAUAAUCAAGGCUUCUUUCAAGGAUGUGUGCGGAUUUAUUACUCCCAAUAAUAUUUUGGAUAUUCGUCCUUUAAGGAUUUCUUUAUCCAAACAUUAGCGGUGAAUAAUAGAUGAAUUCCCCCCAAAAUAAGAUUUUUAUAGUUUUUGGAAUAUUGGCAAUACCCUUUGGAGUUUUACAAACAUGUUGUAAAAUCCAGAAAUGCAAGAAAAUAAUUUGUGUUUAAGAAAUCUAUGCGAAAACACAUUUUCAAAACUUCCAAUAUUUUUUGUAUAUAAAAGGAACAUUCAAAACAUGUUAGAGUAUUGGCCGUAUGCAUGAAAACAAAACAUUUUUUUUAUAAACAUUUUUUUUGUUGACGAAAACCGGGUAUUUUAAUACCGGAUUUGUAUCUUUACAAUAUAAAAAUACAACCCAAUAUCCUGCAAAAUUGGUAGAAAAAGAAGCGAGAAAAUCACUUUUUUUUUUUUAAAUGAUUUUGGAAUUUUUUUUUUUUUAUUAUUUUAUAAUAUUAUAAAACACACACACACACACACACACACACACACACACAUAUAUAUAUAUAUAUAAUUCAGGUCCUGCGUGAACAGUAGGACGUGAAUUAUAUUUCACGCCUACUGUUCAUGCAAUGAACAGUAGGUAAGGAGGAAGAAGAAGAAGAAAAGGAGGAAAGGAAGAGGAAGGAGGAGGAAAGGAAGAGGGGCUCACUUGGCCGAAGGGGGUUGUGGCUGCUGUGAUGAGGUGGUUCAGCCGGUGGUUGCAGCUGUGGAGUUGGAGGAAGACGGCGUCGGUUUCCUGUUGCAGAGGAAGAAAGAAGAAGAAGAAAAAUCUGCAGAAAUUGGGCGAAAAUGCUGGUUUUUGGCUGACUUUGGACCCGAAUUUCUCCCCCCUCAGAUCAUCAAAUCCGACUCUAUUUAUAGGUUGUGGAAGAGGGAAAUUUUGUCUACUUUGGGGAAAGAUUUCAGCCCUUGAUUCAGUUGGGAAGCAUCUCAACCGUUGGCUUGAAGUGUGCACCUCGAGCUGCCAAAUUUGAAGGCCGUGAACUGCCCGAGGUGGCCACUUUGAGCCACUCAACAGAACCGUUUCUAACUUUUUCGACCCGACCGGACCAUUCUCCGGGAUCAAGGGGUUGCAUGUGAACAUGUUGGUGCACGUGUUGUCGGAUUUGGAGGCCACACGAGCCGGAAAACUCGCCUGGAAAGCAGCCACUCAGGCAACGUUUUGAGGAAGAAAGUGAACAGUAAAUUAAGGCACAUUUUCCAAAUUGGUCCCUGGUUUCGGAUUUUCUCAAUUAAGUCCAUAAUUGGCCCUUAAACUUCAAUAUUUAUGCAAUUAAGCCCCUGAUUUGACCCAAUAAAAUCCUAAAAAUUAUAUUUUGGCCCCAGAACUUAAAUUUCUUCUAAUAAAAGCCAAAUUGACUUAAAAAUCAAUUUUUCUUGCAAUCAAAUCCUUUAUAAAUUCAAAUAAAAAUCCAAUUAAGUCCAUAAACAUCCAAAUUUGGGCUUCUCCUCAAAAUUCAAAUUUUCCUUCUCAAUAGGGCUCUCAUCCUUCAAGAAAAUACUGUCAAAAAUCUAAUCUUUGUAUCUUUAUACUCCUUGACCAAUUUUCUGACCAUUUUCUGAGUGCUUCUGCCUUCUGUUAUUUUUCUAACCUCCUUUGGCUAUUUAUUUUAUUUAUUGCGGGGACUCAAAAAUGGGUUACAACAUUACUAAACAAACACAACAUACAUGUAAAUAUAAAUUCAAAAUAUCUUUACUCUAAAAAAAAAAAAUAAUUUAGUAACAAUUUUUUUUAUAAGCCUGAAAAAUUGUCGCUUUGGUAGGCUUGCUUUUAAAUAGAAUAUGAAUUUCCACUAUCAUACCCCAAAAGAAGGUUUAUGCAGGGUUUUAAGGCGGCCGAUAUGCUAAUACCACUAUCAUACUCUCUCUAUGAACUCAUUUCCUUUCUCAAAUUGCAUUGCCCGCGCAUUUUAAUUCAUCUCUCAAUCACUUCAAUUCCAUUUUAUUUUAUUUUUCAUUUCCUUUAAUUAGAGUGCCAACUCCCGUAUAUUUUCUACCAAAAAUUUUGAUCCUUUGAUUACUUUUGAUAAGAAACCCAUAAUUCUAUCUCUAAACCAUCCACAGUUAUGUGGAGAAACGUCGCAAAACAAGCCACUUUGAAAUCCGAAUCAAAGUCCCUCAAUUUUCCUUCAUUUCCAAGAACUUACAGCUUUUUAGGAGUAUCAGAAUUGUUGAUUGUAAUAUUCUCUUAUUCAUUCUUUGUAUAACAGCAGACGUGAAUAUAUAUACAUAGACUGGGAAACUAUUGAGGAAUAUUUUAUGAGCCUAUAAUCUUGCAGCCUAUAAUCUUGCAGAAUCACAUAAUUGAUUCUCACUAAUUAGGAAUAUAUAUAGCUCAUACUAAUUAGGAAUAUACAGCUCAUUGACACUCCCCCUCAAGUUGGAGUAUAUAUGUCGCUCAUGCCCAACUUGCUAAGUGAGUUGUGAAAUACUUUGCCUAUGACUGCUUUGGUGAGGACAUCUGCAAGUUGAUCUUCAGAUUUAACUAAAGAUAUCUCAAUGAUUUUUGCCUCGAGUUUCUCCUUAAUGAAAUGUCUAUCAACUUCAACAUGUUUGGUUCUAUCAUGUUGUACUGGAUUAUGUGCAAUGUCUAUUGCAGUUUUGUUGUCACAAUUCAGUUGCAUGGAAUGAUCGGGUUUGAAUCCCAGUUCUCCUAACAAAUUCCUUAUCCAUAGUAGCUCACAUACUCUGUGUGCCAUACCUCGAUAUUCUGCUUCAGCACUUGAUCUUGACACCACGUUUUGUUUUUUACUUCGCCAAGAUACUAGAUUGCCUCCCACAAAGGUAAAAUAUCCAGAUGUGGAUCGUCUGUCAGUAAUAGAGCCUGCCCAAUCUGCAUCAGUGUGACCCUCGAUAUCUAGAUGAUCAUGUCGUGAGAACAUCAAUCCUCUUCCAGGAGCUGACUUCAAGUAUCUUAGGAUUCAGUUUACUGCAUCCAUGUGUGGGCUUCACUUGGUGCAAGCAUGAACUGACUCACCACACUUACGGCAUAUGCUAUAUCAGGUCUAGUGUGUCCUAAAUAGAUUAACUUACCCACAAGACGUUGAUAUCUUUCUUUGUUGGUGGGUACCUGAUCGGGAUAUUCACCAAGCUGAUGAUUCAACUCCAUUGGCGUAUCUGCUGGUUUGCUGGCUAACAUUCCAGUGUCAGUUAAAAUGUCAAGGAUAUAUUUUCGUUGUGAUAAAAAUAUUCCUUGUUCAGAACGAGCCACUUUGAUGCCCAAGAAAUACUUUAGAGCACCAAGAUCUUUCAUUUCAAAUUCACUUGCCAAGUGGUGCUGCAGUGCUGCCUUUUCGUCUGGGUCAUUUCCUAUAACUACCAUGUCAUCAACAUAUACAAUAAGGGCAGUGACUUUACCUUUCUUAUGUUUCAAGAAAAGGGUAUGAUCUGAGUUACUUUGCUUGUAUCCAAACCCCUUCAUUGACUUGUUGAACUUUCCAAACCAUGCUCUAGGUGAUUGCUUCAAUCCGUAAAGGGCCUUUCUUAGUUUACACACCAUGUUGCCCUUAUUAGGUCCCAUAUUGCAUCCCGAAGGGGAAUCCAUAUAGACUUCCUCUUCUAGGUCGCCAUGCAAGAAGGCAUUUUUGACAUCAAACUGAUGUAAUGGCCAGUCUAGGUUUGCUGCCAAAGAAAGUACUCGGAUUGUGUUGAUCUUGGCUACAGGAGCAAAGGUCUCCCCAUAGUCAAUCCCAUAAGUCUGAGUGUAUCCUUUAGCUACCAAUCUUUCUUUGUAUCGUUCGAUGGAACCAUCUGCCUUGAACUUUACUGUAUAUAUCCAUCUACAACCCACUGGUUUUUUUCCUUUUGGAAGGAUAGUCAUCUCCCAAGUGGAAUUCUUCUAAAGGAACUCCAUUUCAUCAUUCAUUACUUGGGUCCACUUGGGAUCUUUCAAAGCUUCCUGCACAUUCUUCUAAAUGAUGCACAUGAUGAACAUAGCCUAUGUAGGGACAUAUGAUUAGCAAUAGGGUAUUUAACGUUUGUUUUAGGGUCAGGGUCAUAUUGUUGUCUAGGAAUCCCUUUAGUUGUACGGGGAGGCAGUUGAUAACUUGUGUUUCCAAUAUUACUUGACUCGGGUAAAUUGAUUGAGUUGGAGUUUGAAUGUUCAAUUACCUGUGGGAAAUCUUCAGGACCUGAUUGGAUGAGUGGUGAUGGUACUGUAGUAGGAGUUGUUGAGGGAGAUUAUCUGAACCAGUACCAGUAUCUGAAGUUCUGAGUGACUCUUGAUCUUGUUGCACCUCUUAAUCUUGUUGUACAUUGUAACUGGUUGUUUAGACACUGAUUGCUCUAAAAUAUUUGUUGAAUUUGGAUCUGAGUAUCUUCUGCAAAGAUAGAGCUCUCCCCCUGCAGAGGAUGCUCAGAGACGCCCCCUGAGUAAUAGAAUUCACUCUCGUGAAAAGUCACAUUGGCAGUAAUGUGCAUGGUCUGAGUGGGAGGAUGAAAACAUUUAUAGCCCUUCUGAGUAUCAGCAUAACCCAUGAAGACACAACGCAGAGCACAUGGAUCAAGCUAGCCACGUUGGUAUGGAUAUACCUAAACAUAAGCAACACAUCCAAAGAUACGUGGUUCAAGAUUUGGUGUAGACGGCAUGGUGAGGCGAGUGGUCAAUUCUUGAAAUGGAGUUUUAUACUGAAGAGUGCUGGAUGGAGUUCUAUUAAUGAGGUAAGCAGCAGAACAAAGAGCCUCCCCUCAAAAAUGAUGAGGUAAAUGAGCUUCAAAUAAAGAGGCACGAACAACUUCCACGAGAUGUCGAUUCUUACGCUCGGCGACCCCAUUCUUUUGUGGUGUAUAUGCACAUGUGGUGUGAUGAACAAUACCAUGUUGACUUAAAAAAUUAUGCAGAUCAUGGUUGACGUACUCUCCUCACUACCAGAAAAUCGCUAAAUACCAACGGACAUACCGACGGAAUUUUUUCUGUCGGUAUUUUUCGGCCGAAAUCACCGACGGAAAUUAUUCGUCGGUAAUUCGGUCGGUAAUUACCGACGGACUCUUUCCGUCGGUAAUUACCAACCGAAUUACCGACCGAAAAUUAAGAAUUAAUGAAAAAAGGGCGGGCAGGGCGCGGAGGUUUUGGCGGGUGAUUUUUCCGACGGAAUCACCGACGGAAUUAAAACUGGGGCCCGUACGCGUGAUGGGACCUAUUCACCGUCAAAAAUACCGACGGAAUCACCGACGGAUUUGAAAUGCCAGAUCCGUACCGGUGACGUGACGGUGCACCGUUAAAAAUACCGACGGAAUCACCGAGGGAUUUGAAUAGCAGGUCCGUGCGGUGACGUGUCGAUUGCCCGUCAGAAUUACCGACGGUUUUGCCGACGGAUUCACCGACGGUAUUAAGUCCGUCGGCAAAAGUGAAUAUAUGGCCCUCUGCCGACACUCUCCUCCCCAUUUCUCCUUCUUCUUCCUAAUCCUAACCCUCCCCAUCUGCAAAAUAACCAGCCCCCCCUCGCCCCAAAACAAAAUCUUCUCAUCUCAGCACAACAAGUUGUAUUUUUUUGUGGUCACAGCAUCCGUGUUCUGAUUUACCGACGGAUUUUAUCAUUUUUUGUAAGUAAUUCUAUCUUUUAAAAUUUUAACAUUUAAAUGUCAAUUUUAUUGUUUUUUUAGUAUAUGUAUUAUUUUUUUUAGUAGAUGUACAUGUUUUAUUGUUAUUUCUCAAACAAACUUGUAGUAUAUGAAUGUAUAAUUUUAUACUUGUUAUGGUUUGUUUUAGAUUUUGUAAGAUUGUAUUUGUUUGAAAAUUGUUAAAACUUAAUUUGUAGAAUUACCGAAUUACAUGUUGUUUUUGAAAUAAUUAAGAGCUUGCUUAAUUAAUGGGUCCUUUUUAUAGAGGUUCGAUAGAAGUCAUGGAUGAUCGUUCAUGGAUGUAUCUAGAUUCACCCCAAGGAUUGCGGAGGAUGGAUUAUUGUAACGGGGUUCAGGGUUUUAUUAAUUUCGCAACAUCUAUUCCCAGAAAUUUUACUGGAGGCGGUAUUAGGUGUCCAUGCAGGAAGUGUCAAAAUAAAAAGUAUCUGCAUCCAGAUGUUGUAAUGAUGCAUCUUCUACACAAAGGGUUUGUGGAGGAUUACGAGUGUUGGUAUGCACAUGGAGAGGUAUUUGUUAGUAAUAGGAGAAUGGGAGAAACGGUGGUUGGGUCAACUUCUAGUGCUAGCAACGUGCAUGAAGCGGCAAAUGACAACACUAAUCCUUACAGAAACAUGGUUAUGGAUGCAAUGAGAAUGAAUCAAGAUAAUGUCAAUCAAUGUCCAAUCGUAGAAGAAGAACCUAAUGCAGAGGCAGCUAGGUUUUUUGAUUUGUUGAAAGAUUCUGACGAACCAUUAUGGGAUGGCUGCACAAACCACAGUAAAUUAUCGGCUGUGGCACAGGUGUUCACCAUCAAGUCAGAUCACGGGUUGAGUGAGGCCGGGUAUGACAAAAUUAUUGAUUGGGCAAGAAGCAUUUUACCAGAAGGGAACAGGCUCAAAGAGAACUUCUAUGCUGCGAAGUCCAUGAUGAAACCCCUCGGUUUAGGAUACCAGAAAAUUGACAUGUGCCCUAACUUCUGCAUGUUAUACUACCUUGAAAAUGCUGUGAUGACCGAGUGCAUGACAUGCGGGCAUUCCCGUUACAAACCCAGAACUGGCAGGGGGAAGACUCUAGUGGCAUAUAAAAAACUUAGAUAUUUCCCGAUCACACCUAGACUGCAGAGGUUAUUUAUGUCACCAAGGACUGCUGAGCACAUGACAUGGCACCAAACACACGAUGUCGUUGAUGGUGUGAUGGUGCAUCCUUCUGACGGCGAAGCGUGGAAACGCUUUAACAGUGUUCAUCCUGACUUUUCUGCUGAAUCAAGGAAUGUUCGACUUGGGUUGUGUACAGACGGGUUCAACCCAUUUGGGUCAUUUGCUGCUCCCUAUUCUUGUUGGCCGGUCAUUCUCACAGUUUAUAACUUGCCACCGGGAAUGUGUAUGAGGCCGGAGUUCAUGUUUCUAUCUACUGUCAUACCCGGUCCAAGCAGCCCGGGGCGGAAUAUAGAUGUUUGUCUUCGACCGUUGAUAGAUGAGCUGGCGCAGUUGUGGUCCUCCGGAUCUCUGACUUAUGAUAUAUCUAGGAAACAAAAUUUCCUUAUGAGGGCGGCUUUGAUGUGGACUAUCAGUGAUUUUCCAGCUUAUGGAAUGCUUUCUGGUUGGAGCACGCAUGGGAAACUCGCAUGUCCAUACUGCAUGGAAAACAACAAGGCAUUCACGCUAGCAAACGGAGGUAAAGCUUCUUUUUUUGACUGUCACCGUCGCUUCUUGCCACUUAAUCACAGGUUCAGAAAGAACAGAAAAGAUUUCUUUGUUGGUAGAGUUGAAAAAGAUGUUGCAUCCCCGCGUCUUUCUGGUGAAGAAUUGCAUCAUGUUGUAUCAGAGUACGGUGACAUUGUGUUUGGCCUUCAAUCAGGUAAGCAAAAGUUUCCUGGUUUUGGUUUGACCCAUAAUUGGGUAAAGCGAAGUAUCUUUUGGGAGCUUCCGUAUUGGAAGACUAAUCUUCUCCGCCAUAACCUUGACGUCAUGCACAUCGAAAAGAACGUGUUUGAGAAUAUUUUCAACACCGUCAUGGAUGUGAAGGGGAAGACAAAGGACAACAUGAAGGCUAGAUUGGAUAUAGCUUUAUACUGUAACCGUAAAAAUAUGGAGUUGGUUUAUGACGAGUCACGGGUUGCAAAACCAAGGGCAAGCUUCGUGUUAGAGAAAAACGCACAACUGCUAGUCUACAAAUGGCUUAAGAGUCUGCGUUUCCCGGAUGGACAUGCAUCGAACAUAUCAAGGCUUGUUAACAUAGAGGACUGCAGAUUGUAUGGAAUGAAGAGCCAUGACUGCCACGUGUUUAUGCAAACACUCAUCCCAUUAGCUUUUCGUGAUUUGUUGCCAAAGGGAAUAUGGGAUGCACUAACGGAGAUCAGUCAUUUCUUCAGAGAUAUAUGCUCCAGCAAGAUGAAUGUUGAGCACAUUGAGAUGCUUCAAACGAAUAUCAUCGAGACACUAUGCAAACUUGAGAUGAUAUUCCCUCCUUCAUUUUUUGACUCAAUGGAGCAUCUCCCUAUACAUCUACCGUUCGAGGCAAAAGCUGGAGGACCGGUCCAGUAUAGAUGGAUGUACCCAUUCGAACGGUGAGAUAUUACAGUUGCAAUGGAAUUCAUAUCUUAAAGUAUUUUCUAUGUUUUUCUUAUUUGAAAAUACUUGAAUUGUACUUCAAUGCAGGUACUUGUUUAAUCUAAAAAAAAAGGUUAAGAACAAGGCGCAUGUUGAGGCUUCGAUAUCUGAGGCCUAUAUUGUUGAAGAGAUAUCAACAUUUAUCUCGUACUAUUUCGAACCUCAUCUGAGAACAAGAAUCAAUCGCGUUCCACGGCAUGACGAUGGCGGUGAAGUGCCUUCCAGUGGGAACUUGUCAAUAUUCUCCAAUACUGGACGACCCACACCUAAAAAUGCCGUAAGAGGAAGAUAUUUGUCGGAAAUAGAAUUCAAACAAGCACACAACUAUGUUCUAUUUAACUGUGAUGAGCUGAGACCAUUUAUUCAGUAAGUCUAUAUAUGUGUAAUAGUAAUUAAACUUUGUCAGUAAUAUACUGUUAAUUAUAUAUUGUAAUAUCAUACACUCAUUAUCACUUGCAGGCAACAUCGACAAUAUUUGCUCUCCAAUAACUCGCAGCUGACCGAAUCCCAGAUCUUUCAAUUACAAGAUGAACAAUUUGCCACAUGGUUCAGAACACAUGUAAGCACUAUCACAAACUCAUUCUAACGUAUGCAUGUCAUUACGAGAUUCUCGUUCAUUUACCGUGUAUUGAUGUACAUUUAAUUACAUAUAUUUACAAGGUUUAUCAAAUGGGAAGGAGUGCGCCCAAGUCAUUGUCUUCACUAAGCCUCGGCCCUGAAAGAAAAGUUAAGUGCUACAACGGGUAUUUUGUCAAUGGAUAUGUUUUCCAUACUGAAGAAUACGGGCAAGGAAGAAAGACAUACAACUGCGGUGUUUGUGUUAAGGGAUCCACAAGUAGCCAGUUAGAAGUUGACUACUAUGGUAGAUUAGAAGAGGUCGUCGAACUGCAAUAUCAUAGCGAGCAGAAUAAAGUGUUUUUAUUCAAAUGCUAUUGGUAUGACACGACGGACAGAGGAAUCAGAGUUGAUCCGCACCAUGGUCUGGUCGAAAUCAACUCAAAAGCUAGACUCCGCAACAUAAACGAUGUCUUUGUUUUCGCAAAGCAAUGUCAACAAGUUUAUUACACAUACACCCCUUCAUUUAGAAAGGAUCGUUCAAGAGUUGAUUGGUUGUCCGUUUUAAAAACGAAACCACGGGGUCGUGUCGAGGUUGUUCAGGAUGAGAACGAAGACACAAGUGUGCGAGAUGAAGUCUUUCAAGUUCGUGAGUUGGUUGAACCAUAUCGAGUUGCUCCUUCGAUUGAAUUGGAAGAAAAUUCAAAUUUUCGAGUUCUCGAUGAUAGUCUUGUUGAUAUUGACGGAGAGGAGUUGAAUGUUGUUCUCAGCUCUAGCGGACAACCAAAUGUCGAUGAAGAAGAUGAUAUCCAUAUUGAAGAUUGCGAUGAAGAUGAUGACAAUUCAAUUGACGAGGAAGAAGAAGAAAAUUCCGACUAAUUAUGAAAUGAAGCCCUAUGUAAAAACAUUUGUCUCAUGUAAUUUAGAUUAUUGAUGAUGUAUUUUGUAAAACAAAAUAUUUACUGUUUAAGCAAUGUGGUUAUUGUUUAUGUGAUGGACAGUUUAUCAGUUAAGUUAUUGCAGGAAGGUAAACAGGCAAUACAAAGACAACCUUUCCUGCAUAAUGCAAACUUACCGACGUCCAUACCGACGGAUCACCGUCCGUCGGUAUCUCACAGAGAGUUCGAAAAUAUUUACAACAAAAUGCCACAAUCACCGACGGCCAUACCGACGGAUCCCAUCCGUCGGUAUCUCACAGAGAGUUCGAAAAUAUUUACAACAAAAUGCCACAAUCACCGACGGCCUGCCGACGGAUCGCCAUCCGUCGGUAUCUCACAGAGAGUUCGAAAAUAUUUACAACAAAAUGCCACAAUCACCGACGGCUAUGCCGACGGAAUAUCCGUCGGCAUCUCACAGUAAGCUCGAAAACAUAACACCACCAUCGACGGUAUUACCGACGGCGUAGGUCCGUCGGUAAUUUGUCGGUUACCCAUUUACCGACAGAAUUACCGACGGACCGCGCGUUUCCAAAGUGCGUUAAUUAAUGCGCCCUGAACUUGUCAUUACCGACGGAAUCACCGACGGACUGCGAAAAUUUUGGAGGGCUUUUAAAAAUUCGGGCGAAAUUCGAAAAAUACCGACGGAAUUUUGACCUUUACCGACGGAUUUAACCUGUUACCGACGGAUGUUAAUUCCGUCGGUAAAAUUGACCUAUAAGUUCCACCCCGCCGCUUCGCCUCAUUUUUUCUUCUUCUCCCCGCCGCUUCUUCUCUUCUCCUGCGUUUUUCAGCCUAGAUUUUUCAUUUUUUCCCCUCAAUCCUUAAACACUUUCACCUUUAAUCUCUAGCAAGAUUUGGUGUUGUAAAUCUUCAUUAUAUUAAAAGGUAUGUGUUUUUCUAAUUUAUUUUAUUUUAUUUUAUUUUUAGUUGUUUUUAUUUUUGUUGUGUUGGUGUUUUUUGUUGCAAUGUAGAUAAAGUUUUGAAUUUGACACAUUAUUAAGGUAUGUAUAUUUCGUUCCUUUUUUUUUUGAAUAUUUUUUGAAUUUGUUGAAUAUUUGUUAAUUUAAUUGUUGAAUAAUUGAAUUUAAUUGUUGAAUUUAUUGAAUAUUUUUUGUUGUUGUGUUGUUAGAAUUUUAUUAGGUAAUUUAACUUAGAAUUAGUUAAAGUUGAAUUUUUGAAUAUUUUUGAAUUUUUUGAAUUUGUUGAAUAUUUGUUAAUUUAAUUGUUGAAUAAUUGAAUUUAAUUGUUGAAUUUAUUGAAUAUUUUUGUUGUUGUGUUGUUAGAAUUGUUAUUAGUUAAUUUAACUUAGAAUUAGUUAAAGUUGAAUUUUUUGAAUAUUUUUUGAAUUUGUUGAAUAUUUGUUAAUUUAAUUGUUGAAUAAUUGAAUUUAAUUGUUGAUUUAUUGAAUAUUUUUGUUGUUGUGUUGUUAGAAUUGUUAGUUAAUUUAACUUAGAAUUAGUUAAAGUUGAAUUUUUUGAAUUUUUUUGAAUUUUUGAAUAUUUGUUAAUUAAUUGUUAAUUGUUGAAUUUAUUGUUGAUUUAUUGAAUUUAUUUUUGUUAUAUUUUAUUGUUUUGAAUAUAAUUAUUGAUUAAUUUGUGAAUUGUAAGUUAACUGUUGAAUUUAUCUUAGGAUUAAUAGUUGAAUAUGUUGGAAUAAUUAGUAAGAUUGGUUCGAUGGUUGUGGCUAUUGUUAAUAUUUGCAGGUUUGUGGAUUUGGGUAGUAUCCAGUAUAGGGGAGGUGCCUGCCGAUUUUUUUUUAACUUUGAAUUUUAUUUUCAAUUAUUAAUAUAAAAUUGUUUAGAUGCGCAAAAUGAAAACCAGAGCUGGUCGUUCCAGUCGAAUCAAGUUCGUCUAGCAGCGAUGAUGAUGUUCCUUAGGUGCCUCUCAGAAGAGGCACCUACACCACCUGCGCCGUCAACCGAUGCUGCCUCUUCCAGCGAUGUUUCACAUCGCAGACGCGACAUGCCUUUGAAGCGGAAUCAAUUUACCCGCCAGUUCGAGGCACAGUGGAAGGACGAUCUUUCAAUGUAAGUUUGUUAAUGUUUUAGUUUUUUUUAUAUAAAAAAAAAAAUUUUAAAACAUAAUUUAUGAAGUAAAUCACAAAUUAAUUUCAUUUCUUUCAGGUUCACAAACAUUGAGGCCGCCCGAUUAAUAUCAUCGGCGUUUAAAGCGUCGAUGGAGGUUCCAUUGUUUCAAUGGAGUCAGAUAUCCAGACAUCCUGAAUGGAUGCCUCAAAUCAAUGCAUGGUUUCGUAGAUUUGAGGUUCGUGUUAAUAUAUAAUUUUCAGCUUAUUUCUAAUUAUAAAUUCAUGUUAUAAUUGUAAAUAAAUUAUUAACAUUUUAAAAAAUUAUUUUUUUAUAUACAGCAUCGAUUCUGCUGGGACGAUGAACAUGACAGUGUUGUGAGGAGGGUGUGGGAAAAUCACGCGGCAAUUAGGUAACAUCGAAAACAAUACGACUUUUUUUACAUAAUUAUUUAUGUUUUGAAAUGUAAUUUUUUCGUGCGUGAAUUAGGUUGCGUGAUUUUUGGUAUGACGCCCAGAAAAAAGCAAAAAAAACAGCGAGGGAUAAGGGGUUACAAGGCUGGAACGAUGUUGCGGUUUGGAGGGAUUUCAAACCAAUAUACAUCCCGGAAGAUAUAUGGCCGCACUAUCUUCAGCACGUGACGUCUGAGUGGUUCACUCGACGCUCACAGUCCGGUGCCGGCAACCGGAAUCGGCAAAUUCAUGGCUCGGUUACAACGCACACCGGCGGCUCCGUUCCGUUUGCUGCACAUGUGAAACGGAUGGUAAGAUUAAUUUAAAUGAAAUAUAUCGUUCAAUUAAUUUGUUGUUAAUACAUUUUUUUCAUUAUAUAUAGGCUACGUCUCUUGGACGUGAGCCGAGCCCUAUGGAGCUGUUUGUGGAGACGCACGUGCGGAGUCAUGACCGCCAAAAGGGGACGUAACAGUUCGUUGACAACCGUGCUCAACAGUUUGUGGUGUGUUUGUUUAACCAUUUUAUUUUGUAAGUUAUUAUUAUGUUUAUUGAAUUGAAUAUGAAUUUUUUUUUUUCAGGAGACCUAUAAUAAUCGGUUGAGGGAGAGAUACGGGGAUAAUCCUUCGACCCAUCCGGAAUUCGAUCCGGAUUUGUGGAUGGAGGCUGGAUCGUCAGGUGCACCCGAUAAAAAUCGGGUUUACGGGCUCUCCAACACUACCGCUGCCAAGUUGCGGUCGACCGGUACUGCUUCAACCGGUGGGAGCUCCCAAUCUGUAUCGAGCUCCCAAUCUAAGGAGUUUGUGGCCUUGCAGCAAAGGUGCGACCACCUAUCAGAGGCGUACACACAACUCAAAGAAGAGCAAAGAUUGGCGAACGAACAACACAGAUUGGCGGACGAACAACGCAGAGCAGAGUCUAAACAACAAAGAGCGGCCUAUGAAGAGCUUCGUCAAAUGGUCAUGAACAUGACACAAGGCGGAACAUGUGCGCCUAAUCCUUUUUGGCCGCCUAACCCCCACCCUCCUCCUCCUCCUCCUCCACCUUUAUAUUAAUUGUUUUUUUUUAAACACAUUCAUUUUGUAAUGAAUAUUAUUUAACUUUGAGUUUUUGUUGCUUAAUAUAAAUUUUAUUUGCAUAAUUGGUUUGUAUUACUAUUAAUUUAUAUUAUUUUUUUCUAAAUAAUUGAAAAAAAAAAAUUACACAGGGAUUUACCGACGGAAUAAAUCCGUCGGCAUUGGACAGUGUCUGAGGUAUGCCAUCCCAUCACCGACAUACUCACCGACGGAAAUAAUCCGUCGGUAUCCAAUACCGACGAAUUUACAGACGGAUUUAUUCGGUCGGUAUGAAAUAUUACCGACACUUUUGCCGACGGAGUUAGUCCGUCGGUAUUUACAUAACACCAACGGAAUGUAUUCCGUCGGUAUAUUCCAAGCGGGAAACUUUUUUUUUUUUGGCGCGCACCGGCCGUCGGUAAAACCGUCGGUAAAUGUGUUUUUUUUAUUACCGACGGAUAUAGCGACGGAAUGUGGAAUCACCGACAAAAGGUAUUCCGACGGAAGUAUUCCGUCGGUAAUAUAGUCGGUAAAUAAUUUACCGACGAACGUUCUGUCACACACCGACGGAAUAUGUCCGUCGGUAAAACUGUGAAAUCUUGUAGUGCCUCCAUUGUCAGAUCGAAGCGUCAUGAUUUUCUUGUUGAAUUGAGUAACAACAUAUUGAUGAAAUAGUUUAAAUUUGAUAGUUACUUCACUUUUCUGUCUUAAAGGAAAAACCCAGGUAAUCCGUGGUGCAAUCAUAAAUGAAUGUCAUAAACCACUUAUAACCCUUAAUUAUGAAAACAUGUGAUGGUCCCCAAACAUCAGAAUGGACUAUCAUGAAAGGCAUAGAACUUUUAUUCAACCUUAAUGGAUAAGAAAUACGAUGAAUUUUUUUCCAAAAUGCAAGUUUCACAAUGGAAGUCUGAUUUAGUAAACUGAGAAAACAACUUUGGAAAUAGAAGUUUCAGAUAACCAAAGGAGGCAUGACCUAAUCGUCUAUGCCAGAGCCAAAUUUUCUUCAUCCUGAUAGACUCACCCUCCUCUCACAUGAUGUGUAUGACUUAAUUUUUUAACUGUGUCAUCUGUCAAGUCCAGAUAAUAUAGUUUUCCUCCCCUAGUACCACAUCCAAUCACGACCCUCGUGUGAAGAUCUUGGAAUAGACAAUACAAUGGCCAAAAACACAAAGUACAAUUAAGGGAAUCAAUGAUUUGAGGAACAGAUAACAAGUCAUAGUCAAGUGAAGGGACAACUAAGACAUGAUCAAUACUUAACGAGGAUGUAAGAGAUAAAGACCCUUCUCCUAUAACUAGGGAAGUGGUGCCAUUGGCCCUGACAAUAUGUGUUUGGCUGGAAGGUGUGACAGAGUAUACCCCAAUAAGACUAGAUGUCAUGUGAUCCGUUGCACCAGUGUCAAUAAUCCAAGAUCUAUUACCAGUAAGUGAGGAUGUGUAAGAAUUACCUACAGUAGCAAAGGCCUUGGAGUCAAUUGUACCUGAUGGGAUUUCCGAUGAAGUCUCCUAUAAUGACUGGGCAUAUGCAAAUAAAGCUCGGUUUGAGUCCCUCUUGCGCCCUUUGUGAACCCAUCCAUCUGGAUAACCAAUGAUCUCAUAACAGCCUUUAAUUGUGUGAUUAUCUAAACCACAUUUGGUACAUUUCAUUGGAGGUUUGUUACGAGCAAGUAGUUGUGCAGUCAAGAUUGUCUGGACCUGGCAACAACAAGAGCUGUGGCUUCGGAGGUUACACCUGCUUCAGACAUGGUUCCUUGUUGGUUACUUUCUCGUUUAAUAUGUGCAUAUGCAGCCUCAAGUUCUAGCUUUGGCUCCAUCCUCAAAAUCUCUCCUCGGACUUGAUCAAAAUUAUUGUCCAAACCUGAAAGAAAUAUAUAAACUCUAAGACAAUCAACUUCUUUUCGUCUAGUUUCAAUGUCUGACGGAUGCUCCAUGGUGCUUGGACUUAAUUGAUCAAGCUCCUGAAAAAUCUUAGUGAGCUCACUGUAAUAUUUGGCAACUAAAACACCCAUCUGUCUCAUUAUGAAUGAUCUUCUGUGAAGGUCGUAAAUCUUAGCUUCAUCAGCCCCAUCUGAAUAUGUCAGUUUGAUUGCAUCCAAACUUCUUUUGCUGUGUCAUAAUGAAUAAACCUUUUAAUCUGAUUCUGUUGCAUGGCGUCAAACAACCAACUCUUGACUUGGCAAUCUGCUGCAUGCCAUUUAUUAAAUGUGGGAUUUGUAACUGCAGGUUGGGUGAUAUCACCAGUCAAAUGACCAUGUUUUUCUCGCCCAGCUAUCUUCAUCUUUAUGAUUUGAUGCCAUAGAGAAUAGUUAUUCUCAUCCAGUUUGAUUCCUACAGAGAAAUUAGAUGAUUCCUGCAGAGAAACUAGAUGUGUCACUCUGCAACGUGACUAUUUGUGUGGUAGUGUUGGAGUCUCCUGACAUGAAUGAUUUAUUGGUGUUUACUGAACCAUCAUCAUCUGCCAUGAUUUUGGCUUAGAAGUGAUGAGAGGAAGAAGUAGAGAGAACAAACAGAGAAAUUUGUUUAGUGUAAUUUGGUUGAGGGAACAAUGAACAGUGGUUGUGAAGGGUGACUAAUGGUUGCUGCUAUGAAAUCACUGCUACUGUGAAGGGUGCUGACGACUGCUGUGGCGGAAGCGAUUUUUGGAACUAGGGCAAGAGACAGUCAAGAUCGACUACUCUGAUACCAUAUCAGAAUUGGUGAUUGUAAUAUUCUCUUAUUCAUUCUUUGUAUAACAGCAGACGUGAAUAUAUAUAUAUACAUAGACUGGGAAACUAUUUAGGAAUAUUUUAUAAGCCUAUAAUCUUGCAGCCUAUAAUCUUGCAGAAUCACAUAAUAGAUUCUAACUAAUUAGGAAUAUAUAUAGCUCAUACUAAUUAGGAAUAUACAGCUCAUUGACAAGGAGCCUCUAAAGAACCCAUCUUUUUUUAGAAACUUAAGUUCCAUUCGCUUAAUAACACAAGUCCACGACUGAGUUUUCGAGCAAUUGGCGAAAUAUCAACCAAUGAAGAUUUUAUGGGAAAACCCAGUUUAUUUUUUUGAGAAAUAGUGAUAGUACUAAUGGGAAUCGGUGUGGUGGAUUUUGUCCAAGAGGGUAUGUGAGUGUAGCUGAGGCAUUGUCAUCAACGGAUAUUGAAGAUAAUGUGUCUUGGUGCCGAUUAAGUGCAAGAGUUGCAGCCAGAAAUGAGGAAAAAGAGGAGCACUUUAGGAGGAGGAGGCUACAUGCUAACCCUGGAAUAGGGUCAAGGAAGCAUAGGGUCUUAAGGAGAAGGCAAGUGAAGAUUGAGGCGGAAGCAUGGGAACUGGCAACGAAAGAAUAGAAGGAGCUUUGUCGAAUGUUGAAUGGGGUUUUUUCUGGAUUUCUUUUUUAUAUAUUAUUAGUUUUUUACUUUCAGUCCCAAGUUCUUCUGCUGUUCAUAGUUCCAGGGAGGACACUAAAUGCAGGUAGGAAAAACAAUGUAGUGUAAGAUCCUUUAGAUACUAAGUUUUUACAAUUUUGUCAUUAUGUAUCAAACUUUUCAUAUCACGGGCCUUAUUAAGGUGAAUAUUCUAUUACGCCUUUCUCUUUUGAGCUACAAUUUCUUCAAAGCAUGGACAUGGUGGUGGACUCAUAAGAGUGACAUUUCAACUUUCCUUUGUCAGAGCUCAUCUCAUGUUUGGACAUUGUUUCACUAUGGAUUUAUACUUUUGCAUUUCCCUGUUGGGGAUAUCAAUUAUCUUUAUCAUUUCAAUUAUGUGUGUUCUUGUUUGUGCCUUUGUUUAAGUUUUUUACUUAGUUUAGACUUUAAAGGCACGCGUGACACUUUCCUCUACUGUCUCUUCUGACUAUGGGAGUUGCUUCCUCUUUUCUUUUCCUUUUUUUCUUUAAAAAAAAAGAACUAUACAAUGUAGAGAUAUUUAGGUGUACCAUUCUUAAUCCAUUUUUUGGACCUCCUAACUCUUCAGUCUUGUUCUCUUUCUUUGAACUGAGGACUGAAUCUGUAACUGUUUCUGUGAUGAAACAGAUUAGAAUACACAAUAUCUUGGAGAAAACAAGGAAGAAAAAGGAAAAGGCUAAUGAUAGCAAGAAUGGUGUAGAAGGUGAAUCCCCUGCUGUCAUGAAGGAACAAGAAGACCUAAGAAAAAAAGGUUAUUGAUUUGAUUAAAAAACAAAAGCUACCAGCUGUGAGGAAGAUUGUGAAGGGGAAGGAUGCUUCAAAACCAUGGAAUGCAGAUGCUAGGGCUAAGGUCUGUGUGCUUGUAAUCAUUGAUAAAGGCUAAUUUUCUUGAACAAAUGUAUCGUGUCCGAAUUUGAUUUCUGUCCUUGCACUUUGCAGGUUGGAAGCCGUCUAAUUGAAUUGCUGUUACAAACAGCUUAUAUACAGCCUCUGAACCUCGACCUGCAUUUGUACAUACAUUCCGAAUUGUGUCAUAUGAAAUAAGUAUGGGGUCAUUCUUUAAUUGACUCGAUGAGCUCAAUUUAUCUUUUCUUCCUUGUAAUUGCUUUCUAACUGAUGCACAAUGGCCUUUUCUUAACAGGAAGGGCGAAAAAAUAUGGUGUUAUACAAUGUGACCCAUAGUCCUCAAAGGCCUAGAGAAAAUUGUGAGUAACCCUAUCAAAUUUUGUUCUUCUAGUGAUAUCUAGUUUUCAUAUUUUAUCAUCCUUUAUGACAUGAACAUGUGUCGGGUGCCAUAUACUUUCAAUGCAGAUAGUUUAGUUUCUAGAUUUUAGAGCUGAAACAGAUAAGAUUUGUAGGCAAUUUCCAUGGUGCCUCUUAAGUUGCAGAUGUUUAUUUUUCAUUCUUUUUUCUUGCACAAGAAGUCAUAAAAAUAUUCUUUCUCCAAACAGGCUAGGCACAUGGUGAUUCCUUAUAUGCCAAUGUUGGUGCCACCACUUAGAUGGAGAGGGUAUGUUAACUUGUUUUAUAUUUACAGUUUUUCCACGAUUGUCUUGUUUUAAUUUUAUAUUUUUUAGUUGGAUAUAUUCCAAGUUCAGAAAUAUUAACAUAGUGUUUUGGUUACUUCUGCUUGAUGCCUGGAGCUGUUUUCAAUUUUCAUGUCACGUUAAAUGCUUAAAAUGGUAUAAUAGAUGAAGGGGUGAAUCUCUGAUUAUAAAGACUGGAAUUCCUAUCCCAAUUUCAGUUAAUUCAUUUCAGCAUGUUUCAAGGCUCUGCCUCUCCAUUUCUGUAACCUCCAUUGGAAGGGAAACUAAUUGUCUUGCAGGUGUUUAUUCAAAACAUGGUGAAUGUGAGAUAUGAGAUGGAAGGUUUUGUCUAGGAUUCUCAACAAAGAGAACACUGUCUUUAAACAUUGAAGAGCAUUUGCUAAUCACAACCAUGUCUAAUACCGGAAAAUGAACAUUAUUGCCACAGGCAGGAGAAUUUAGGGAUUGCUAUGGAAUUCUUUAUUAUAAUGUUUUUGAUGUUAAAGGGAGAGGUAUACUUCAUGGAAAAGAAUGGCUGGCAGUUAGAGAUAAAAUAUAGAGAAAGAAAAGGUGUUAGGUUUUCUACAAGGAUGCUGUGGUUAUAGCGCAAGAAAAGAUAAGAGUAUCGAAUUGUUGUUUUCAUGUGAAGUCAGACAUGUAGUUAAUUUAGGAUUAGGAUAGUACAUAGAGAACUUGAUUGUAGUAGUUUAGUUUCUUUAGGUGAUGAUUCAUAUAUAGGUAUUUAUUUCAAAUUUCAAAUGUGCCAGAAGCGCAAGGAGACAACAGAUGAUUACAUGGGAGAAAUGGCACAGACGAUCUCUGCUGUCAAACUGAGAUUUUUGAACCUUAUUGUUUGGCAAGUUAGUUAGGAUAUGUUUUUCAUGGACUUUGGUUAAGUUUUUCUGAAUAGGUGAUCACAAUCCUCAUUGUAAAAACUACACGUGCUUUGGAUUAUGUCUGCCAGUUACUCUUGUUGUGCUCCUGACUUGAGGAUUCAGGGGCAGAGUAGUACAUUCUAUUUUCAUGGAAUACAAUAUCAAGCGUGACGUAGAGUUUCUGAGUUGGUGGAUGAUAGCAACGAUAACCUUUCUGAUGCUGGGCAUAACCAACAAAUAUGCAUUUGAGUGCUCGUGGUUCCAACUUAUCCCUUAAUGGUUUGUGAAGAUGAACAAAAGUUGUACAUCCAAAAACUUAGUUGCAAGUGUGACACAGCAGGAGAAUUUAUUGUUUUAUGAUGAACACUCAAUGGGGUCUAAAAUCCUAAUGUGCUUGAGGGUAUCUGGUUGAUAAGAUAUGUUGCUGAUGUGAUAGCUUCAUCUCAAUAUUUAGUUGACAUAUGAGCUUCAAAUAAAGAAGCUCGAGCAAUUUCGAGAAGCUGGCGGUUCUUACGUUCUGCAAUCCCAUUUUGUUGAGGGGUGUAAGGGCAAGUGGUUUGGUGAACAAUUCCAUGAUUAAUCAGAUAUUGUUUCAACUUCUGAUUAACGAAUUCUCCACCACUGUCACUACGGAGAACCUGUAUUGCAGAACUAUAUUGUGCGGCGGCCUUAAAAAUUAAUUACUGUAUUUGGAAAAGAACGGAUUUCUGGCAUCCUGUUCUUUGAUGGGGAAUGGUCUUGUUUAAGGAGUCGCCACCUAGUAUUAUGGUCACUAGGAACCCUAACUGGUCAACGGAGAUUCUAUGGUUCGGGACUGAUUACGUAAAUGAAAAGAUAUUAUCACCCUUAAACGUCCUGCUUGAGGCAGGCUGCAUUGCUAGUUUCGUCUAAAAUUGCUAAAUAUUUAUUAGUUUAUGCUAUGAUAAUUUGCUUAUAAUAUUCCUGACUCUGGCGGCAGUGAAUAUUCAACUACGAAUAUUUCCAACUCUGGCGUUAGUAAAUAUUACGUAGCUAGAAAAUAAAUUAAAUCAAUAUAUUGUUUUUUUAUUCCUGACUCUAGCGCCAGUGAAUAAAUAAAUAACAAUGAAUUUAUUUUUACGCAUGCACAUAUAUUUUUUAUUUUUCUAGCUAAAUAAAAUAAAAUACAACGAAUAAAAAUAAUAUAAAUUUAAACUGGUAUUUUUAUUCCUAACUCUAGCGUCAGUGAAUAAACCUAUAAAUUUACAUUAUUUUUAUUCGUGCAUACAUAUUUUUUAUUUAUUUUUAUUUUUUCUAUUUUUCUAUUUUUUCUGUUUUUUUAUUUCUUUAUAAUUUUUUUUGGACUGGGCUGGGCCGGUUUUUGGGCUGGGCCCAGCCUAGCCAGCCCGGCCCGGCCACUGGCCCAAGCCAAUGGCUCGGCUGGGCUAGGCAACACGCAUGUUGCUACACUGUUCAAGUGAAUUAAAUGCCAAAUAAUUGAAAUGAAGAAGUGGCUUACUUGGUCUGCGAGGCGAUGGAGACGAUGGCGAAGCUCUGGCAGACCGACACUACCUCUUCUCCUCUGCUCCUUCUGCUUUCCUUUGCUUUUGUGUUCACCGAUUGCUUUCGUGUUCCAGUAGUUGUUGAGAUGAUGAAGGAACUAAGAAGAUGAUGAAAUUGUCGGUGAUUUAUUUUGACUGAUUUCUGGGUUGUUCCCUUUUUUGCAGGAAUGAAGACAAUGGUUGUUCCUCUGCUUUUCGCUCCUCUUUUCUGUGAAUUUGUGCCCUUUUUGUUUCUCUGGAUUUCUGCUCGUUUUUUUUUUAUGUUCCUCCUCUGUGAUUUGCUCUGUUUUUAGGUUCCCUUUUCGUUCUUGACUUUAUAUUUUUGGGUUGUCUUUCUGCUCUGUUUUCGUCCCCUGUGUUCUGGGUUUUACUUCUGGUUUUUCAUCCCAUUUCCGUUCCCUCUUUCCUAUGAUUUUCAGCCCCUUUUAUAGAGACCCAGCUCCUUGCCUCUAACCAGUCCUGCCUUUGCAGGACUGUUAUCUUCCUCGACGAGAUCGUGGGCGAGAAACGUGGUCCACGAUCGGAUUUGUUGUAGAUUAUCAGCUCCCCUGCUGAAUCGGGAGCUCCCCUGUUGACGCGGGAUGGAGAAGACGCAUGGUUGUUAGCAACGGUGCCGUUUCGGUUAAAAAAAAUGGGAAUUUUCAAUUUGACCCCUACCUCUGGAAUUUAACAAUUUGAUCCCAAAAUUCUUUUAAUUUUACCCUUGGAUUAAUUUCAAUUAAGUCCUGAAUUUAUUUAAUUAAUUAAAUCAAAGUUUAAUUAAGUCCUCAAACUCAUUAAUUCUUCAAUUAAACUCUUAAUUUCAUUAAUUAAAAUAAUCUAAAUUUUAAUUAAAUCAAUUCUCCAAUUAAGCCAUUGAUUUAAUUAAUUAAACUAGUCAAGAGUUUAAUUAAAUCUUAAAACUUUCAAUCAUGUUGCUCUUAACCCAAAUUUUAAUUCAUUCUUCAAUUAUUUUAUUUUUACUUGUUUUUCAUCAUUUUUUUAGAAAAUAAAAAUAAAAAGAUCAAAAAUUGAGUUAUGACAAAAGGAAAUAAACCAUCAUUUACCAUUAAAAGAGCAGGUAUUUGCUGGACCCCAUACAUCUGAAUGUACAACCAUAAAUGGUGUUGGGCUUUUAUUCAUGCUAUUUUGAAAUGGAACCCGAUGGCUUUUAGCCAAUUCACACACAUCACAUUUAAACUCUGUGUCAGGUAGCUGAACAAAGAGUUUCGACAUUAAUUUCUUCAAAUAUCCAAAGGAUGAGUGACCUAAACGUUUAUGCCAUAACCAAAUUUCAGAGUUUGCAGCAUAUUUAUUCAUGGAGAAUGCUCGAGCUAACUGGUGACAACUUGCUAGUGUUAAAUCCAGAUAAUAGAGCUUUCCCCUUCUAGUACCAUAACCAAUUGUCUUCCGAGUUUGAAUAUCCUUGAAAACACAAAGGUUAGGCCAAAAAAUAACAAUGCAUUGCAAAGCAAGAGUUAUUUGAGCAACUGAAAGUAAAUUAUAAUUAAGAGUUGGAACAACUAAUACGGAGUCAAGACUUAUAUUUUCAGUAAGGAUGACAGAACCUUCCCCAUUAACAGACGAUGAGGUACCAUUUGCUGAGGAUAUAAUAUAUUGUUCUGAUGGUUUAAAAGAUUGAAGCCACAACUUAUCAAAGGUCAUAUGGUCAGUAGCUUCGGAAUCAAUUAUCCAUUCAUUUCUACUGCUAAGAGUGGAGGUAUGAAAGACUUUACCAGAUUCUUUCUUUGUGAAUGUUGAAGGAUGUUCUGUCACUGUAACUAAACCAUUAGUAUUUAGUUUUGAAUUUCGUUUACGAGGUGCUUUAGCAGGAUCCCACCAUUCUGGAUACCCAAUUAGUUCAUAGCAUUUCAGCUUUGUAUGUCCAGUCUCACCACAGUGUGUGCAGACAUAUUCUGAUUUUGCCUUUCCAAUUUCAUAGCUACUGUUCUGAGUUUCUGAUGUCUGGAUUUUUUCAAUGCUAGGGCCAUUUGAUCGGUAUAUUCUAGGCUUACCUCGUCAUGCCAUCAUUAUAGAUGAUUCAGCAUGACCAACUCCAGCUUCAUUGUUUAAAGUAGCUCUGCGAACAACAUCACGACGUACAUAAGCAUGAGAUUCUUCAAGAUCCAAUAUCAAAUCUUUUCUAAGAAUUUCCCCUUGGAUUUGUUCAAAUUCUGCAUCCAAUCCAUUCAAGAAAAUAUGUACCCGUAAUCUUUCAACAGAUCUUCUGUUAUCCAGGUCUUUCAUUUUAGUUCUGUCGCGAUGAUCAAGUUCUUGGAAGACUUCCAUAAGAUCACCAUAAUAUGUUGAUAGUGGUGGACCCAUCUGUUUCGUGGAGAAGACUUUCUGGUUAAGUGAAAAGAGUUGUGAUUCGUCUGAUGCAUCAUUCGUCUGAUCCAUCAUAGAAGGCUUUAGACAAGGCAUUCCAAAUUUCUCGUGCAGUGCGUAGUCGGAUGUAUCUUUUCAUGAUGUCUCGUGACAUGGACAUUAGCAGCCAUCCUUUAACCUUUUGAUUUUAUGCAUACCAUCUUGAAUAAGAAGCAUCAGUAUCUUGUGGUGGUUGUGUUUUGCCCAUAAUAUAUUCAAGCUUUUCUCUUCUUGCAAUCUGCAUUUCCAUGAUCUGAGACCAUACAUCGUAAUUAGUUUCAGUGAGAAUAACACUAGUUGUGAAUCUAGAGUUUUCAGUUUGUACAUGGAUAAUGGGUGUCGAUUCUAUUGUUUUAUCAUUCAUCAUGGAAAUACAAGAAUGAUAGAAAAGAAAGUGAUCUCAGGAUGCAAAGAAAGUGAUCUGAAUGCAAGAAAAGGUAAUAUUCAAGAACAUAUUUCAAGAUCAGAAUGCAGAAAAUAUUCAAUAGCAUAUUGCAAGAUUUAGAGUGCAGAAGAACAGGUGAAUGAUCGUAUAGGCAGACGUUUAUUUCGUUUUUUUUUUUUUAAAGAGAGAAAGGUGAUAAGGAUGCAAGAUUGACAGAGAGAAUGCAGGAUUGGAUGAUGAAAAGAAUGGUGAAGGAAACUGAGAAAGAUACACAAACUGAGAAAGAGACGAUACAGGUACAGGAAAGCUUUAUCAAGAAGGAGAUUUCAGGGGAAAGAUGUAUCAGUAGUGCAUUUCCAGGCUCUGAUACCAUGAUAAAAUGAGUUUCACUCUUCGAAUUUUAUUCAUAAUAUUUGUAUACAGAUCAAGUUAUCUUAAUUCAUCAAUACAUCUGCCUUUAUAUAGCAGUAGGCAGUAGAAACUAUUCCUUGACUUCUACGGAAAGACACCUACAAUUGCGGUUUGUUACAAACAAAUUCCUAACUGAUAUAACCAUAUUCUGCAUGAGUAACAGCAAGGUGAAACUAACAUAUUGUUAACAUGAGCAUUAGACGAAAACCAUUUCAUGAAUUGGUUUUGGGGAAAGAGCACUUUGUUUACUAGCAAGUUUAUAGUGGGUCUUGGCUCUUUCACUCAAUCAUCAUGCAAGUUUCAGGAGGCACAUUAGCAUAGUAUCCCACUAAAAUUAAUUUUAGAUCCUUGUAUUCAAAUUUGGAAGAUACAAAUUCUUCGUACAUGUUCCUUACAUAUGCUACUUUAAUCUGGAAUUUAAUGAGUUUGUGGUUGGAUUCUGGUUCCCAUGUAGUUGUAGCAACUCUUAACACCACUAUUGCUUCUAGUAACAAAUCAGGACCUAGCAUUUAAGUAUCUUUUUGGUGUGUUCUAAGCUCUUCUUAGAUAAUUGUGUCAUAGCUCUCUUACUCGUGUCGAGCAUAACCUCAAUGCCCUUUGCAGUUAUGAUAAAGGAGCACCUAUGUCAUGCGGAUACAUAUUCUUACCAUCCUAUGUCAUGCGGAUACAUGGUGCUAAACAGCAACGUGAAGCAGUUAAGAGGGCACCUAGGAAGCAGCUACAAGAAGUUUUUGAGGUCUGUACUUAUUAGAUGCAUUGCAUGGUUACUGAUGCAUAUUUUAUUGUUUGAACUAAAUCAUCUUUUGGUACUAACAUGUGAUGUUCUUUGAACAAAAUCUCAUACUGAUAAUUUUGUAUACCUUAGGAGGGUAAAUAAGAGGGUACUUAGUGUUGUUGAUAGAAUAUGGAGUAAUGUAGGCUGUCUUGCUGAUUUGGUAGACCACAGUGAUGUGAGUAUCUUUCAUUUUUCUUUUUUAGAAACUCCUUUACCUUUAUCUUUGUGUUCCAAGAUUUGAUCAUGAUGUCUAUAGCAAUUAAAAAACCUUCCUCGUUUAAGUUCUUCAUUCAGGUUCCUUUACCUGAGAGGCCAGAAACAGAGUUUUUCAAUUUUCCUUCUUUUGAAAAUGAUUUGUAAAUAAGCUGAAUGUUUUUUGCUUCCCCUAUAUUUAGUUGCUUCUCCCACUACGUACAUACCCUCCCCCUAUGUCAUUUUCUUUUUGUGGUUGGAUUGCUCCAAGUUCACUCAUUAUUUUUAAAUUCAAUAAAAAAAGACAGAAAAUAUAUCGCAAUAUAAUUUAUGUUUUGAAUUCUAUAAUUUUCUUUUUAUCUUUUUAGUUAAAUAUAUUUUUAUCUUUUUUAUAUUCAAAAUACUAAACAAACACAACAUACAUGUAAAUAUGAAUACACAAUAUCCAUACCCUAACAAAAAUAUUAAUUUAGUAAUAGUUUUUUUUAUAAGCCUAACAAAUUGUCGCUUUGGUAGGCAUGCUUUUAAAUAGAAUAUGAAUUUUGGAAGGUAUUUUUUUUAUUAAUUAAUAAACUUCUAUAAUUAAUUUUUUUUAUUAAUUAAUAAACAAAAAUAUCCCACAUGCGACCCAAUAUAUGGUGGAUUAUCAGCUGCAGCAACAAUUAUUUGAUGCAUAGCAAAAUAAUUAUUCAUAAUCACACCUUGGCAGUCCUGUCCAGCCAACUUGAUGUGCUGUGUGCUAAUCCGAUGAAAAUCAAGAUCCCAAAGACGGUGAUGCCGCUGAUGGUUGGUUCUCUUCCUCCGUGUGAGUUUCAAUCAAAAAAAUAAUAAUUCAUAUUUUAUAAAUUAUUUUAAAUAAAAUAAAUAACAAUUAAAAAAAUAAAGAUUAAAUUUGAUAGAGAAAAAAAUUCAAUAAAAAAUGAUAAGAGAAAAGCAAAUAACAAUUAUAAAAAUAAGGAUCAAAGUUAAUAUAAAAAUUAAAUUUUAAGAGAUGAAAUUGAAAAAUAAAUAUUCAAUAUAUAUAUAUAGCAAUCAAAAGUUUGAGGACCAAAUUUGAUAUAAUUAGCAAAUAAUAUGACUUUUUAAAAAUUUUCACAACUUUCGGAAAGUGUUUUCCACCCAAUUUUUCCAAGAAAAUACUUUCUUGUAUUUUCCUGGAAACCAAGCUAAAUUUUUCUUUGUCUGGAAAGAUUUUCCGUUGACCAACUUUUCUAAUAGCAAACAAACACAAGAAAAUUUGGAAAGUGGUUUUCCGGAAACCAUUUUUCGGACAAACAUAGCCUUAGAGUUCUUAUGUUAUUGAUUUUGUUUUAAUAAGGCCUCUCAUCUUUGAGAUUUAUUAAUCCAACCAUUCUUCUAUUAGUCCAUCCAUAUCGUUAGCCCUUUCCUCACUAAUGCUAUAAUUUUGGUUAUUAAUUUUGAGAUAUUCUCUUUUAUGUUAAAAAAAAAUUCAUAAAAAUAAGAAAUGGAUUAAUAAUUUAAAAGGACUAAAAAAUAAAAGAAUAAAUAAGAUUAAGGCCUACCAGUGAUUAAUUAUUUUCCCUCAAAUGUAAUUGAUCAUUUUAGAAAUUAAAUAGAAGAUUAAACUCAUAAAAGCAUAAAAUUAACACUGUGAUCAAUUCACAUUAAAAAGAAAUAACUAAACUAAACUAAACUAAAACAGAAAAAAAAACACAUGCAUAUUUUCCCUUACUGAGCAAUUCUUAUGUGGCUAAAAUAACUUUACUGAGCAAUUUCAUGCAAUGAGGGAUUUGUUGAAGGAGAUGGUGCUCCUCUAGUGGGGAGAUCGUUACCUCUCCCUUGUCCUGUCAUUUCUAAGUUAUCAUCAAUGGAAAGAAUUAGGAAAGAAAAGGGACUAAACUAGCUUUUCUUCUAGUUCCAACAGAAGGCGUUAUGGACGAAGUUGAAAAAUUGAUCAACUUAAACCUAGGUAAUGAAUUUUGAAAUUUUCUAAGUUGGGUUAGGAUUGUGGUUCAUGAACUCCUACAAAAACAAGUUUUUCAUGGAACAGGGAACUCUGUGAUGACUAUGUUAACAAACACACAUGAGAAAAAUAAUGUAUAACAAUGAGAAGAACUUAAAAGAAUUGUUAUUUGUGUGUUCGUUACUUAGUAAUCUUAAAUAUUUAUAUAUAUCUCAUGUCACAAGAAAUUAGCUCGGAAAGAGUGCAACAACAGAUAUAUUAUGCAUAGAUAACAUGUAAAAUGAGUUGUUUAUGUAAACGGUGUUCUAUCAAUUUAUAAGAUAGCUAGGUAGGUGUUGUUAUGAAAUGUGUUUUACUGACAAUUUAUAAUUAAGAAAUGGUAGGCAUUAUAUAAUUAACAAUUUGUGACAAAGGAUAGGACCAUACUAAUAACAAUUGUUUGGUCUUCGUUGUUUUAGUCGUGACCUAACAGCUUGGCCAGGUAGCAACUGUCUCGUGUGGCCAGCUGGCCGUACAAUAGCUGUUAAGUCAGAUUUAUAGAUAUUCGCACUCUCUCUUUUCUAUGAGGCCUUUGGCCCCAUCAUGUAUAAAGAAAUAUUUCCAAGGAAUCCUAGAGAUCGAACUUCUCUCCAUUCUAAGGAUAUGCUUCCCUUAGAGACCAACAGCUUGGUCUUCGUUGUUUAAGUCGUGACCCAACAGCUUGGCCAAGUAGCAGUUGUUUAAGUCGUAUUUAAUGUGAUGAAUGUUCUUUGUAGCAGACGUACGUGAAGUGAUUUGAAAAAUAUAAAUAUUGAGUUUUAGAAACAUACAUUUCGUGGAAAUAAUUAUAUAAACACUUAUUGCACUAACCAAUAGCUAGCAUUUCAUACAUUAAAGUGUCCUUUCAUUCAUAAUAGUCUAACAAAAUUAUUAAUAGUGAUUCCUUUCUUUAUCCUCAUACUUUUUUUGUCAUUGAUUGCAUCAUUUAGUACGUUGUUCGUUGGUUUUUUUUUUUUUUUUUUGCUGAAAAUGAUUGAAAAUGGCAUUGGCCAACAGAAAAUAGGAAUCAUGCCCACAGUAUAGCAUUGGCUAACAGAAAUUAACCAAUUGAUCAAGAAAGGGUUCUAAGAAUCUAAUAUAGUGUGUUUUCACUUGACUACAAAAUUAACAAAGGCCACUCAUCUUCUAGAGUGAAGGAACCCUUCUCCAGAUCUGUUCAUAGUUUUCUGGAUAAUUCAAACUCAUUUUUUUUGGAUAACAAAAAGUUGCUAUUACUUGAAAAUAUCAUUUGGAAAUACGGUUGAAAUCAUUUUUUUUAUUUUUAAAAAAUAUAUUAUUUUUUAUGUUUUAAAAUUGUUUUGGUUUGCUGAUUUUUAAAAUAUUUUUACAUUCAGAACUGUGUCAUAUGAAAAUAAGUGUGGAGUCAUUCUUUAAUUGAUUCGAUGAGCUCAAUUUAUCUUUUCUUCCUUGUAAUUGCUCCUAACUGAUGCACAAUGGCCUUUUCUUAAACAGGAAGGGCGCAAAAAAAUGUGUUAUUCAAUGUGACCCAUUAGUCCUCAGAGGCCUAGAGAAAACUGUGAGUAACCCUGUUUUAUUUUGUUUUUCUAGUGAUAUCUAGUUUUCAUAUUUUAUCAUCCUUUAUGACAUGAACUUGUGUCGGGGUGCCAUAUACUUUCAAAGCAGAUAGAUUAGUUUCUAGAUUUUAGAGCUGAAACAGAUAAGAUUUGUAGGCAAUUUCCAUGGUGCCUCUUAAGUUGCAGAUGUUUGUCUUUCAUUCUUUUUUCUUGCACAAGAAGUCAUAAAAAUGUUGUUUCUCCAAACAGGCUAGGCACAUGGUGAUUCCUUAUAUGCCAAUGUUGGUGCCACCACUUAGAUGGAGAGGGUAUGUUAACUUGUUUUAUAUUUACAGUUUUUCCACGAUUGUCUUGUUUUAAUUUUAUAUUUUCUAGUUGGAUAUAUUCCAGGUUCAGAACUAUUAACGUAGUGUUUUGGUUACUUCUGCUUGAUGCCUGGAGCCGUUUUCAAUUUUCAUGUCAAGUUAAAUGCUUAAAAUGGUAUAAUAGAUGAAGGGAUGAAUCUCCGAUUAUAAAGACUGGAAUUCCAAUCCCAAUUUCAGUUAAUUGAAAUUAACAUUUCAGCAUGUUUCAAGGCUCUGCCUCUCCAUUUCUGUAACCUCCAUUGGAAGGGAAACUAAUUGUCUUGCAGGUGUUUAUUGAAAACAUGGUGAAUGUGAGAUAUGAGAUGGAAGGUUUUGUCUAGGAUUCUCAACAAAACGGAGAACACUGUCUUUAAACAUUGAAGAGCAUUUGCUAAUCACAGCCAUGUCUAAUACCGGAAAAUUAACAUUAUUGCCACAGGCAGGAGAAUUUAGGGAUUGCUAUGGAAUUCUUUAUUAUAAUGUUUUUUAUGUUAAAGGGAGAGGUAUGCUUCAUGGAAAAGAAUGGUUGGCAGUUAGAGAUAAAAUAUAGAGAAAGAAAAGGUGUUAGGUUUUCUACAAGGAUGCUGUGGUGGAUUAUUUUAGCUCAAGAAAAGAUAAGAGUAUCGAAUUGUUGUUUUCAUGUGAAGUCAGACAUGUAGUUAAUUUAGGAUUAGGAUAGUACAUAGAGAACUUGAUUGAAGUAGUUUAGUUUCUUUAGGUGAUGAUUCAUAUAUAGGUAUUUAUUUCAAAUUUCAAAUGUACCAGAAGCGCAAGGAGACAACAGAUGAUUACAUGGGAGAAAUGGGCACAGACAGAUCUCUGCUGUCAAACUGCGAUUUUUGAACCUUAUUGUUUGGCAAGUUAGUUAGGAUAUGUUUUUCUUGGACUUUGGUUAAGGUUUUCUUGAAUAGGUGAUCACAAUCCUCAUUGCAAAAACUACACAUGCUUUGGAAUAUGAAGAGGCCUCUAUGGCAGCUUCUGCCAUUCAACCUAUUGCCUUUAAAUCUGAUAAGCUCCCUAGCACUUUUGGUUGUAAAUUGCCCAUUAGGACUGAGAUUCCUGGAGACACUUUCUAUCUACAAAAAUAAAAGAUUUAAACCAGUGAUUUCACUCUGAAUAUCUUAAUUUGAUCAGUUUGAGCAUCAGACGAAAACCAUUUCAUGAAUUGGUUUUGGGGAAAGAGCACUUUGUUUACUAGCAAGUUUAUAGUGGGUCUUGGCUAUUUCACUCAAUCAUCAUGCAAGUUGCAGGAGGCACAUUAGCAUAGUCCCCACUAAAAUUAAUUUUAGAUCCUUGUAUUCAAAUUCGGAAGAUACAAAUUCUUCAUACAUGUUCCUUACAUACGCUACUUUAAUCUGGAAUUUAAUGAGUUUGUGGUUGGAUUCUGGUUCCCAUGUAGUUGUUGCAACUCUUAACACCACUAUUGCUUCUAGCAACAAAUCAGGACCUGGCAUUGAAGUAGCUUUUUGGUGUGUUCUAAGCUCUUCUUAGAUAAUUGUGUCAUAACUCUCUUACUUGUUCUUACCAUCCCAUGUCAUGCGGAUACAUGGUGCUAAACAGCAACGUGAAGCAGUUAAGAGGGCACCUAGGAGCUCACAUGUUCUACAAGCAGUUUUUGAGGUCUGUACAUAUUAGAAGCAUUGCAUGGUUACUGAUACCUAUUUUAUUGUUUGAACUAAAUCAUCUUUUGGUACUAAUAUGUGAUGUUCUUUGAACAAAAUCUCAUACUGAUAAUUUUGUAUACCUUCACAUGCUAUCACAUGUGUAGAUUUUACCAGCUUAGCUUCUGAUACAAAAAUUUGGUUCGAUUCAAUAUCAAUUUUAAAAUUCUAAAACCGAUUGAACUACAUCAAGUCAGGGACUAGUCAUUAUUUUUAUAUUCCUGUUAUUAUUUAUUAUUCUAUAGAAGCUUUUGGAAAAAAAAAUUAACAUUGAUCAUUCAUUCACUUUUGAAAAACUUUCUUUUGCUUUUUUAUGUUGUUCCACUGAGAUGACCCUUUUUUUUUCUUUUGUGAAUUGAAAUUAUAUUACAUGUUUGUAAUUGUUUCAUCUCAUUUUUAUUUUUGAAAGUAAACUUCCUUUAAUUAGAUUAUCCUAAAUAUCAAAUUAUCCCUUUGCUUUUUUCAGGUCGUAUCAAGCUGUUUGGUUUCUUGAUUUCAAAUGAAUCUAAAUUAAAGCUGGUUGAAUUGAUUUUUAGUUUUUUUCAGAUUAUGUUUUUAUGAAAUGAAUACGACAAUAAACACUCUUAAUAAUCAUCUUGCCUUUAACUUCAAUUAGCUAUCUCAAAUAAACUUUACAGCUAUUAAUAAUUUAUAUAAUUAAUCAUGAUAUAUAGAAAUUGCUCCAAUACUCAUGUUAAUAAUAAAAACAAAAUUACAAUCGCAUCAGGCCCAUGGUUGAAUUCAUGGCUGCAUUCGCUUUCACCUCCUGACUGUGAACAAGAACCCCAAUUAAAUGAAAUGGAUUUCUUGGAAAUUGAUCUCCUUUGUCCACAUCCUAUUCGGUCAACCAAGUCGGCUACCACUUGCAGCACAAUUCAUCAAAAAACGAUGUGAAUUAUCAUUUGACGUCAAACCAGGUGGGUUAUCAGCUGCAGCCACAAUUAUUUGAUGCAUAGCAAAAUAAUUAUUCAGAAUCACACCUUGGCAGUCCUUUCCAGCCAACUUGAUGUGUUGUGUGCUAAUCCGAUGAAAAUCAAGAUCCCAAAGAGGGUGAUGCCGCUGAUGUAGUCGUUGCAAUGCCGAGGACUUUUAUGUAUAUAUAAUUAUGUAUACCGUGUUUUUUAUUUUUAUUUUACUCGAUCUCAUAAUUAAAUUUUUGUUGCAUGUUUUUUAAUUAAUAAACAUGUAAUUAUAAAUGAAGGAAAGAAAAAAUUGCUUGGACUUGUUGGUUUCAAUUUUAUGUUUUUGGUUUUUUCUUUUUUAUUUGUUGUUUAAAGCCUUUUUUAACUCUUAAUCAAUUCUUUAUUUUUUAUUAUUUUUUAAGUAUGAAAGUAUAUUCCAAAGAAUAUUUUAAAGUUAUUGGGCAAAUAACAUUGUUAGCCACGGAGAGAUCAAAGGCAUGGACAAAAUAAUAGUAUAAUGAUUGGACUCAAAAACUUUCAAAGACAAAAUGAAUAGUAUACGAUCCCUCAAACUCAUUAACCCCUCACAACUCACUAACCCAAAUUCUCUUGUUUUUGGAUAAUAUUUAAAAAGAAUCCAUUUUUUAUGUUGUUUUGAAUUUUUUUAUUUACUAUUUGAGAUUUUAUAAAAAAAUGGAUUGAUGAUAGAGGAAUCCGUCAUGUUUGUAUUGAUGGUUGAAAUUGUAUUUGGGAUUUAAUUAAAUUUUUUAUAAUUGUUUUUUCUUAAAAAAACAUUUUAUAUUUUGUUACCAGGAUGGAGCUGUGAAAAUGAAGGGUUGUAGUGGCGAGGAAUGUUUUUUGGAUUUAAUUUAAUGUGUUUUUUUUUAAUCUCAGUUAAUUUUAUAAUUUUUUUACGAUCAAUCUUUUCAUGAAAAAUAUGUAGGAGCUAUAAAAUUGGUGGGACUUAUUCUUCUUAUUUUGUUUUUUUUUUUUUUUGAAAACAUGUUUUUCUUUUCACUGCUUACAAACUAGAUCAAAACAUGUAUUACUUUUUAUUGUAUGUAAAAUGUCCGUAUUUACUUUUUAAAAAUAGAUGCUUGACUUGAGAAUUCAUUACAAAACAUGAAUCCACUCAACUGUGAUGUGUGUCUCCCAACCCCUGCUCUUGACAGGAAGGUGCCUCUGCUGCCCAAUGCGCGUGCGAUAUCCCUUUCAUUUGUCUUUUCACUUUUUUCUCCACCGAAAGUCCAUCUUCUUUACAGUGUAAGAAAAAGAUCCGUAAGAAAAUCCAGGAAACUUACCAGUACGAGUUCUUGACCUAAAGCAACCGGAUAAAAUCUUUAUAUGUUUGAAUAUCUAAAAAGAAGAAAAAGCAACAAUUUUCUUUGAUUAUCCUUACUGAUAAUAUCAAAUCAUCCCUUUGCUUUUUUGCAGACUUUAUCAAGGUAUUUGAUUUCCUGAUUUUCAGUAUAUUAAGCAUUAGUGGUACUCAAGAAAACUAAAAAAUCAAUUAAACAAAAAAAAAUUAACUGAAAAAAUUAUAUAAAAAAAAACUAAAUUAAUCGAUUAAAAAAUAAAAUUCUUUCACGAUUUAAUUUUAAUUUUAAAACUCUAAAACUAAUAUAACCAGACUGAAUCAGACUGGUCAUUGGUAUUAUAUUCCCAUUAUUAUUUCCUAUUGUAUAGAUUUUUCUACGUUGAAGCUUUUGAAAAGAAAAAUUAACAGUAAUCAUUCAUGCACUUUUGACCAAAUCUUUCAUUUGCUUUUUACGCUGUCCCGCUGAGAUUACUUUUUUUUGCUCUUUUGUGUGAAUUGAAAUUAGAUUAGAUGUUUAUAAUUGUUUCAUCUCUUUUUUAUAUAUAUAUAUAGGUAAACUUCCUUUAAUUAGAUAGUUUUUUUUUUUUGUAUUUUGUUUUGCAGGCUUUAAUCUUUUUUUUUCUUUGAUUAUCUUUACUGUUAAUAUUAAAUUGUCCCUUUAUUUUUUUUGCAGCUGCCAAGAUAUUUGGUCCCGAUUUUUAAAUGUACCGAAUUGAAUCGGUGUGAUUCGAACUGGUUUUCAGUUUAUUUUGGAUCAUUUUCUCAAGAAAUUAUUGUUUCUUGUUGAUAUUUUUAGAUCUAAACUGUACCAAUCCAGACAAUGAACACCCCUAAUAAUCAUCUUAGCUUUAACUUCAACCAGCCAACUACCACAAAAUUGCAAUCACAUCAGGCGCAUGGCGUUGCAUUCGCAUUCAUCCUAUUUUCUCCGAGACCUGUUGAAAACUUGCAGUUUGGUGGUGGCGGAUUCAGUGAGAUGGACCAGUGGUAUGAUCAGGAAGUAGUUUUAUCUUUUUUAUUUGUUGUUUAAAGCCUUUUUAAACUCUUAAUCAAUUCUUUAUUUUUUAUUAUUUUUUUGAAGUAUAAAAGUAUAUUCCAAAGAAUAUUUUAAAGUUAUUGGGCAAAUAACAUUGUUAGCCAUGGAGAGAUCAAAGGUAUGGACAAAAUAAUAGUAUAAUGAUUGCACUAAAAAACUUUCAAAGACAAGGGACCUCAUCAAAACAAAAUCAAUAGUAUACGAUCCCUCAAACUCAUUAACCCCUCAUAACCCACUAACCCGAAUUCUCUUGUUUUUGGAUAAUUAAAAAGAAUCCAUUUUUUAUGUUGUUUUGAAUUUUUUUUAUUUACUAUUUGAAUUUUUAUAAAAAAAAAAAUGGUUUGAUGAUAGAGGAAUCCGUCAUGUUUGUAUUGAUGGUUGGAAUUAUGUUUGGGAUUUAAUUGAAUUUUUUAUAAUUGUUUUUUCUUAAAAAAACAUUUUAUAUUUUGUUAGCAAGAAAAUAAAAAUUGGUAACAUUAUUGAGUAACAGUAAUAAGUUGUAAAAGAAAUAAAGAGAGAGUUUGAUGUAUUAAGGAGUUUAAGACUUAAAGUGUGAUUUUAGAGAAGGAAGAAUUGAGAUUAAAGGAAAGUAUGGAGGAGAGCUGAUUAAAUUUGUUUUAGUUUUUGAUUCUUUAUUUCGUAAAGGUAAGAAAACGUUCUUCCAUGAUGAUUCAUUGUUUUGCUUUUUAUGUUUGUUCUUGGAUUGAGUAUAAUUUUUUUUUUUAUUUACGUCGGUGUCCGGGCCAGCUUGCUCGUACCACGACUAAUCUCACGGCCUACUGAACAUUCUGCAAACCCAGUGAGCAUGUAAGGCACCGCAGGGGUGACAGGCGUGCAUAGUAAGGUUUGAACCCUGGUGCAAAGAAAUGGAACAAGCUCCUUCCACCACUAGACCAAGAUCUCAAGUGCUUGGAUUGAGUAUAAUUGGUAUUAUUGUAAAGUGGUUCAAGAUCUGUUUGGAAAUUUGAUUUUAAAAAAAAAUUAUUUUUAUAUAUAUUUUUAAAUUGUAUUGAUGUGUUUAUAUCAAAAUUAUUCUAAAAAAUAAUAAUUAUUAUAUUUUCAAGCAUUUAUAGUAAAAGGUUUGAGAUGAGAUAUUGAUAAUGAGAGAAAAAUUGGUGUUUGUCAUAAGAAUAUUAAAGUUUGAGAUUCUAAACUCAAUUUAAUAUGAUUUUUUUUUUGUUUUUCGUUAAUUAGUUCCAGUUAAUAGGGUGGUGGCUAAGUUUAUUUUUUUAAAAAAAAUCAAUGGUAAUUUAUAAUAUUUAAUAUAUAUAUAAGAGUUUUAUAGUUAAUAUUUGAAAAAUCAUUAAAAAAUACUUUUCAAUUGUGACGUGUAGGGUCCGGACAUGCUCUUGACAGGAAAGUGCCUCUGCAUCCCAAUGCGCGUUCGAUAACCCUUUCAUUUCUCUUUUCACUUUUUUCUCCACCGAAACUCCAUCUUCUUUACCGUGUAAGAAAAAGAUCCGUAAGAAAAUCCAGGAAACUUGCCGGUACGAGUUCUUGACCCAAAGAAACCGGAAAAAAUUCGAAGUCAUUGGAAUAAAAAGAAAAGAAAAGGGCUUUUGAAGUUGGUUACUAAGAUACCAGAAGUAGAAAAAAUAUUGGGUUUGUAGUUGGUGUUCAAGUUAUGGUGGCUACAUUAUCCAAGAGGUUGGAUUCAGUUUUGUUAUACAAGCACUAGUAUAUUAAAAAUUAAUAAUUAAUAAUAACAACAUUAGAUUUAGAGGAAAUACAUGGUACUAAACAGCAACGUGAAGCAGUUAAGAGGGCACCUAGAAGCAGCUACAAACAGUUUUUGAGGUCUGUACACAUUAGAUGCAUUGCAUGGUUGCAUAUUUUAUUGUUUGAACUAAAUCAUCUUUUGAUACUAACAUGUGAUGUUCUUUGAACACAAUCUCUUUUACUGGUUUAACAAGGAUUCUCUUUAGUUUGAAAUAGAAUAUGAAUUUCGGAAGGUAUUUUUUUUUAUUAAUUAAUAAACUUCUAUACUUUUCUCUUAGAUGCGCCAACAGUUUUCAUUAUUUAUAUUUACAACUAUAUAAACACAUAAAUACAUAAACAUUAAUAUAUAUAAUCAAUAUUAAUAUUUACACCAAAAUUGAACUUGCUUCGUUUAUAAAUGGCAAUACGCCUUGCUCGAACAUAUCAAGUCUAGUGUUAGCUAGAAGUAGGCGUGGUGGAUCUAGCACUAGAUAGACUCAAGAAAUGAUUAGGUCUGGCCACCACAAGACUCAAAUCUUGCUAGGUCUAACGCUAGUCAGACCCAACCAUUAUUGAGUUUGGUAAUAUGUUAGGCCGACGCGUGUUGGGUCUGGCACUAGCAAGACUCAAGAAAUAAUUGAGUCCCGAGGCCUUGGCUGCACCAAAAUCUUUUCUCCUCUAUUCAGAGAGUAGCUUCAUGUUUUGGUUCACUCACAUUCACUCAUUCUCUUCGUGAGAGUAAUCAUAUGGCAGAUCACAUGGCCAAAUAGGGAGUAUUUAGAAAUAUUGAAUUGGUUGCUUGGCUAAUCUGCUUUAUAUUCGGGUUUUUUAUUUUCUUUAAAUUCUAGUUGCGGCUCUUAGGAAACUAGAUUGUUUCCCAGAAAGGAGUUGAAUCAUCAAGAUAUUCCGAGGCGAUUCCAGGUUGUCAGAUCAUUGACUUGUGUGAAACUUCUUGGUAGCAGAAUCUGAUGUUGCAGGUCUAAGGGUUUUCUUUUGAUGAGCUUGUUUUUGCCUCCUCUGGUUUCUCUGUGUUAGUGUGGCGCGUGAUCAUGCUCCUCUUGUUGUUAAGGUGUCAAAGGCUGAUCUAUGGAGAGGCCAUGGCUGGUUUUUGUUUUCGGUUAACAAAAGAAAAGAUGGAAAGAUUUUUGUUUACUUUAAAUGUGGAUCUAGGUGGAAGUUUACUUGGCAGCACAUCCUGGUGUGGCUCCAAAUCUGUAUCUUAUAGCUGCUAUGUUGCUAUUUUUGGCAUCAAACUUGCAUCUUUUAGCUGCUAUUUGUAUUUUUGGUCUCUUUGGUUUGUUGAUGAUUACAUAGGUGAGAUGUAAGCAGAACUACUAUGUUCCCGCCAGCUCUUAGCGUCUUCUAAUGCAAUAUUAUACUUAAAACAAAUUGAGUCUAACACCAUAAACACUCCCUGGUCAAAGGUUUGAGAUGAAAUAUUUGCAAUGGGAGAGGAAUUAGUGUUUGUGAUCGGAACAUCAAAGUUGGUUGUUUGUGAUAGGAAUAUUAAAGUUUGAGAUUCUAAACUCGAUUUAUGGAUUUCUCUUUGUUUUUCGGUUUGGUUAAGAGGGUGGUGGCUAAAGUUUUUUCUUUUUUAUUCAAUGAAAAAUUUAUAAUAUUUAAAAUAAGAGAUUUAUAGUUAUUAGUUUAAUAAUAAUAAUAAUUUUGUAAAUAAUUAGAUAUUUUUGUAGGACUUUUUUACAUGUGUUAGUGAGGAUAUAAAGUGUUAUCAUAAACUAUAAUUUUUGAAAAAAAAUAAAAAAUAAAUUGAAUUAAAUCAUGAAGCUUAAUUCAUAAUCAAUCCAAUAUUAAAAAAUAAAAUUGAAAAAAAAUAUAAAUAAAAAGACCUUAGGUCAACCUGCGAAACUUGCAACACCGGCUAAAAUUGCAAUACGGUUCAUAAAACUAAAAUAAUCUUAUAAAAAAAUAUAUCAAUAAAUUAUAAAACUCAAUUUUUAAGAAGGGAAAUGUUGAAAGAUAAAUAAAAUAAAUAAAUAAAAACAUGUAGAUUUUUUUUAAAAAAAUACCAUUGCAAAUUUUAACUUGGUAAGAUUUUAUGUUAAUAUUACUAUAUUAGAUGAGUCCAGCUCACCAUAACCUACAUGGAUGAAUAUGAGUUAAUGGUGAGUCGAGCUUGUAUAAUAAUUUAUGGGUAACAAAUGUUGUGCCCAAUAUUUCUUUAAUACGACGAGGUUUAAUUUCUUUUCUUUUCAUAGUAAUCUCUGAGUGGUUAGCAGCAUCAAUUAUAAGAACUUAUAUAUUUAUAUUUAAUUUAAAUACUAAACGUGAUAAGAGUGGGAGUUAAAUAUAACGCUGCACAUCAAAUGCUCAUCAAACUGCAUUUAUUGGAAGCUUCUGCGAUGUGCCCAUCAAAUACGACUAUAGUGAAUCCCUGGAUAAGAGAUUGUUGCUUUCGACUUUCCGACCGCCGUUGCAUAGCUCAUCACAGCCAUCAUUUAAUUAGUGACAGCAGUUAGCCAGAGAGAGAGGGAGAAGAAGAAUACCUAUGCACAUUGACACCACCCCGAAGCGACAGUCCCUGCCACGUUGCUUCAUCUCAUGCAGUAAAGUAGCCACACAUCUAGCACCUGUAACAGUUGAUGAGGCAUGAAUUAGUCUCAGAAAAUGAUUAAACAAAUAACUGCUGUACCACAUAUGCAUGUGUAAAAUUAAAGACCAUAUAUUAAUGGAUAGAUAUCACAAAGAUCACCGUACACAACUCAAAAGUGAUGCUCUAUACAAGUCUUGAGCAGAUUUACAAGCACCAAAAACUGUUUCCACCACCGACACAACGCAAAACCCCUGAAUUUACCCAUGUUUGUGUCAAUUCAUUUAUGCACUUUUGACCAAAUUUUUCUUUUGCUUUUUUAUGCUGUCCCACUGAGCAGGCCUUUUUUUGUUCUUUUGUAUGAAAAUAAAAAACUAAUUAGAAAAUGAUCUCCUUGGUCCACAGCAUAUAUCCUUGGCCUGCAGGCACCCAAAUCAAAUGAAAUGGAUUUCCUGGAAAUUGAUGAUCUCCUUGGUCCACAUCCUAUUCGGUUAACCAAGUCGGCUACCACUUGCAGCACAAUUCAUCAAAAAACGAUGUGAAUUAUCAUUUGAUGUCAAACCAGGUGUAUUAUCAGCUGCAGCCACAAUUAUUUGAUGCAUAGCAAAAUAAUUAUUCAGAAUCACACCUUGGCAGUCCUUUCCAGCCAACUUGAUGUGUUGUGUGCUAAUCCGAUGAAAAUCAAGGUCCCAAAGAGGGUGAUGCCGCUGAUGUAGUAGUUGCAGUGCCUUGGACUUUUAUGUAUAUAUAAAUUAUGUAGGGGUGUUCAUGGUCCAGUUCGGUCCAGUUUUAACCUAAAAAUUCAACUGAACCGGAAAAUAGUAUUCCUUAUUAAUAUAACCCGAACCGAACCGAGAACCGGUUCAAACCGAAUUGGUUUUAUUCAGUUCGGGUCAAUUUUUUAGCAUAAAAACCAGACUAAUCUUCAUCAUUGAGCUAAAUCGAAGAAAAAUUUGACAUCAAAUAUCAAUCUAAGCUAUUAAUCACAGCAACCACUUAAAAAUUCAAGAAAAGCAACAAAAAAAUACAACCAACAAUCAAAGUCUUCCACAUAGGGGGUGGGAAGGGGAAGGCUAAGAAGGGGGAAAGGGGAAGGGAGGUCCCUUAGAGAGCUGAUUGACCAUAAAUUUUCUUGGGUUUUUGGCUCUUUCGCCAACUGUGAAUGUUGUAUUGGCUUUAUCAAAGCCUUUUCUGUUGGGGUAUGUAAAGAAUCUCAAAGCUUGUCUCCACUCAGCACAAGGAUGGAACUAGUAUAAGUAUAAUUAUCAAAGGCAGGAUUUCUUAAAUAAUGGUUCCCUCACAUCUAGAUUGUGAAACUGGAAGGGAAAGGCUGGGAAAGGAGAAAGGGAAAGGAAGGGAAGGCUUGAGGGGGGAGGGAUGGCGGCUGGAAAGGGAAAAAGUAAUUUAGGGUUCUGGGAAAGGGAAAAGGGGGAGGUUGGAGGGGUUGGCAGCUGGAAAGGGAAAAAGUGAUUUAGGGUUAGAAAUGAUUUUUUUUAUACUUUUUUUUAACCGGUUUGAUUUAGUACGGUUCAAUCGGUUUAAGCUUUUUUAGACUGGAACUGAACCGGACUUGGUGGUUUUUUUUUAUUUUUUAAUCGGUUUAUUCGGUUUUUUCUAUUGGUUUGGUUUUUGCGGUUAAUUUUUUCUCGGUUUAAUUAGUUGAUCGGUUUUUUUGAAUACCCCUAUAAUUAUGUAUACUGUGUUUUUUAUUUUUAUUUUACUCAAUCUCAUAAUUAAAUUUUUGUUGCUUAGUUUUUAAUUAAUAAACAUGUAAUUAUAAAUGAAGGAAAUAAAAAAUUGGUUGGACUUGUCGGUUUGAAUUUUAUUUUUUUGGUUUUAUCUUUUUUAUUUGUUGUUUAAAGCCUUUCUUAACUCUUAAUCAAUUCUUUAUUUUUAUUUUUAUUUUUUUAAGUAUAAAAGUAUAUUCCAAAGAAUAUUUUAAAGUUAUUGGGCACAUAACAUUGUUAGCCACGGAGAGAUCAAAGGUGUGGACAAAAUAAUAGUAUAAUGAUUGGACUAAAAAACUUUCAAAGACAAGGGACCUCAUCAAACCAAAAUCAAUAGUAUACGAUCCCUCAAACUCAUUAACCCCUCACAACUCACUAACCCAUAUUCUCUUGUUUUUGGAUAAUUAAAAAGAAUCCAUUUUUUAUGUUGUUUUGAAUUUUUUUAUUUACUAUUUGAAUUUUUUUUAAUAUAUUCAUUCGUUUAGAUUGAUUUGGGUGAGUAACUAUCUAAAUCUUAAAUAUUAAAUAUUAUAUUUAUCGAUCUUGUAGUUCUUUGUAUUUAGGUUAAAGCAAAUACUGAAGACGAUGAGAAUUUUAACUUUCUUUUUUUUUAUAGUUGUAUUUGUUUUAUGUUAAUUGAAUUAUUUUAACAAUAAAGACUGUGUCAAUGGACAGACGGAGAACCAUGUUUAUGAGGUUGCACUUAGUGUUCAAGCUAUGGGGCUACAUUAUCCAAGAGGUUGGAUUCAGUUUUGUUAUACAAGCACUAGCUAGUAUGUUAGAAAUUAUAAAUUAAUAACAACAACAUUAUUAUUAUUAUUAUUUAUUAAGAUUAAAAUUAAUAAAGAAAUAAAAGACCAAAUUGAUAGAUAGAUCGAAGCCUAGAUAUAUUUUUGUUUCAAAAAAUUGAUUUCAAUUUAAGACCGAUUAAUGUGUGUUUGCCUUAUAAAAGCAUUAAAUUAAAAAAUAUUUUAAUAUAUUUUAAAAAAAUCACUUUUAAAAAUAACUUUGCACCAUGAUAUACUAGCUAAGCAUGCACUAAAUAUCGAAUAGACUCUAAAGAUCCAAAUUACUAAGCUUACAAGGGCAUAAGUUUUUAAAGAAAUUGAGUCUUUCAAUAAAGCCCUUCUAUAAAAGUAGUGUCGACAAUCGACAUACCAAGAAUAAACCGAAUGAUUUGUGUAGCAGUGUGCUUAAAGAGAUUUAUUUCCACACAGCAUAAUUUUAAAAGCAAAAGAGAUUGGAAUCAAUAUCCCAAAAAUUUGGCUGAGAAAGCAGUUCAUGACCGUUUAAAAAUUUGAUUUUUUUUAAAAUUAUUUUUUUAUGUUUUUAUAUUAUUUUGAUAUGUUUAUAUUAAAAAUAAUUUUUAAAGAAUAAUAAAAAGUGUUUGGGAUGAGAUACUGGUAAUGGGAGAAGAAUUGGUGUUUGGGAUUUGGAAAAAUCAAAGUUGGAAAGUAAACCUCCUUUAGUUACAUAGUUUUUUCUUGGCUAUUUUGUUUUGCAUGCUUUAAUCUUUUUUUUUUUAUUUUGAUUAUCCUUACUGAUAAUAUCAAAUCAUCCCUUUGCUCUUUUGCAGACUUUAUCAAGGUAUUUGGUUUCCUGAUUUUGACCAAACUGGACCAGUUUGUUUUGAAUUGGUUUUUAGUUUUUGGUUUGGUGAAUUUUUUCUCCGAGACCCGUGCAACAUGUUGAAAACUUGCAGUUUGGCGUUGGUGGAUUCAGUCAGCUGGACCAGUGGUAUGAUGAGACCAUGUUUCUUUUGUGUGAAUAAAAAGAAUAUCUAAAAAGAACAAAACCCUCAAAUAUCUUAUAUGUUUGAAUAUCUAAAAAGAAGAAAAGGCAACAAUUAAUUUUCAAGCUUUUUUCCUCUAUUUAAAAAGGGGAAAAAAAAGAAGCAAUAUAGGUCAUGGAUUUCUUUUCCUUUUUUUGUUACAUGGAGAGCAAUUAGAUCUCAUUAAAGCAAAUAAUUCAUCAAUCAUAAUCCAAACUCAAAACAAAGCAUGCAAGUACACCAUGAAUAUUAAUGUUGAUGGUAAAAAUUUAAAAAUGAUGUGUAAAUUGAGAUGGAGAGGUAAAUAUAUAAAAAGAUUAAAAAAAAAAACGAAUGUUGUAGUCAAAUUUUGAACAUCUAAAAGGCAUCUUGUGUGCGACUAUUUCCAUGUCACUAUGCACGACAUAAAAAAGAGAUGAUGCUAUAUUCAUACAUCAAUCAAAGAAUGUGUGGAUCCAAGGAGAACAAUGAACAUCCAAAGGCGGAGUUUUAAAUUGAUGAAUUAAGAUUUUAUCUAUAUAUAUAUUUUUUAAUAAUUAGUUUUUUUAAAAAAUUAUAAAUAUAAAUUUUCAGGAAUAUAAACACAUUACAAUAAAAACAUGUUAGGUUUGGCGUUAGUCAGACCCGAUACAUUGGCCCAAACAUACUAAGUCCGACAAUGUGCAAAAACCUUCCUCUCUUAAGCACGCUCAAAUAUCAAAUCCUUAUAUGUUUGAAUAUCUAAAAAGAAUAAUAUUUUUUUUUGUUACAUGGAGAGUAGUACUUAGAUCUCAUUAAAGCAAAUAAUUCAUGAAUAAUGUUGAUGGUUAAAAAAAAAUGAUGUGUAAAUUGAGAUGGAGAGCUAAAUAUAUAAAAUGACAAAAAAAAAAAUAACUAUACAAUGAAGAACUAUUUAGGUGUACAAUUCUUAAUCCAUUUUUUGGAACUCCUAACUCUUCAGUCUUGUUCUCUUUCUUUGAAUUGAGAACUGAAUCUGUAACAGUUUCUGUGAUGAAAACAAGGAAGAAAAAGGAAAAGGCUAAUGAUAGUGUUACUAUCUAAUUUUUGAUCCAUAUUUUGAUUUUAAAAAAAUAAUAAUAAAAUAAAAUAAAAUAAAAAUAAAAAAAUAAGAGUUUACAUGUGGCGAUAACAUAGAACAUCAGGGUUAAGGAAACAAUAUGUCAAGGAGAUAAUUACUGAAUCAUAUAUUAUUAUUGCAAUAUAAAAUACCAUAGAUAUAUGAUUUGAUUCUUGCUUGUUAUGAAAAAUAAUCACUGUAAUGUAAAAUACCAUAUAUAUAGGAUUUGUUGGUGUUGAUUAUAGAAAAUAAUCUCUGCAAUAAUUAUUAUAAUAUUUUCUUAAAUAGUACGUGUAGAGAUUUUCUAUAUAAAUGAACAACCAACCAUAGGUAAAAAAAUAAAAAUUUCACAAGGGGGAAAUUUUUCAGAAAAAGAAAAAAACACAAAAAACCUUAAAAAUAAAAAACCUAAACAUGUUUCUCUUCCUUGGCCGCAGCCCCUCCUCUUUUUUUUUUUUUUUAAAAAACAAAUCAGACCCCCCUUCCCUUUGAAGAAAACCGAAACGGACGCCCCCAGCUUUUCGCCCUUCACUUUCUUCUUCCUCAUGUUGUAACCCAUUUUUGGGUCCCCAUGAAAAAUAAAAUAAAUAGCCAAAAGAGUUUAGAAAAAAUAACAGGAGGUAGAAGCGCUCAGCAAAUGGUCAGAAAAAUCGGUCAAGAAGGUUAAAAAUAUAAAUAUUGGAUUUUUGACUGUAUAUUCUUGAAGGAUGAGAGCCCUGUUGAGAAGGAAAAUUUAAUUUUUGAGGAGAAAAGCCCAAAUUUGGAUGUUUAUGGAUUUAAUUGGAUUUUUAUUUGAAUUUAUAGAAGAUUUGAUUGCAAGAAAAAUUGAUUUUUAAGUCAAUUUGGGCUUUAAUUAGAAGAAAUUUAAGUUCUGGGGCCAAAAUAUAUUUUUUAGGAAUUUAUUGGGUCAAAUCAGGGGCUUAAUUGCAUAAAUAUUGAAGUUUAAGGGCCAAUUAGGGACUUAAUUGAGAAAAUCCGAAACCAGGGACCAAUUUGGAAAAGGCGCGUAAAUAGGGGUGCUGUAUUGUAUUGAUCCGGGGUCAAAUUGAAGAAUUUGAAAACUGGAGGACUAAUUAAAAACAUCGACUGGUUACUGUUCACUUUCUUCCUCAAAAAGCUGCCUGAGUGGCUGCUUUCCAGGCGCGUUUUCCGGCUCGUGUGGCCUCCAAAUCCGACAAAGCUUGCACCAAAAUGUCCACAUGAAACCCCUUUAUCCCGGAGAAUGGUCCCGUCGGGUCGAAAAAGUUAGAAACGGCUCCGUUGAGUGGCUCAAAGUGGCCACCUCGGGCAGUUCACAGCCUUGAGCUGCCAAAUUUGGCAGCUCGAGGUGCACACUUUGAGCCAACGGUUGAGAUGCUUCCCAACUGAAUCAAGGGCUGCAAUUUUUCGCCAACGUAGAAAAGAUUUCCCUCUUCCACAGCCUAUAAAUAGAGUCGGAUUCGAUGAUCUUAGGGAGGAGAAAUUCGGGUCCAAAGUCAGCCAAAAAACCAGCAUUUUUGCCCAAUUUCUGCAGAUUUUUCUUCUUCUUCUUUCUUCCUCUGCAACAGGAAACCGACGCCGUCUUCCUCCAACUCCACCGCUGCAACCACCGGCUGAACCACCUCAUCACAGCAGCCACAACCCCUUCGGCCAGGUGAGCCCCUCUUCCUUUCCUUCUCCUUCCUCUUCCUUUCCUCCUUUUCUUCUUCUUCCUCCUCCUUUUCUUCUUCUUCCUCCUUACCUACUGUUCACUGCAUGAACAGUAGACGUGAAAUAUAAUUCACGUCCUACUGUUCACGCAGGACGUGAAUUAUAUAUAUAUAUAUAUGUGUGUGUGUGUAUUAUUAUAUUAUAUAUUAUAUUAUAUUAUAUUAUAUUAUAUAUGUAUAUAUAUAUAUGUAUAUUUUUUUCGUUAAAAAAAUAUAUUCUGAAAAAUCUUUGGAAAAUAUUGUCGAUUUGCUUGCAUUUUUGUCAAAAUGGCUUAAUAAUGGUUUGUAUUUCUAUACCGUAGAGAUAUAAAUUCAUUAUUAAAAUACCUUGUUUUUGUCAAAACAUCAAAGAUUUUCAAAAUAAAAAAUGUUUUUGCUUUCAAAAAAAUUCUAAAAAAUCCUUAAAAAUAUUGUUGACUUUUUCUUGCAUAUUUUUAUUAGGGUAGAUUAAUAUUGGUUUGUAUUUUUAUACCGUAAGAAUACAAACCCAGUAUUAAAAUACCCGAUUUUUGUUAAAACAUCAAAAAACAAAUAUUUUCCAAAAAAUGUUUUGUUUUCAUGCAUACGACCUAGUCUCUCCAAUAUAUAUAUAUAUAAAUAUUAUAACAUCAUAUUUUCACAUAACAAAGGAAAUUUUCAAAACAAUAUAUGUAUUAACAUGCAUUUUGGCUUUAAGAACCAGUUUAUUCAAGCCAUGAGAACUAGGCCAAUAUUUCAAAAAUUCUAAAAAAAUCUUUUUGUUUUCUUUUAGUAUUUGGGAUUACGAAUUUAUACCUAAAACGUAUUCCUAAAUAUUAUUAAUAAAAUUUUGGUAUAGACUUUAGAACGGUUAGGAUUUUACCCGUUAAGAUAAAGACCUUCUUACCGAGGAGGAUUUUUCUUGAACCAUAGACAGACCAACAACUAGAAAUACAAUAACACUUUAGUUUUUUAUCAGACACUAAAACAAUGCAGCUUACCUUAGGUAGGGCGUAUUUGGGGUGCUAAUACCUUCUCUUUACGCAACCAGUCCCCGUACCCGAUCUCUGAGACCAGUUAGGGUUCCUAGUGACCAAAAUACUAGGUGGCGACUCCAAAGAACCAAAUCAAUAAAACAAAAAAAAAUUCACCAGUCGAACCCGCAAUUUGAUUUUUUUUUAGGGGUGCGACACCUCACUCGCCUGCUAUUCUCCACAGACACCCGGACACAAGCCUCUUUUCCCCUGUCUCAGCCGACUCAGAGCAUCCGGCCACCACCUCCUCAUCUCUCUCUAUCAGUAGCAGACCCUUCGCCAGACCUUACUACCCUAGCCUGCAACCACCGUAAACACCAUUUACAGGCCUUCCCUCUCUGUCAACACAGCCCACACAGCCCCCAGAAACGUUUUGGACUUUUUUUGGACUCUUUCUAUAUUUGCUUUCAUUAACUAAAAUAGCAAGAGCAACACAAUCCAUAUAUACAUAGUGUGUUCAUCCAAAUCAAUUGGAAAUUGAUGAUCCUAUAAAAUAAAAUAAUAAAAAAACAGGAAGUAUUACAAACAACGCCCUGCAUGCCAUAGAGAUCAACUUUUUUUUUUUUUUUCUAACCAACUGUAAAUCAAAGUGCGCAAGUCCUGACCAAUAAGAAACUAGGAACAGACGCAAUAGCUAUUGAAUCCAAGCUUGUUUUUCCUUCUCUCCUUCUUUUUCUUGGGUCAAAAAUCAUCAUCACCUCUCUUUUUUAUCCCUGUUAAAAAGACCAAAACAGCCUUCAAAAACAACCUUACUCCCCAACAAACCAAAGACAAUUUACAGUGUUGUACUAGGUACAGUAAUUUCACUGCAUGUUUUAGCUUUUUGUUAAUUAAUAUAUUUUAUGUUAAAAAAAUAAUAUAAAUAUUUAAAAUAAAGCUAUUUUCUAACUUUUAGACUAAAUAUAUUGUUUUAAACAACAAUAAUUUAUACAUUAAAAGGUCUUUUCAAAACUACUAGACCAACAAAAUUAUAUAAAUAUUUAAAACAAAGCUAUUAAUAUGAUAUUUAUUAUGGAUUAUAUUUUAUUAUGCCCUUUCAUUGUUAAAUUUUGUCAUCCAGUUUAUAAUUUGAAGUCAUUGGAGCAUAGUUAUUUGAAUAGUUAAAAUACAUUUUCUUUUACUAAAAUUCUAUUUUUACGUAUCUCCGUAGAAAAGCCAAAACCAAAAGGAAAGUAUAUAUACUCGUUAGCCAACAUAUUUUUAUCUAUAAUUAGCAUUUGUUUGUCUCUUUAAAAACAGAACAAGAGAAAAAAAAAAAGCCUGCACAUCUCAAAGCCCAAAAAAUUUGAUAGUAUUAUAUAAAAAUGAAAAUUAAAAAUAUUUAUAUAAACAAAUUUUAAUUUUAAAAGUUUAAAAUUUAAACUUCAAAUUAUAUCUUUUAACUUUGAUAUUACUUCAUUAAUUUGAUAAAUUACACAUAUUAAUUGUAUAAUUAAUAACAUGAUUAUAUUAUAUAAAAAAUAAUUAAACUAGUUAUAUAAUUAUAUUAAUAUAAAAUAUAUUAAAAUAUAAUUAGCUCUUCUAAAUAUCUUUUUACCGUUGAAAUUACACAUUAAAAAAAACUCUAAUUACAUCCAUUUUAUCAAUUUAAUUUUCAACUUUUAAAACUAGCAUGUUUUAUUGGAGUUGCUCUUGUGCAGAAUUAUAUAAGGGAGAGGAAGGCAACAAAGGGAAAGAGACAAAAGAAGUCCAAAAAUGUUUAUUUUAAACAUAUGAAUCAACUCAAUUGUGAUGUGUGGCCCAACCCCUGCUCUUGACAGGAAGGUGCCUCUGCUGCCCAAUGCGCGUUCGAUAUCCCUUUCAUUUCUCUUUUUGCUUUUUCUCCACCGAAACUCCAUCUUCUUUACAGUGUAAACUUACCAGUACGAGUUCUUGACCUCAAGGAACCGGAAAAAAAAUUCGACGUCAUUGGGCUUGGCUAGAUCUUGUGCCUCUUUAGCCAACACUUACCACACGGUUUGUUUCGUCUAGAUCCGUGAAAUACUCGUAGAAAUUUGGUGUUUUCUGAUUUCUAAGUAGAGUUGUACAUGUUCCAGUUUGAAAUUACUAAUUGGUAGAUUUAAUUGCCAAAUUUCUUGAUCUUACCUUCUGUUUCAUGUUUGACCACAGGAGCAGGCCUUACACGCGUGGAAAGCAAUUGCUGAACCAAGCUAGCUAGUUGAGGCCAGAAGGGAUCGGUGCUAGUUUAUCGCUAUAGGGAUUUUCAUGGCUUCCAGCAGCGUGCAAGGAAUAACCUCAUCUUCAUCUUCUCCUCCUCCACUAUAUAUGUAUGAUGUGUUCCUUAGUUUUAGAGGCAAAGACACCCGGAACAACUUUACUAGUCAUCUAUAUUCUAAUCUGAAACAAAGAGGCAUCGAUGUAUACAUGGAUGAUAGGGAGCUUGAGAGAGGAAAGAGCAUAGAACCUGCUCUCUGGAAGGCCAUCGAAGAAUCAAGGUUUUCUGUCAUUAUAUUUUCAAGAGAUUACGCAUCUUCACCAUGGUGCUUGGAUGAACUUGUCAAGAUUGUUCAGUGCAUGAAAGAGAUGGGCCAAACUGUUCUGCCAGUUUUUUAUGAUGUGGAUCCCUCAGAGGUAACCGAGCGGAAACGGAA